rnacentral:lncRNA from 1 species
UACACCUUAGCAGUCUUCAAUGUGUCACACAACAACUUGUCAGGGAGUAUUCCGUCUCCAAAAGCUCAAUUUGGAACCUUUGAUGAAAGCAGUUAUGUGGAGAAUCCUUUUCUCUGCGGGCCUCCCCUGCAUAAAAAUUGCAGCGACCUUGAUUCACCCCCGACAACAGCACCAAAGAGCUCAAACGAGGAAGAAGAAAGUGGUUUGAUGGACAAGUAUGUUUUCUGGGUGACCUUUUUUGUUUCUUACGUGAUUGUGUUACUGGUUAUUGUUCUCAUCCUGUAUAUAAAUCCUUAUUGGCGACAAGCAUGGUUUUCUUUUGUUGAACACUGCAUCAAGACUUGUCAGUACUUUCUUCUGCGAUUUUCCAUCUUCAAAAGGAGUGGGUAGCCUUGUAUUUUGGUGGUUUACAUUUGUAUGUAAUUUUCAUCACUCUUUUUUUAUUUUUCAAAGUUUGAUUGGAUUAUCUGCUUCUAAGUUUUUAGAGCUAGAAUGCAAUAUAUCUGUUAUGGAAAGCAAUAUAUAAAGUUAUGCAUUUUCAAUUAAAACAUUUAAUAUUGCUUUAUAAUUUUUAGUGUUCUGAUAAGAUGAUGUUAAAUUCAACAUAUUGUAGCAUAUAUAUUAAUAAAACCUAUAUUCAUCUAUACAAAUUUUUUAGUCAACCAAACCAUUGAUGUGGUGGCAAAAACUUCACAUUGUUUUCAAGUCUUCAUUGACAUUAGGUUGAGGUUUCAAACCCUAGCGUAAAAGAGGGGGGAGAGGGGUUGUCUGAACCAAAACUUCAUUUCAACAGAUAUCCUUUACCCACUAAAUCAUAUGCUCAACUGAAACUUUUAUAUAUAUAUAUAUCAAACAUGAAUGAUAUAAAUAGUCUUUAAAUUUUUAAAUGAUAUAAAUAUAUAUAUAUUUUUAAAAUGAACAAAAAUUAUAAUAAUUAAUAUGUAGUUUCAUUAUUUUAUUUAAACUCAAAAUAAUAAUAUUUAAAAAUUGAGUUUACGUGAUAUUUAUUUACUUUAAAAUUAAUAAAAUGUAAAUAUAAACUUUAUUUUAUUUUAUUUAUAUUCAAAUUUAAUAAAUGUUUAUCUAAUUUAUUUAAAUUUAAAUAAAUUAAAUAAAUAAGCACACAAUUUUUUUUAGAGAAAGUGAUGACUCUUUUUUAAUGAUGAGAUGUUAGAAGAUUUACCAUAUGUGUAAUGUGGAGACAAUAACCCUAAUAUGUAACUUUUGCACAAUAACCUUAAUUUAUAAUUAGUGAAUCAUCAAUUAAAAAUUAAUUAAUUGAGUAUUUACACUUGUCCAACCAUAUUUUAUUUAAUAAGUGUCAUGGAUCAUAGGUCAAAUAAGUAUCACAAUAAUCACAGUAAUACCUGCAAAAAUUGAAUCCAAAUAAACAUAUCCAUAAAUUGUUAAUGAAAAUUUGUUCGCAGCGAGAACCUUAACUAAGAUUGGAAGAAUUUAUAUGUUUUUGUCUUUUUGCUAAAAUGAGUAUAAAACAUAUAAAAAAUAAAUUAUGAAUGUUCAUUUUUUUAAUAGUUCAAAAAAAUAUAUUAUAUAUAAUAUAUAUUAUUGUUUUGCAUUUGCUCCUCAAAGAAAAUGGAAACAAUCGUAAGCCUAUGGCAUCAUUAGAAACACCAUUAAUCUUGAUGUGUCGCAAAUCUCUAGAAAGUUAGCCAAAUGAGUAUUCAGAUCUUCAUCUUGCAACCUAUCAAACUGAACAUAUUGUUGUACCAUCUGAAUUGUGUUCGACUUUAGCUCAAAAUUAUUUACAGCAAUAGUCAGUCUGACAAUACUCGAUUCAACCCCAAUCAGAAUAGACUUAGCAUAAUCAUACAUAGUCCGAAGAGUAGGAGCUGCAGGAAGCUGUUGAUUAUUUUUAUGAUUAUCCAUCUCCACAUUAAUAUCCUUUUCCUCUUGAUCGUCUACUAAAAUCUAUUUAUCUUGUCUUUUGCUUUUCUAACCUCUCUAAGAUUUCUACGAGCAGUCUUUUCAACUUCACUAUAAAAAAUUAAUGUUUCUGACGAGUUUCCUCUAGUCAUAAACCAAAAGACUCUAUCAUAAUAAAAAAAUGAAAAAUUAGAAUAUUGUAAAAGUUAAAUUAAAAACAAAAAUAUCAAAAUAAAAAUAAAAAUAGCUAAAUUAAUAGAAAUAAAGUUUUCCUAAUAUUUUAGUCCCCUGGCAAUGGCGCCAAAAACAUGAUGCAGUCAUAAACCAACUAAAAAUCUGACUAAGGCAAGUGUACCUAUCAAUUAAUUGUAUAGUUACGAUGAGCAAAUAAAUCGUUCCCACAAAGACUAAAAGUAGUAAUUACUGUCUUUCUAUUAUUUAAUCGAUAAACUCGAGUAAUUGAUUAAAACUAAAAUUAUUUAAAUUAAUUAACAAUGAAUGUGACAAAUAAUAAAUCAGGAAAAUAAUUGAAUAAUAACCAAGAAGCAAAACAAUACCUAGGAAAAAAUUCACCUAGAUUUCAUCUGUCAUUAUCAAUCUAAAUUCCACAAUUUCUUUACUUAGUAUCUUAAUUCAUAGAAAUCCCUAAAUCAUGCUAAUAUCUCUCUUCAAGAAUAAGAGCAAUAACUUUAGGCUGGUUAAUUGAAAUUUCUUUCUAAUUAAAACCCUUAUUAUCGCAUUAAAUCGCUUUAUGGAUUUCCCAAUUACAUUUGACUCUAAUUCGGUGGAUUUAUAUCAUCCUAUUUCUAAGAUUGCAUGCAACUUCACUCAAUUACGCUAGAUCUACUCUUAAACAAGGUCUAUUCCUUCUCUGAUUUAAGCACAACAAACAUGGAUCAACAAUCUAGAAAUAUUAAACCAAGAGUAAAAUACACAUAAUUGAGAGCAAGAUCUAAGUAUUUAUUGUGUAAAAAUAGAAAUCAAAUAAUAUAAUUCAUCCUAAAGCUUAUCUCUCUAGGUAUUUGGAAAAUUAGUUCAUACUUGCAAAUAAAAACAUCCCAAAGACAAUAUAACCAAAAGAAAUAAAGAAGCUCGUGAUAAUCUCCUAAGAAAUCAACUGUGAGUCUUCAAUCUUGACUAAAAUUUGCUUCAGAAUCGGCUUCAAUGGUGUUUUCGAGUUGUUUUAUUGAGCAUUCUAUGACGGCUCUCUCCCCUCUUCUUAUAUUUGUCAUAUAUAGGUCUUAGAAUGCUCGAAAAACCUAAACAAAAGUGUUUUUCCGCAAGUUUGAAGUGUGACUCGUGAUUUCUACGUAGUCUCGCACAUGACCAUGUAGAAGCUCGUGUGGCCACACGGUCGUGUGUCCAGCCCAUGUGGCUCCUGAAACUUGCUCCAAUUUUCACUUAUUUUUCACUCUUUUUGCUCUAAAAUGCUACUAAGUAUAGAAACAUGAAUUUAAAGGAUUAGGAGCAUAAAAUUCACCAUUUUAAUUCGAAUAAUAAUCCAAAAAUGCAUUAAGAAUGAGGCUAAAACAUGUUACUUUUGGCAUUUAUUAAUUUUGCCAACACCCAAAAUAGUUGCUUAAAGGUACAAAUUUAAACAACCCAAAAAAGGGUCAGUAUAAUCCAAAAAGCGUUGUGUUAGGCUUUUCAUAUGAUAACACUUUUAUAUAGUUGGGAAAGGUAUAACAAAAGUCGGCAUAGUGUUGGAUAAAACUGAUUCUUAUUUAAGCGUUGCCUUAGGCAUGCAUAUCCCAACCUUUAUACAAAGAGUUGGCCAAAGCGUAUGUUAACAAGUCUAUCCUAACACUUAGGAAAGUGUCAGCAUAAUGUUGGACAAACUCGAAUCUUAUUUAAGUGUUGCCUUAGGCAUGCAUAUCUCAAACCUUAUACAAAGAGUUGGCCAAAGCAUACGUCGACAAGUCUAGUUAUUAGCUCAAUAGAUCAAACAGGAAUUGCUAAGAGGGGUGAAGUGGCUUUUAAAAAAAUGUGAAAGCUAGAAAGAAAAUUGAAAGAUGAACAUAAUAAUUUAGAAUGGUUUAGCCCCAAUUGCCUACCCCACUACCUUGACUUUCCACAACUAAGGAUUUUCCAAAAUUCACUAAAUUGAUAACCUUUAAGGAUAAGGUUUAACAUUACAACUCUAUUAAGAUUUCUGUAACACCCCAAACCCGGCUAGACGUUAUAACCGAAUCUGGCGAUGUCACAUGGAAUGGGAUUUGAAACCUCGUUGUUACGAUGAAAACAUUCCAUGCUAUUAUCUUUAGUAAACCUUUGUUAGAACUUAGGAAGUCGUCUUUAUUCAUUUAAAACAUUUGUUUUGAAACAUGCCUCGUUGUGGAAGCUUUAAUAAAACAGUCUAUGUGAUCAUGCGUUUAGAAAAUAAUUUAACUUUUUGAAAACGGAAUUUCCUAAGACCCGCAGGUAUAAAUCCAUAAAGUAAAAUAAAUAAAUAAAAACCCAAAUUUAAAACCAAAAUCCUAGAAGGUCCUUAAAUUACAUCCCAAAUAAUCAAUAAUAAUCAAAUCAUAAAUCGUAAAUUGAAAACCAUGAAGUCGAAAAAUUACGGUGGUUACCGCUAAGUCCUCCGUCGCACCGAUCCAUCUAAGUCUAGGGAUUAACUAUGCACAUUAAACAAAAAAUGUGAGUUUACGUAAACUCAGUGUGUAGUCCCGUAGAAACAAACAAACAAUCAGUAUUCACAGUGCACAGUUGAACAGUCUUGGGCCUAAGCCCUUUUCAGUAUCAGUGACAGUUUGGGCCUUAGCCCAUCUCAGUAUAGUGUCAAAAAUGCAGUAGGUCCUUAACCCAUCACAGUAUUAGUAGCAGUAACAAUUAUGCAGUAGCAAAAUCCUACCCAACCAGCCUCUACACACCAUCUUCGUCUAACCCUACAUUCUAUGUGGGGAUAUAAUCAACCUACCCAUCCCUUUUUAAUAAUAACCCAUGCUAGCUAAAUAUUCUAUGUUUUCACUAUUUACUUAUAUGUUCAUUUAAAGCUGUCUACUUGAGUCAUUGUCACUAAAUUAUUUACAUCUUAAGCUACAGAAUUCCAAAUUAAGAUCUGCUUGAUGUUUUCAAAACUGGACUCAGAUAUCUUUCUACCAUAAAUUUUCAAAAUUUAUAGCUUAUCAAAUAAGUACAGUAAAAUCUUCAAAGUUAUCCCUAUUCUGCCAUUUGACAGCUUCAACCUUUUCCUUACUAAAAAUUAUUAAUCUCUUAGUACGAAAUUUGAAUGAUGUUUCCAUUUGUUUCUCUUGAAAGUAGACUUAUUAAAGAUUUAAAUGUAUAAAUUUAAGCCCCUAAUUAUUUGUUUACAAUUUUUGAUAAUUUUCUAAAAUCAGAACAGGGGAACAAGAAAUCAUUCUGACCUUGUCUCAGAAAAUUUAUUAUAUCUCAUAAUUUACAAUUCUAUUGCUUACACUGUUUCUUCGAUGAAAAACUAGUCUCAAUAAAAUUUAAUUUAAUAUUUUAUUCAACCCUUAACUCAAUUUUCACUAUUUUUGAUGAUUUUUCAAAGUUAAACUACUGCUACUGUCUAAAACUAUUUUUGUGCAAAAUGUUGAUUUCCAAGGUUAUAACACCCUUAUUUCCUUUCUCUACAAUUUUUUUCGCAUCAUUUUCUCUUAUGUCUCGACAGCAAGCGAUUUUGACUUUUUGCUGAAUCCCCUUUUCUGCGUUUCGGGUACACACCUGGUUUCGUUAGAUGCUAAAAUAGUCCCCGAGCACUCCAAAGCCUAUAAUUGAACAAAUAACAUCAAUUUAAUCUCACAUAACGUGAUCCCAAAUCAAACUCAUAUCGAGGUUUUAACCCAUAAGCGACUAAACCUUACCUUCAACUGAUAAUAGUAGUUCCCACACAAACUAAGACUCCGAUUGGUGAUUACAAGCCCUUGAAUCAUCCCCUAAUAGGCAGAAACAAAACACUUUAGAAGAAAGUUAACAAAUAGAGACAAAUCACUUAUCUAAAACUUGUCGAACGAUCGCAGACAAACAUGGAGCGACACGAGGCAGAGUGGGAAAAAAAUCAAGAAGAUGAAGGGUGAAAGAGAGCAGAAAUUUGGCAAUAAUGAAGAGAAAAACAGCAAAAGGGUGGAGGGAUUUUGGGGAAAGUAAAAAAAAAGAAAAAAAAAAUUAACAGAAUAUUUGAUAACCACCCCAAUCCCUUAUUUCUCUCCAUCAAACUCCCCACAAAUCCACUACUCAGAUUUUUAGUCCAUCUCAAACUCUCUUGGACACAUGAGCAAAAAUAAUGCCUAUGCUAAGAUUCAAACACAAGACCUCUUUCACACCAACACUCUACUUAUCCACCAAACCAGCAAGCUAAUUUUGUUAAUUAUUUGCCAACUUUUACUUAAAAGUCUACUGACCAAAUAUAGGACUUAUUCAUAAAAAUACCAAAAUUUGCCCAAGUUCUGGCUUGAACUUGGGACCUCCCAAACACACCUAAAAUACUUAACCACUGAAGUAGAUACACAAUUGUGUCACACAUUCACAAUACCCAAAAUUAAAAUUUUUAGGUGUUACAGUGCUUCUUUUACUGAAUUAAACUAUAACCUUACUAACCUUAUAAAAUGCAUAAAAAACUAAUAAAUCACUUGAUUACAAACUCAUUAAGUAUAGAAUCAAGCUUAAUUUGCCACAACGAAUUGUGGUUAAUCAAUUGUUAAUAUGAAAUUUAUUUUUUUAGAACACCAAAUUCUUUCAACCGCAUUUUGAAGCAGUGGUGGAUCCUAGGACAAAGUUUGGAGGGGAGGCUAGUAAAAUUUUUAGGAAUUAUAAUAUAUAUAUUUGCCAUAACCAUCUAAUACUCAUACUUGUUUAUGCUUAUAAUAUAAUUUUUGUAACUAGUAUAAAAAUAAAUUUUUAAAAUGGGAUUUGAGUGUAAUUACGUAUGUAAUCAUUUUAAUUCUCAGUCCCCUAAGAAUUAAAAAGUGUAAUUGAGUGCUCUAAUUACAGCCAAUUCGUGGGACUCACCAAUCAAUGGUUACCCAAACAUGUCAUCUUUGUGUAAUUACUAGCAAUUACACCCAAAUUCAAUUACUAGGUGAUUUUCCAAACACUGUGUAAUAUGUCGCGACAUCUAAGCCCUUUUGUUUUGUACUUUUUUUAACUUAAUUUUUAAGAGUCCAAGAAAAGUAAAUUACUUAUUUGGUAACACUUAUAUUUAGUCAAGCUAAAAAUAGCUUAAUAAAUUGAUGUUAUUUACUAUAUUUGUCAAACCAUUUUAAAACUAAUUUUGGCUAAGUCAAAAUCACUUUUUAUUCAACUUACCUUUACUAUUUUUAGCCAAUUGAAGUCUUAUAAAUACCUUGUUCAUUUUCAUAAUAUACACACUUGCUCAUCCUUUCCAUCCUUUUAAGAUUGCUAAGUAUUUUUUUGUUGUGAUCUAUUAUUGAUUCCUACUCCCUUUUUAUAAUGAAAGAACUUAUUAAUACCUUAAUAUUUUACUAUUGGUUCUUUCUCACUUUUGUUUUAUUUUCAUCACUUUUAAAAUGUUAUUGUAGCGACCUAAAACUUUCUGGGCACGGGCGCUAGUCGAAGUAAUUAUUGAAGGUUUGAAAACAGUGUCUCGAUUUUAUUCGAAAAAGGGAGUCGCCACCGAUCUUUUUUUUUAGGUGUGAUCGGACACCUACAAAAUUCCCUUUUUAGAAGAAAAAUUUAUUUUUAAGCUUUUCUAAAAAGAGGUAAUUUUAGGUCCACGUAAAAAUCCAGAGAAAAUUAGGGUUCGGGAGUCGGUUACGCGCGAGGAAGGUAUUAGCACCCUCGCGACGCCCAAAAUUGGUAUCUCGUUAAACGCAUGUUGUCUUAACUUUCAAAAAUACGAGUUCCAUUUAAUAUUUAGUCGUGAUCCGAUUGAAACACGAGAAUUUUGAAACACAACAACCCCUUUUUUUUGAAAACACGAAAUUUUUUUAAAACGCAAGAAUUUUAGAAACACGAAAUUUUUCUUUAAAAAAACACGAAAAUUUUGAAACACGAGAAUUUUUUCAAAACACGAAUUUUCUUUUUGAAACACGAAAAUUUUGAAAACACAAAGUUUUAUUUUGAAAACACAAAAGAUUUGAUAAAUUACGAAACAUGAGAUUUUUUUUGAAACACGGAAAUUUAUGAAACACGGUCAAUUUUUGAAAACACGAAAAUUUUUGAAAGACGGGAUUUUUUUUUGAAAACACGAAAAUUUAUAAAACACGGAAAUUUUUUCUAAAAACAAGAAAAUUUUCGAAAAACGAGAAUUUUUGAAAACACAGGAAAUUUUUGAAAACAUGAAAUUUUUUGUUACACUAGAAUUUUGAAAACACGAAGAUUUUUGAAACAUGAGGAUUUUUGAAAACACGAAGCUUUUUGAAACAUGAGAAUUUUUUGAGAACAUGAAAACAUGAAAAUUUGUCAAACACGGGAAUUUUUUGAAAACACGAUAACAUCAAAGAGUAGUCAAGAGAGUUUUUUGAAACACGGAAUUUUUUUUGAAAAAAAGAAACACAAAUAUAUUUUUUUGAAACACGAGAAAUUUUUUGAAAAAAAGAAACACGAAUAUAUUUUUUUGAAACACGAGAAAUUUUAUUAUUAUUAUUUUGAAACACGAGAAAUUUUGAAGACAUGAAAAUUUUUGAAACACGAUUUUUUUAAUAAUACCAUAUUUAACACGAAUCGAUGAUAUUCACCCCGAUAUGGUGAUGAAAUCGUCGUAUUAGUGUCAAAACAAAUCAAAUUAAUAUUUAAUCAGGAUUCUAAUAAAACACGAGGAUUUUUAUUAAAACACGAGGAAUUUUGAAUAUUUUCGAUUUUUAGAAGGGCGUCCCGUAUUUAACACGAGCCAUCGAUAUUCACCCAACAUAGCGAUGAAUUCAACGGCUUGAUGCUAAAUCGGUUCGUUGCCUUAUGCAUUAAAAUAUUUUUUCUAUAAAAAAAAUGCAAAUAAAAUUACAUAUAAUAAUAUUUCUAAACUAUUAAAAAACUAAUUUAAUUGUAAUGGGGAAAUAUUUAAAUAAAUGGACUUAAUUAGAGUGGGUUUAAAAAAUUACCAAAAGCCCAAAGUUAUGGGCUUGAAUUUUGGGCCUCCCUUUUCUUUUUUUUCUUUCUCUUUCUUUCCUGGGCGUUGGGCUGCCGGACUGGGCCGAGUCUGCUGGCCCGCUGGUUGUUGAAACAGGCCUGCUACCGCUGCUGGAUCGAGUACAGGCCUUCGUGCGGGUCGGGUCUGCCUCCUGGACUGGGUCGUGGCCUGCUGUCACUGCUGGGCUGCUCUGCUGCGCGUGGGCCUGGGCUGCUGCUUAGCUGCUGGAGUGGCCUGCUGUUGGCCUGCCCAAGAUGGCCUAUUGCUUGCUGGGCCGGUCUGCCACUGCUGCUGGUGUGGGUGGCCUGCUGCUGGCUUGUUGCUGGCUGCUGGCUGGGUUGGAUCCGGGUCAUCGGGUCGGGUUGGCCCGGCUGUUAUUUUUUUUCUUCUAUUUUCUUCUUUCUUCUUUCUUUUUUUCUUUUUUUCCUCAUUUCUUUUUCUUUCCUUUUUCUUUUUCUUUCUUUUCUUCUUCCUUUCAAACCCUAGCCACCGUCUUUUGCUUGGUGGCGCGACAGUGCCGGCGCUUCUCCCUUCUCCCUUCUCCCUUCUCCUCCUCUCUCUUCUUUCUCUCUUUUUCUUUUUCUUCUCUUCUUCCUCUCUUCCUUACUUCUUUACUGUUUGGGUUGCUGUUUUUUUUUGUUUUCUCUUUGCUUGUUUGUAUAGGUGCGACGGUGGUGGUGGUGUCACAACGGCGGUGCGACGACGGUGGUUGCGGGAGGAUGGUGGUGGAGGCUUUCGGCUUGCUGCUAUUUUUUUGUUUUUGAAUUUUUUCUGCUCUUUUUCUUUUGGUUGCCGAAAAACCUUUUCUUUUUGUUUCGGUUUCCCUUGGCUUUCUAGGUGGCGGUGCGGUGGUUGCGGUGGCGGGGUAGUGGCGCGACGGUGGCGAUGGCUUUUGGGCUGCUGUUUUUUGGAUUUUUUUGAGUUUUUCUCUGCUCUUUUUCUAUUUUUUUUUGGUUGCUAUCCGACCCCCUUCCUUCUCUUUUGAUUUUCUUUUUAAUCUCUUCAUUUUUUAUCCUCUUUCUUCUUGUUUUCAGAUGGCAUGGAGGUGAGGAGCAUGGCUGAUUGGCGGUGUCAGGCGUAGGGUGUGGUGCACGCCCAAAUGCUGGUUGGGGGGCAGUCUUGUCAUUCCCAGAAGGACUGAAUUGUAGAGUGUGCAAAGUUUUUAGGGCAAAAAUGUGAUUUUAGGAAAAUAUAGGGACAAAAUGUAAUUUCUAGAAAGUUUAGGGGCCUGACUGUAAUUUAUAAAAUAUUAGGGGUCAAGAUGUAAAUUUAGACAAAGUUAGGGGUCAAAAAAUAAUUUUUGAAAAGUUUGAGGGCCAAAAUGUAAUUUUUAUUUUUUGUAUUUUUAUUUUUUUCAAAAUUUUAUUAUGACUAUUUUAUUAAUAUUUAAAACAAAAAUUAAAAACGGACUAAAGUAAUUCCAAAAUUAAAUCCUAAUGGGCUCGAUCAUUGGGCCCAUACGAGACCGACCCGGCCUAAAAUUCAAACCGGGCAAAAUUCAGUGAUUACAGCUGCCCCUCUUUGCUCAUCGCUGUAAAACAGGGAUAGAGCAAAGACUUAAAAGCACUGAAUUUUGCUCGAUUGUCUAAUUUUUUAUAUUUUUUGAAAGCCUGAAAUUGAAAAAAAAAAGCUUGGUGUGCGAUCCGAAGUUCAACUCACUUUUCAGAUUAUAAGUUGACCUUUGAAAAAUAAAAAAUAAAAAUACCUCAGCUUGACUCGAGGCUCAACUCACCUCUAGGAUUAUGAGUUAAUAAUUUUUUUUUUUGAAAACAUAAAUUGAAAAUACCACAGCGUGACCUGAGGCUUAACUCACCUCUCGCAUUAUGAGUUGAUUUUUGAAAAACGAAAAAUUGAAAAAUACCUCGGCAUGUGACCCGAGGCUCAACUCACCUCUCGUAAUAUGAGUUGAUUUUUUUUGAAAAACAGAAAUUUAAAAUACCUUAGCGUGCGACCUGAGGCCCAACUCACCUCUCGCAAUAUGAGUUGAUUUUUGAAAAACAGAAAUUGAAAAUACCUCAGGAUGACCCGAGGCUCAACUCACCUCUCGUAUUGUGAGUUGAUUUUUGAAAAAAAGAAAAUUUAAAAGAAAUACCUCGGCGUGACCCGAGACUCAACUCACCUCUCGCAAUAUGAGUUGAUUUUUUUGAAAAACAGUAACUUAAAAAUACCUCAGCGUGACCCGAGGCUCAACUCACCUCUCGUAUUAUGAGUUGAUUUUUGAAAAACAAAAAUUAAAAAAUAUAAUUCUUGAAAGAAACAGGGUUUCAAAACAUCAGGUGAAACUAAAGCCUUCUUCUUCGUUGAUUCUGUGCAACUUUCUCUCAGUAUUCCCUGCUCUACUAAGAUACCUGUAUAUGUCAUGUAUGAUGUUAUUAUGAUAUGCACGUGUUUGACCUAAAUGCUUUUAUGCCUACAUAAUCAUGCCAUGAGCCCUGGGCUGUUUGUCUCAUGCCUCCUUUUCGUGAGGGACUGCAUUCAUUGCCUCAAUCAUUGACUUCUCUCUUCGGUUUUGUACUCAUCUUCAAGUUUGUCGGGUGACCCACAUGUCCAUAUUUCCCCUUCUUGCCCCUUUUGUUGAACUUUGUUCCUGCUUUGGGGUCCUUGUACUUAUCAAAUUCUCAUCCAGGUAAUGCUCAACAUUCAUUUUGUUUAGAGUAUGUCAUCUUACUAUUUAUCAUUUAAAUGAAUCAAACACAAGAUGCAUAAAUAAAAUGGCAAAGUAGGCAUGAAAGAAAUACCUCACAUCCAUUUCAUUUUCAAAACCAUCAAACAAAGAAAAUUGACAAGGAAAAAGUUCAAAGAAAGCAUCAUAUAGAAAGGAAAGUGAAUUCAAUGGCCACAAAUGCUCUAGAUAUCCAACGUAUGAACUUCUCCACGUUUCUUCAUCCUGGAUCCUUUCGAGCACGGCUUCUUGUGUAGAAGAUUUCGAGCUUCUGAGAAUGCUUCAAAUAUUGCGACUUUGUCAUUCAACUCUCCGUUCAAGUCACUUUGCUCCUUUAAGCUCGAGCCCACUUCAUUAGGACGCCCUUUCAGGUUUCCAUCCUAAUUCUUUUUGUUUAUCAAAACGCCCUUUUCAGGUUUUCAUCUUGAUUUUCUUUUUCUUUUCUUUUUUCUUUUUUUGUUUUUGUUUUUGUUUUUUUUUGUUCUUUUUGUUCUUUUUGUUCUUUUAUUUUUUUAUUUUUUUUUUGUUUUUUUAGGCAUAAUAUUUCUUUACAGCAUCUGAGUUCACUGGAUUAGGUAACUCUUUCCCGUCCAUCUCAGUGAGAAUCAGAGCCCCUCCUGAGAAUGCCCUCUUUACAACGUAUGGUCCUUCCCAAUUUGGUGACCAUUUUCCUCGAAAGUCCUUCUGUAUUGGGAGAAUCUUUCUCAGUACGAGCUCUCCUUCGCGAAAUUCUCUUGGCCGCACCUUUUUAUCAUGGGCCGUAAUCAUUCUCUUCUGGUACAUCUGUCCAUGACAAAUUACCUUCAAGCGUUUCCCUUCAAUAAGGUUUAGCUGAUCAUAUCGAGCUCGAACCCACUCUGAUUCCUCUAACCUUGUCUCCAUCAAGAUGCGCAGGGAUGGGAUCUCUACUUCGAUAGGCAGAACGGCUUCCAUUCCAUAGACUAGAGAAAAAGGAGUUGCCCCCGUAGACGUCCGUACCGAGGUGCGAUAUGCGUACAAAGCGAAUGGUAGCUUAUCGUGCCAGUCUUUAUAUGUCUCAGUCAUCUUCCCAAUAAUCCUCUUAAUGUUCUUAUUAGCGGCUUCUACUGCUCCGUUCAUCUUUGGGCAAUAGGGCGAAGAAUUAUGAUGUUUUAUCUGGAAUUGCUCACAUACUUCUUUCAUCAUCUUAUUGUUCAAAUUUAAAGCAUUAUCUGAAAUGAUUCUUUCAGGCAGACCAUAUCGGCAUAUAAUCUCCUUUUUUAAGAACCUACAGACUGUAGCCUUUGUCACAUUAGCAAACGAAGUGGCUUCUACCCAUUUUGUGAAGUAGUCUAUAACCACAAAGAUGAAUCGAUGCCCAUUGAAAGCUUUCGGGGAAAUUGGCCCUAUAACAUCCAUGCCCCACAUAGAAAAAGGCCACGGAGAAGUCAUGACAUGAAGGGGUGACGGAGCUGCAUGAAUUUUGUCGCCAUAAAUUUGACAUUUGUGGCACUUUCGUGCGUAACCAAUGCAAUCCCUUUCCAUCGUCAGCCAAUAAUAACCAAGUCUCAUAAUCUGCCUGGCCAUGGUGAAACCACUGGCAUGUGUUCCACAAAUUCCUUCAUGAACCUCUUCAAGUAUCUUUCUAGCUUCAACAGCGUCCACGCACCUCAGGAGCACUUGAUCUUUUCCCCUUUUGUAUAGAAUAUCCCCGUCAAGAACAAAUCCAAUCGCCAUUCUCCUGAUUGUUCUUUUGUCAUUCUCGUUUGCUUGCUCGGGGUACCUUUGAUUCUUGAUAUACUCCAAGAUAUCAUGGAACCAUGGUCGUCCAUCUGACUCCUCCUCAAUACUAAAGCAGUGUGCGGGGGUCUCAUAUAUACUCAUUUGGAUGGGCAUUAUCUCAUUUUCUCUGUUUGCCUUGAACAUCGAAGCCAAGGUGGCUAGGGCAUCAGCCAGUUGGUUCUCCUCUCGUGGAAAGUAGUUAAAAGUCACUUUAUAGAACUCCUUGAUCAGCUCUGCAACGAGAUCAUGAUAUUUGACUAAUUUUGGAUCUCUCACUUCCCAAUCUCCACGAAUUUGAUAAAUGACUAAUGCUGAGUCCCCGUGUACCUCUAAAAUUUUGAUUUUUCACUUGAUAGCUGCACGAAGUCCCAUGAUGCAAGCCUCAUAUUCCGCUAUAUUAUUUGUACAGAAGAAAUUCAAUCUGGCAGUAAGCGGGUAAUGGUCCCCUUCAGGUGACACUAAGACUACUCCUAUCCCAUGCCCCAAUACAUUUGAUGCACCAUCAAAGCUCAUCUUCCAUGACUUUCCUUUUGAUGACUCGCCCUCUUUUUCUGAAAUACACAUCAAAUCUUCAUCUGGGAACUCAAAUCUCAAAGGCUCGUAUUCCUCCAUUGUUCGACUUGCCAAGAAGUCAGCUAUUGCGCUUCCUUUUAUCGACUUUUGGCUCACAUAUACAAUGUCAUACUCAGUCAAUAGGAUUUGCCAUCGGGCCUUUCUCCCUGAGAGUGCAGGUGACUUCAUCAUGUACUUUAUUGGGUCCAGUUUUGAAAUUAACCAUGUCGUGUGAUACAGCAUGUAUUUUCUGAGCCUUCGAACUGUCCAAAUCAAUGCACAACAAAACUUCUCAAUUGACAGGUACUUUGCCUCAUAUUCUGUGAACUUCUUGCUGAGGUAGUAAAUUGCCUUCUCUCUUUUCCCUGACUCAUCAUGUUGUCCCAGUACGCAACCCAUUGAGUUCUCAAACACGGUCAGGUACAAUAUUAAGGGUUUUCCAGGGGUCGGCGGUACUAGCACAGGAGAAUUAGAUAGAUACUGUUUUAUCUUGUCGAAGGCCACUUGGCACUCCUCGUUCCAUUCUCCCGGAUUACGUUUUCAAAGGAGUCGAAAAAUUGGGUCACACUGAUUGGUAAGUUGAGCAAUGAAUCGAGCAAUGUAAUUCAACCUUCCUAAAAAACCUCUGACUUCCUUUUGUGUACGCGGGGGAGGCAAUUCUUGUAUAGCUUUUAUCUUAUCUGGAUCAACCUCGAUACCUCUUUCACUAACAAUGAAACCUAGCAGUUUUCCUGAGGUAGCCCCAAAUGUACAUUUGGCCGGGUUAAGCUUCAACUGAAACUUUCUUAAUCUUUCAAACAACUUCCUAAGACUCCCAACAUGCUCUCUUUCUUCCCGAGAUUUGGCAAUCAUAUCAUCGACAUAAACUUCUAUUUCUUUGUGCAUCAUAUCAUGGAAUAACGUCACCAUGGCUCUCUGAUAUGUUGCCCCAGCAUUCUUUAAUCCGAACGGCAUUACCUUGUAGCAGAAGGUUCCCCACAUUGUUAUGAAUGUAGUUUUCUCCAUAUCUUCGGGAGCCAUCUUUAUCUGAUUAUAUCCUGAGAAACCAUCCAUGAAAGAAAACAGAGAAUGCUUUGCCGUAUUAUCCACCAAAGUGUCGAUGUGCGGUAAAGGAAAGUUAUCUUUAGGGCUUGCUUAAUUCAGAUCAUGAUAAUCCACGCACAUUCGCACCUUGCCAUCUUUCUUCGGCACUGGGACUAUAUUAGCUACCCAUUCUGGAUACUUUGAGACUUGUAGGAAGCCAGCGUCAAAUUGUUUCUUGACUUCUUCUUUUAUCUUUAACAGCAUUUCGGGUCUCAUCCUUCUUAAUUUCUGCUGAACGGGCUUGCAUUCUGGUUUCAGUGAGAGCUUGUGGACCACAAUAUCCGUGUUUAAUCCUGGCAUAUCUUGAUAAGACCAGGCAAACACAUCCUUGUAUUCAUGGAGCAAGGCGAUCAAAUCUUGCCUUGUGUUUUUUGAAAUCGAAGUCCCAAUCUUCACUUCUUGUUUCUCUUCUUCAUUCCCCAAGUUCACUACCUCAACAGAUUAUUGAUGGGGUAGGAUUUGUUUCUCUUCUUGUUCCACCAUUCUCAGUAAGUCAGGAGAUGAGACACAAUCUUCAACAUUUUCGUCAGCUUCGAAUUCUCCUAAACAAAUAACCUUCUCAAAAUUGAUUUCAGGAUUCAUAACGGGAUUAUUCAUGCCAUUGAUAUCUGAACACCUGAAAGGUGAAUGGAAAAAGGAUAUAGAAGAGUAUUGAGGUAUUGUAAUCAACACACAAUGAUAUGAGAUGAUAUGAGACAUAUGCCAGAAAAGGAUAUGAACAGAAGGAGUAGUCGCAAAGUUAAUGAAAAGAAUAUGACAAUAUAAAACAAAAUGCAUCUUCAUUAAUGUUCAUUGAAAUGAUAAAGAGCAAACAUAAGCUCUUACAAAAGGAACCCUACUGUUUAAGGACACACAAAAUGAAGGGUUAACAUUGAGCAUUACUCUGAAGGGGACUUAAAAACUACAAGGAGGUCCUCAGCAGUCCAGUUGUUCAAAACAUAUCCUGGAGGACAAUGGCGUAUCAUUGAAGCAUUCUUAAUUUCAUCAUUCUCAUUGUCAAUAGCAUUUAGGCUGAGAUUCUGAAGACCCUUUUCAAUCAAUAAUGUGGCUUGCAAAUUGUUCUGCCCUGGGUACAUCACUCCUGCUGAUGUAAAUGUUCUCGACAAAGGAGGAUACGCCAACGGCCCCCAUUCUAAUUCCUGGCCCGAAGCUCUUGCGAUUCUUCUUUCUCGAUUUUUCUGAAAUUGUUUUUAUCUUUGAUGUACAUCUGGCUUGAACCCCAAACUGUAUCGACCCUUAUGGUGCGUUGGUUUCAAAGCUCUAACCAUCCUUUGUUGAUAUUUUCCCAAACCUUUCCUCGCUCGAGCUCCUUUUCCCACAGUCAGCUUAAGUCCCAUCUUGGUAUUCCUCGACAGUUUGGGAAUGGGGAUCUUAUUCCCUUCAGUAACAAAUGCAGCAUUGAUAAAUUUCAAGAAGCGAAAAGAACAUUCUACAGCAUCUUCGCUUAUUUCGAUGUAGGGUGCAUCAGUAGAGAUAGAUGCGACGAUGUCUUCCUCGCCACCAACAGUAAUCAAACGACUAUCCAUGAUGAACUUUACUUUCUGAUGGAGAGAUGAAGGAACUGCCCCAGCAGAAUGGAUCCAAGGUCUUCCUAACAGGCAAUUGUAUGAAGGUGUGAUGUCCAUGACCUGAAACUCGAUAUCGUAUGCACAUGGCCCCACUUUUAAAGGAAUUUCGAUAUUUCCCAUGACCUCUCGCCGUGUCCCAUCAAAUGCCCUUACUAUAGAAUGACAAGGCCUCAGAUAGGACAUAUCAACCGGCAUCCUAGAAAGCGUGGCCAAAGGCAUAACAUUGAGUGCAGAUCCAUUGUCGAUGAGCACAUUUGGUAAUAUGUAACCUUUGCAAUUGGUUGUGAUGUGCAAUGCUUUUAUGGAGCCCCUUCCAUUUGGCGGUAUUUCGUCGUCACUAAAGGAGAUGAAAUUAUCUGCAUUUAGAUUAUUUGCCCACCUAUCAAGCUUUUCCACAGAUACAUUGUUCGCCACAUAAGCUUGAUUUAACACUUUUAACAAGGCAUUCCGAUGUGGCUCUGAAUUCAACAAUAGAGACAGUACCGAGAUACGGGCUGGCUGCUUGUUUAAUUGUUCUACAAUGCUAUAUUCACUGUGCUUAAUGAACUUUAAGAACUCACAUGCUUCCUCCUCAUUCACAGCCUUUUUAACUUCUUCCUCGGGUGGUAUUUCAACAUCAUCCUCAGCCUCAUACAUUGGUGCUUUUCUUUUUUGGCUCGGACCAGCAACCUUCUUCUUUGGCUCAACCGUCUCGGGAGAAUAACAUCUUUCGCUACGAGUAAAAUGUCCUACUCCGCUAACACCUUCACUCACAACCUUGGACUUUUCACCCUCAGGUACAAUGAUAUUGACAUCAUAAUUCUAAGGCACCGCCUUGUUGUCCUUAUAAGGGAAAGGAGCAGGUACUUCAAUUAUCAAACUUGGUUUAACUUCUCGACUAACUUCUUCCUUCUUUGUCCCGUAAUAAAUCACCAAAGGUCUAUCGACGCUAUAAAGGGAAGCCAUUGAUUGAUUAUUAGAGGCACAUAUUUCUCCUUCUUCGGCCCCCUCCACCCUAUCAAAGACCUUGACCUCUUUGUUAUCCAUCAUGUCUUGAAGUAAUUUCCUAAAUUCCUUACAAGAUUGGAUGUCAUGCCCUUGGACGCCAUGAAAAUCACAGAAACUCUGGUCUUUUGUACUUUCUUCUUUAAGAAUCUUACUAGACGGACAGAGCAAGCCAUUUUCAAUCAUCAUCUCCCAUACCUUCCGUAAAGGUGUCUUUACUUCGGUAACACAACCUUUGGCUUGACAAUUGUCUUCAUUUGUCACCGCAUUUACAUUCCCGUCAGUAUGGUUAGGAAGAGGAUUUCCUGUCACAUUGCUAACAUCGUCGAACCGUAGAACACCGGCAUCAAUAAGACCUUAAACCCUCCUUUUAAAAGCAAGACAGUUUUCUGUAGAAUGUCCCUGAUUCCCAGCGUGAUACAUGCAAUUAGCGUUAGGAUCAUACCACUUCGGGUAUGGAGGCUUCAGGGGUGCCAUGUAAUGUGGGGAUAUUAAUUGUUUUUCCAACAGCUUUGGGUAUAAUUCUCCAUAUGAUACAGGAAUUAGAGUAAACUGAGGUCUUUCAAGAUUGGGUCUUGCCGGUCUUUGUUCAUUUUUGGGUUGGCUUUGUACAGGUAUGGUGUUUGGCGGGAACACGGUGAAUGGUCUUUGGUUAUUCACAGCAUAAACGGGGUAAGAUAGGGGUGCUUGAUAGUAAGGACUUUGAGGAGGAAAGUAGAAGUUUGAAGGUGGGCGGUAAUGAGGUCGUGGUUGGGUGAGGUACGGAUUAGGGGUACAUUGGCUUUCAGUCCCAACCAUAUGGGCCUCUGCCUCCUUUUUCUUUGCGGGUACUGUCCUCUUCGAACUCUCAGGACCUUCCAUUCUCCCACUCUUGACGGCGUUUUCGAUAAGUUCCCCGGAUAUUACAAUAUCUGCAAAGUCCUUUGUGGCACUUCCCACCAACUUAUCGUAAAAUGGCGCUUUUAGAGUGUUGAUGAAGAGGACCGUUAUCUCUGUCUUAGUUAACGGAGGCUCCACUUGAGCCGAGAUAUCCCUCCAUCUUUACGCAUAUUACCGAAAAGUCUCUGUCGGCUUCUUUUCCAUCAUUUGUAAGGUUAGUCGAUCAGGCACCAUAUCUGUUACAUGCCUAUAUUGCUCACAGAAUGCUGAAGCCAAAUCCUUCCAUGAUCGGAUUCUCUCUCUACUGAGUUGAUUAUACCAUCGAAGGGUUGAGCCAAUCAAACUAUCUUGAAAGUAAUGCACCAACAAUUUAUCAUCGUUUACAUAACCAGUCAUCUUUCGGCAAAACAUGAUCAGAUGCGCCUUUGGACAUCUUGUUCCGUCAAAUUUCUCAAAAUCAGGUGCCUUAAAUUUUGGUGGUAGGACCAAAUCAGGUACCAAACUGAGCUCUUUGGCACUCAAAGCAGAGAAAACUUCAGCGCCUUCUACUGCCUUGAUCCUCUAUUCCAGGACUCUAUACUUAUCCUGAGCGUUAUUGUCAUCAAUUCUCAGCCUUGCUACUUCUACAGGAUCAUCUAGGUCUGGAACAAUUGGAUCUGAAGGAUUAGCCCCAGGGUUCGAUACAAACAUUCCUUGUCCUAAAUGAGCAGAUGGAGCAGGAUGUUGUUCCAGGCCUGUAGGUUCCCUUUGGGGGUAUCCUCUUUGCAUUGCGUGGACAUGAGGUGGAGUAAAUCCCGGGGGAUAAAGUGGGUCUUGAUUAGCUCUUGACUGAGGCGGUUCUACGACAUUAGGGCUCUGUAUAGGUCCCUUUCCUUUGACCAAAGCCGUCAUCAUUUCUAUCAUUUUAGCCAUUUGAUCCCUUUGCUCGAGCAAUUCUUCUCGAGAUCUCACCAUCAAAUCUCUUGCCUCUUGCUGCGACUUGGCCAGUUGCUCCUGCAACUCUCUUUGGGUUCUUUCCAUCCUUUCCAUCCUUUCAUUGAGUUCAGCAUCCAUAGCUCUAGCUCUUAAGCGCGUCCUAUAAGAGUGACGUGAUUCCAGACUCGUAGUGUAGUAACUGUGGAUUAGAUGGUUUUACCCUUAGCGAAUGAUUAAGGUGAUAUGAGAAUACAAUGAAUAAAUGAAUGAGUAACUAAUGAAUGUUAAUCAUGCGUAAAUAUGCAAAAAAGGGUGUUGAUUCCAAAAUGGCCCCAUACUUGGGCGUUUCAUUUAUCAAAAGAGUCCGUUACAAAAAGUUUUGCCAUCCUAGUUCAACAAUUACACGAAUUUCCUAGCCACAUCGCCUUGCUUCUUCAUACGUUCCAAGAACUCUGAUAUGCUUGAUCUUUGGCUAGGAGGGUAUUGGCAACUGAGAACUUCCGCUUCAUCUGAUAAUUGUACUAUUUGUGCAGCCGCCUUACGAAUUUCAUUGAUCAACCUACCGAGAUGCAUAUCCUUUUCUUGGAGGGCUCUUUCAUAAGCACGAAUGUCUCUGUCAUGCUGAUCAUUCUUCUCUUCUAAAGCUCUCAAGAGGUCAUCCAGAUGUUGCUGAUGAGCUUGCAGUGUACUCUCUAGACUUCAGAUUUUUCCUUUUAGCCCUUGAUGCUCAGACUGACUAGCCGUUAGUUCUGCAGUCACAGUUUCGUAUUCAACGUUCUUCUUCCUCAACUCUAUCAUAGCACAUGCAGCUCUUUCCUCUUCUUUCUUUGCUUUGGCUUUCCAGAAUUCCAUCCCACCUUUGAUAUUACUUAGUUCCUCUUUCCAUUCUGCUGAUGCUUUGCCCAAUCCACUAUUUCUUAUAGUGCCCCUUAAUUUCUUGUUUUCCAAAUGAAGGUCCCUUAAAUUCUUUCUCGUAACUUGAACUUCUUUUUGGACUUUUUCGGCUCUGGAUUUUUCAAUUUCGACAUCAAUCUUCAGCUGGUAGUUCUCCUCCUGAAGAGAUUAAUAUCUCGCAACAUUUUGGCCUUUUCACGUUCAAAUUCAUGUCUUGCAAUUUCUAGCUCGGAUGGGGUUUUCUCUGAGAACGGAUUCUGGCAAGCUUCAUUAAUUGGUGGGGUUACUUGACUCUUCACUCGUUGUUGCCUCCAUAGGUCAUAGUCUACAGUGAUAGUAUCAGCAUAUAGAGCCAAUUCCAUUAGGUAGAUUCGCCUCCAAGAAUUCGCAGUAUCUCAAACCUUUUUCAUGUAACCCUCACCCAUAAAGGCAAACUCCGAUUGUGCCAAUCCAUCGGUAACUGGUACAAACUGUCGCGAAGCGAACUGUCUUUAAACCAACAAUGGAGCAUAUCCAACUCCUCCCCAUAAUCCUAAUAAAGGUAUCCAGUCUUGGUUUCCACACUUGUAUAACAAGACAGAGGGACGAAUCCAAGGUGCUCUCCAAGUUAUAUCUUCGACACGGAGGUUCUGAAAGACCGAGACCCAGUGUUGUUCAGUGACAUCUUUCGGCCAAUCUUUUCCAAGGUGUGCUUCCAACGGGGCGAAUGUCUUUGAAAACAUGUGGAAAGGCGUACGCUCCACCCUCCAAAAAUGGCUAAAGAUCCAAACAUUCAGUAACUGAGCGCAUUCGAUAAAACGUCCUUCCCCUUUUCUCCUACAAGCAUUUAGAGAUCUAAAAGUCUCAGCCAAGAUGGCUGGGACCGGGUUAACUCUUUGCCUCAACUUUUCGAAGAAAUCCACAACCGCAACUUCAAUAUGCCCAAGAACCUUCGGGAAGACGACCAGUCCGUAAACAGCCAAGGCAAACAAAUCUACUCUUUUUAACACAUCUGGAUGAUUCUGAACUAACUCCCGCAGAGAAAACCACGGGACACAACUGACUUCAUUCUUCUUCUUUAUCUGUUUUUCAGCCCAUGUAUCAGUCAUUCCCGUCAACUUCAUUAGCUUUUUCUUGAAGGUCAUUGGUUUAGGCUCCUUCACAUAUAUCUUGUUGAGUUGCACAUUAUCGAUGCGAAGCAAAGCGGCAUACUCUUCUAUGGUCGGAGUCAUAUCUUCCUGAUUGAAAGUGAAACACUGAUAGGCUGGGUCCCAGAAUCGAACCAUGGCUUGGAUCAACUGCUCGUUCACAUCGAUUGCUAUCAAGUGAGCUAUAUCCCCAUACUUUUCAGUGGAGAUGCUUCUAGUAUCUGAGUCCCACUGCUUCCAAAUCCUAGUCAAGUCUUCGAGAUCAUUUUGACGAGCAUUCAAAGUCACACGCUCGGGAAGAUCAGAGGUGUAUCCUUCCUUCAAACUGUCCCCUUUCACUUUUUGAGUUCUCAAAGACCAAUCUCGGACUACAGCAUUUUUCUCGGUUACUCGUGUAAUUGACUCCUCCAUCAGAAACCCGUUUUUGGCAACCAAUAUUUAACCAACACCUUCCUAAUGAGAUGUCUACGAUGCAUGAUGGAAAAUAAGAUGAAAAACAAAUAACCUUGGUUAGAGAUCACAACAGAUAUAAACAAAAGAAAAAUGAAAAAUAAAGACUAUGGAAAAUUUAACAAAUUAAGCUAUUCAAUCAUGCAAUUUGGUGGAACAGACCCACAUUUUUUUUUGCCCCAACAUGCUUUACAAGAAACCUACCCCACAUACCAUCAGACCAUCUAUCCGACCCAAUUUAUUGAAUAGACUCAAUUUAUCUGCAAAUAAGUGUAAAUGUAAAAGAAAUAAAAGGUAAGAGGCGUUUCUCCCGUGCACUUAUUUUGGUAACUAUCAAACGGACAGAGGUUCUGUAUGGCUCUACUCGGGUGGCCUAUACGGUUCACUAUAUGUAGUUUCGGUUUUAGAAAGGUACUCGAAUUGUCCAUACUAUCACCUACUAAGGUUAGUACAGAGCUUCGGUUAUCGCCCGUCAGGGCUCGCGAGCUCAAUUCGAGGGAUUACAUUUACUUAUGCCUAUGCGGAGGGACAAGUUAACUCACGAAAGCAUAAGUCAUAUGUAACCCGAAAGUAAUUACUAGCCUGUGCGGAGGGACGAGUUAACUCACGAAGGCGUAGCGUUUACUUCCACUUAAACGGACAGAGCCCGGGUAGAGAGCUCAUGUUAUGCAAAAAAUGCAAGUGCACUGUGUGUGGAGAGAAACUCACAAACCUUUUUAUUUUUACUUUUACUAAAAAAAACAAACUAAAACCAUAAAACUUAAAGCUGAAAAAAACACGAAAAUAAAAAAGGUUAGAAAAAUAUUAAUUUCAAAACUGAAUACGGAUGCAUGAUUUUUUUCAAAACAAAAUUCAAGGAUCACGAUUAAAAAUUAAUUUGAACAAGAAAAUUUGAAAAUUUUGACAACACACGUUUAACAUCAGACUCGACUCUCAAAAAAAACUCCCCAGCGGAAUCGCCAGCUGGAGCGACCUAAAAAUUUCUGGGCACGGGCGCUAGUCGAAGUAAUUAUUUAAGGUUUGAAAACAGUGUCUCGAUUUUAUUCGAAAAAGGGAGUCGCCACCGAUCUUUUUUUUUAGGUGUGAUCGGACACCUACAAAAUUCUCUUUUUAGAAGAAAAAUUUAUUUUUAAGCUUUUCUAAAAAGAGGUAAUUUUAGGUCCACGUAAAAAUCAAGAGAAAAUUAGGGUUCUGGAGUCGGUUACGCGCGAGGAAGGUAUUAGCACCCUCGCGACGCCCAAAAUUGGUAUCUCGUUAAAUGCAUGUUGUCUUAACUUUCAAAAAUACGAGUUCCAUUUAAUAUUUAGUCAUGAUCCGAUUGAAACACGAGAAUUUUGAAACACAACAACCCCUUUUUUUUUUUUGAAAACACGAAAUUUUUUUAAAACGCAAGAAUUUUAGAAACACAAAAAUUUUCUUUAAAAAAACACGAAAAUUUUGAAACAUGAGAAUUUUUUCAAAACACAAAUUUUCUUUUUGAAACACGAAAAUUUUGAAAACACAAAAAAUUUGAUAAAUUACGAAACAUGAGAUUUUUUUGAAACACGGAAAUUUAUGAAACACGGUCAAUUUUUGAAAACACAAAAAUUUUUGAAAGACGGGUUUUUUUUUUGAAAACACGAAAAUUUAUAAAACACGGAAAUUUUUUCUGAAAACAAGAAAAUUUUCGAAAAACGAGAAUUUUUGAAAACACAAGAAAUUUUUGAAAACAUGAAAUUUUUUGUUAAACUAGAAUUUUGAAAACACGAAGAUUUUUGAAACAUGAGGAUUUUUGAAAACACGAAGCUUUUUGAAACAUGAGAAUUUUUUGAGAACAUGAAAACAUGAAAAUUUGUCAAACACGGGAAUUUUUUGAAAACACGAUAACAUCAAAGAGUAUUCAAGAGAGUUUUUUGAAACACGGAAUUUUUUUUUGGAAAAAAGAAACACGAAUAUAUUUUUUUGAAACACAGGAAAUUUUUUGAAAAAAAGAAACACGAAUAUAUUUUUUUGAAACACGGGAAAUUUUAUUAUUAUUAUUUUGAAACACGAGAAAUUUUGAAGACAUGAAAAUUUUUGAAACACAAUUUUUUUAAUAAUACCAUAUUUAAUACGAAUCGAUGAUAUUCACCCCGAUAUGGCGAUGAAAUCGUCGUAUUAGUGUCAAAACAAAUCAAAUUAAUAUUUAAUCGGGAUUCUAAUAAAACACGAGGAUUUUUAUUAAAACACGAGGAAUUUUGAAUAUUUUCUAUUUUUAGAAGGGCGUCCCGUAUUUAACACGAGCCAUCAAUAUUCACCCAACAUAGAGAUGAAUUCAACGGCUUGAUGCUAAAUCGGUUCGUUGCCUUAUGCAUUAAAAUAUUUUUCUAUAAAAAAAUGCAAAUAAAAUUACAUAUAAUAAUAUUUCUAAACUAUUAAAAAACUAAUUUAAUUGUAAUGGGGAAAUAUUUAAAUAAAUGGACUUAAUUAGAGUGGGUUUAAAAAAUUACCAAAAGCCCAAAGUUAUGGGCUUGAAUUUUGGGCCUCCCUUUUUCUUUUUUUUUCUCUUUCUUUCCUGGGCUUUGGGCUGCCGGACUGGGCCGAGUCUGCUGGCCCGCUGGUUGCUGGAACAGGCUUGCUACCGCUGCUGGAUCGGGUACAGGCCUUCGUGCGGGUCGGGUCUACCUCCUGGACUGGGUCGUGGCCUGCUGUCACUGUUGGGCUGCUCUGCUGCGCGUGGGCCUGGGCUGCUGCUUAGCUGCUGGAGUGGCCUGCUGUUGGCCUGCCCAAGAUGGCCUAUUGCUUGCUGGGCCGGUCUGCCACUACUGCUGGUGUGGGUGGCCUGCUGCUGGCUUGUUGCUGGCUGCUGGCUGGGUCAGAUCCGGGUCGUCGGGUCGGGUUGGCCCGGCUGUUAUUUUUUUCUUCUAUUUUCUUCUUUCUUCUUUCUUCUUUUCUUUUUUCCUCCUUUUUUUUCUUUCCUUUUUCUUUUUCUUUCUUUUCUUCUUCCUUUCAAACCCUAGCCGCCGUCUUUUGCUUGGUGGCGCGACGGUGCCGGCGCUUCUCCCUUCUCCCUUCUCCUACUCUCUCUUCUUUCUCUCCUUUUCUUUUUCUUCUCUUCUUCCUCUCUUCCUUACUUCUUUACUGUUUGGGUUGCUGUUUUUUUUUGUUUUCUCUUUGCUUGUUUGUAUAGGUGCGACGGUGGUGGUGGUGUCACAACGGCGGUACGACGACGGUGGUUGCGGGAGGAUGGUGGUGGAGGCUUUCAGCUUGCUGCUAUUUUUUUAUUUUUGAAUUUUCUCUGCUCUUUUUCUUUUGGUUGCCGAAAAACCUUUUCUUUUUGUUUCGGUUUCCCUUGGCUUUCUAGGUGGCGGUGCGGUGGUUGCGGUGGCGGGGUAGUGGCACGACGGUGGCGAUGGCUUUUGGGCUGCUGUUGUUUGGAUUUUUUUGAGUUUUUCUCUACUCUUUUUUUAUUUUUUUUUGGUUGCUAUCCGACCCCCUUCCCUCUCUUUUGAUUUUCUUUUUAAUCUCUUCAUUUUUUUGUCCUCUUUCUUCUUGUUUUCAGAUGGCAUGGAGGUGGGGAGCAUGGCUGAUUGGCGGUGUCAGGCGUAGGGUGCGGUGCACGCCCGGAUGCUGGUUGGGGAGCAGUCUUGUCAUGCCCAGAAGGACUGAAUUGUAGAGUGUGCAAAGUUUUUGGGGCAAAAAUGUGAUUUUAGGAAAAUAUAGGGCCAAAAUGUAAUUUCUAGAAAGUUUAGGGGCCAACUAUAAUUUACAAAAUAUUAGGGGUCAAGAUGUAAAUUUAGAAAAAGUUGGGGGUCAAAAAAUAAUUUUUGAAAAGUUUGGAGGCCAAAAUGUAAUUUUUAUUUUUUGUAUUUUUUUUAUUUUUAUUUUUUUUUCAAAAUUUUAUUAUGACUAUUUUAUUAAUAUUUAAAACAAAAAUUAAAAACGGACUAAAGCAAUUCCAAAAUUAAAUCCUAAUGGGCUCGAUCAGUGGGCCCAUACGAGACCGACCCGGCCCAAAAUUCAAACCGGGCAAAAUUCAGUGAUUACAGUUAUUUUAUUAUCUUAAUUAUUUUUCAAAAUUAAUAGAAUUUUAUUAUAAAUUAGGGCAGUUCUCAUUUAAUUAAAAAGUUUAUAUAUAUUAAAAUUAUAAAAAUAUAUUAUUUAGUAAAUUAAAAAAUAAACAAAUACAUAGUUUAAUUAACAGUAAUAUUGUAUUUUCUCCAUUAUGUGGUAUUUUCCCUAUAAAUACAUAGUUUUAGGUUUAUACCUAGAGUUAGCCACCUUAGUAUUAUUUUGCUUUAGUGUUUUCUUUUGUCCAUGAAUUUCUAAAUCAUCUUUUCUAGUCAAAGGGAUUUUGAACUUUGAUUGUAAUAGUUUGUAAGAUCUAAUUGCUCUUCAUCUAUUCUUUGUUCUUUAGCGCUUGCAUGUGUUCUAUUUUAAUUACAAAUAUUCAAGUUUGUUGGAUAUUGGUACCAUAUUCAAUUGCUUAGAACAUAGUGACAAAUAACAUGAUUACAUAUAAACUAUGUAUGCAAUUCAUGUUAUGUGGAUACCCGAUUUAAUCUAAAUGAACCCCGUUGGUGUGUGUUAGUUGGUCAGAAAUAGGUUUCUCUCAUUCUUAAUACUACCUAUAAUUAAGCUAAAUCCUAGGCACGAAGUUAUAGGGCCUCUUGGUUAUCGAAAGGUAAUGAGAGAUUGUUUAUAUGGUUCUUAAUGCUAGGUGCGACAUGGGCAACUAUAACUAAUUUAUUAAAAACACUAAAAUUAUAUUUGCAUCAUUGAUCAAACUCAUGAAUCAAAAUUGAGAUUUUACCUUAGUUAGACUCUCAUUAUAUUGAUUUUGCUAUAUUUUAUUUUGCAAUCUUUUUCUUUUACAAAGUUUUAAUUUUAAUUUUAAAAAUCCUUAUUUUUAUUUUACUUGUUUUUUUAAAGAAUUAGAACAAUCACUAGUCUUUGUGGAUAUGGCUCUACUCACAGUCAUCUACAAAUUUAUUUUUUUAGUAAGAAUUUAUUUUUCUAGGUCACAACAACCAUACAACUUUUGACACCAUUGUUGGGGAUUGGUGUCAAUAAUUUUAUUUCCUUUUAAAUUCAAAUAAGAAUUUUCAAGAAGAGUGAAUGAGGUAAAUAUUUCUUUUUCCUAAUAAUCAUUGAGACCAAACGAUAACAUUAAUGAUGACCUUGAUAUUUGUGGGUGUCGAAAUAUCCCUUAAAAAAAUGUAUUUCAAAUUUUAACUUUCCUGAAAACAUAUAUUAUAAAUAAUAAAAUAUCUAAUAACAUAGUAAAAAAAAUCCAAGUUUUGGUUCCCCUAUAAUCGAUGGCCCAGUUUGCCUUUAACGAGCACUACACCAAAACAGGCUUUUAGCGGCGUUUGAAUAAAAAAUGCCUCUAAAGAUCGAGCAUUAGCGACUCUUUUCGGAAAACGCCGCUAAAUAUCGAACUUUAACAUCGCUUUAUGGAAAACGCCGCUAAAUAUAAGCAUUAGCGGCGUUUUCUAAAAAGCGCCGCAAAAAACCUAUGCUUUCGGGGUUUUAGCGGCGUUUUUAAUGAAGCGCUGCUAAUGCUCAGGGCUUUAGCGGCAUGUUUUGGGAAGCGCCGCUAAUGCUUAGGGCUUUAGCGGCGUUUUUGAGAAAGCGCCGCUAAUACUCUAUUUUUAGCGGCGUUUUCUAAAAUGCGCUGCUAAUGCUCAGGGAUUUAAAAUAAUCUAAAAUAUUUUUUAAAAAUGGAAAAAUUAAAAUACUAUAAGUUCUUUUAAACAGAAUAUAUGGCAUAACCUAUAAUAUGGAAUAAAAGGCGGCAUCACGUGUUAAUUUAAUUUAAUUAUUAUUUAAAAAUUUAUAUAAAUAAAAUAGACAUAAUGAUUUAUUUAUCCUUCUAACUUUACAAAAAAACCAUUACAACCCUUUAUUUAAUUUUUAUCUUUUUAACCCUUAAAUUUAUAUUAUUUAUUAAAUCAGCUCAAAAUAGAUGGGAAAAUUAUUCUUUAUUAACUUUACUAAACAUGGAAGCCAAAGGCCCUGAAAUGAAAACAAUUUUCACCAAAGCGUUUUUAUAACUUAUACACUUUUAAAUUAAUAAUGAUAAAAUUACAUGUUAACCCCCUAAAAAUGAUAAAAAUUUUAUUUAAUCCUUAUAAAAAUAUAAUUAAAAUGGUAAAAUUACAUUUUUAACUAUCCUAAAAUAUACAAUUUAAUUCCAUCUCCUCCAAAAAAUAAAAAUAAAAGAAAAACAUUACCGUUAACCCAGUUCAUAGGAGGCUGAAAGUGAUACCCGGUUCGAUGAAGUUGUUUUACAGUAAAUGCAGUUUUAGAUUAUAAAUGUGGAUGAAUCUUAUGAAAUGCUUCAACGAUGCCAUUCUUACUUAUUAUCUCACAAAAACACCCAAUUAUUAAAUAAACUAACAAAAUAUUUUUUGUAAACUCCAUUGAAAUUUCGAAAGCCGAAUGUUGAAACAGGAUGGUGAUUCAUUUAUAUAGGACUGAAAUUUAACAAUUUCAAAAAAAAAAUAUAUAUUUUAAAAUGUUUAGAUAAAAUAGUUUUUUAUUUGAAUUUACCAGUAAUUUAUAAUAUCAACAUUAAAUCUACAAUUCUUGAUUUUCUUUUUUUAAAAUAAUUAAAAUUUUAUUCUUAUAGUAUUUAAAUAAUUAGGGAUUAUGAAUUGUGGUUUAUGGUUUAAGGGUUGGGGUUUAAGGUUUAGGGGUUAGGGGUUAGGGGUUUAGGGGUUAGUGCUUGCUGAUUUUUUUUAUUGAUCUUCUACCCCUUGUACCUGGAUCCGACCUGACCUGGAUUGUUCCUUGUGUUCUUUUUCUGCUUUCUCAGCAGGGAGAUCCCAUUCUGCAGACAAAGAAGAACACAAAAGAUCAAAGGUAAUUUUAUUUCAAUUUGAUCCAUUUUUCUUGGUUAUCUUUUCCGUGUUUUUUUAUUUGUAAUUUGUUAUGUUUUCUGGGUUUUGCUUAUAAUGUCUGCAUUAAUAUUCAUUUCACAUUUUUUGUUUGUAUUUGCUUUUGUUUCUUUUUCCCAUCACAAUCAAAGUUCUAAACUAAUUUUUUCCCUGUAAUUUCAUUUUUAGAUUCAAAGUUUCUUUUUUUUUUUAAAUUUUUUUAUUAAUAGCAUUGACUUUUAAUAUUUAUUUUGAUAGUUUUUUUGGGGGAAGUGUGGGGGGGGGGGUCAGCAUAUUUGCUUUUGAACAUAAGAUUGAUUCUGCCUGUGUUGUGUAUUUGCCAAAUUCCAGUCCUGGAUUCAAAGUUUGUAUGUGUUUCUUACCAUUUUCUAAGAAAUAAAAAAUAUGUUAUUAAUAUUGUCUUUGUUAAGUCUUUUUCACAUAAUAUUCUUUGAAGUUUGAACAUUGUUUUGCUCCUUUUCAUUAUGGAAAAACAAAUCUUUUUUUUCCAAUUUAGUCUUUGUUUUUAAUUAUUUUAUAUAAUUAAAUUACUCAAAGUUUAUUUCCCUUUUUUUGAUCCAAACUUUUCUUUUGUACAAAAUUACUCUCUUUCUUAACUUUUUAUAUUAUAUAUAUGUUUUAUAAUAUUAGCUUUAGCUCUCAGUUUUCACUUUCACAUUGAGUUAUUUGAGCAUUUUUCAUAUUUCUUGCUAAUGUGGGACAGAUUUCAUUUUCUUAAAAGGAAAAAAAUUAUGUUGUUUUUGUUGCCUCAAUCCUCUUUAUUUGUCUCUUUAACCUCAUUGGAUAUGGAGUCUAUGUUGUCUUUUCUUUUCAGUUUUUCCAUUUUAGAUUUAUAGGUAAACUUCAAAGUGGUUCUUCUUCAAGUUAAAACAGUGGGGUUUUUUACAUUGAUCAUCUUAAGUUUUCAGAAAAUAUUUUUCCUGUUGAUUUGGAUUUUUUAAGGUUAUUUUUGUCUUUCCUUCCUAAAAUACUUUUUUUUGGAUGAUUUAAUGAAUAUGGCAGGAUUAAGCUUUAGAAAUCCAUGAUUAACUGAGGACUCUAUAUUGGGUCCUCAGUUCAGUUGUUUAAAAUCUAUAUAUUUUUUUAUAAUAUGCUAUGUUAUUCGGACUUGGAUAUGUCCUUGGAGGAUCAUAUCCCGGUACUUUUGUUUGCAUAUGUGCUGGACACAGAUGCUUUAAAUAAAAUGAAGAGUGCUUGCUGUCAACUAGGAGUUUUGAUGAUUAUGAUCAUGAUUGUUUCAUAUAUAUAUAUAUAUAUGCUCUAUUUUUCACCUAUAGUAACAUUAAUUUUGUAAAGAUAUUUUCUUCAAUUCUGAAACUGCUUUAAUAUCUCUUAUCUUAAAAGUUUUGUUUAUCUUGGUAAACUUAAUUUUGCAGCUGCUACUGGAUUUUUUGAGCUUCUCUGCUUCUAGCUUUUCAUCUAUGGCCAGAUACUCAGUUGUGACUGAUAAGGUCUCAAUAGAGGUUGUUGAAGAAUUCAUUCUAGUACAGUUGAAUCUGACAAAAGGCACAAUAUCUGAAAUUAAGGUACCUAAUUCUUUUUUUUCCUUCUUAGCCAUUAAUCAUUAUUGAGUGUUGACAUGGGGGAUCUAUGCUACUAUAUCUAUGUUACUCUAACUCAUCAUUUUUUCUGAAGUGCUCAUGUUUGACACUUGUGUUUGAUGCAUAUUUGGACAUGGAUACAUGAACAUGAUCCUCCAAAUAUAUGAAAAUCCUUAAAAAAGUUGAGCAUACCUAUGUGGGAUAUAUACCUUAUCUGAAAAUAAAGGUUAUGCCUUUUUAAAAACCUGUUUAAUACAUUAUAUAAAUUUCUUCUUAAAAGUUUGUUAGGGCUGAAGCAUGCAUUAGUCUACUAUAAUUUGCUGCAUAAAUGGAAAUUAGCUAGGUGUCCACUGCACAACCUUCAAUUAGACUUUACAUAAAAAAAUUCAUUAUUCAAGGCAAACUGCCUGGCUUGCUGAAAAAUGAUAGUUACAAACUGCCUUCAUUUCUCCCAUAAAGAUCUGCCGAAAUAUGUUUCAUCUAACAAGAUUUUGAUUGACAGCACAUUCAUUUGACAGGAUAAUUUGGAAACCCUGUUGCAAGAGGACAUUCAGGCUGAUCUAGUCUGCUGCUUGCAGCAUUUGCAGGUAUUUUGUGUAGUUUAAGUUGUGAACAUUGGGUUUUGAUUUGUCAUGUGAACAAAUAUGAUGAAUCUGAAGUGCAUUUCUAUUCUUCUAUUUGCAGUUAAGAUUUGAAAUUGAAGACAAAGCAAGGAGACCUCUAAGUAAUGUGUCAUUUUUGUUGAAACCAGGGGGUUAUUUUUUCGGUAUUACUCCUGAAAAAGUGAUUGCCAAAAACUGUUGUUUCUGGAUUUAUGUAUUUUCCUUUUUUUUUCUUGUGAUUACUGCUGCACCUGUUUCUGGGAGGUGAUUGUGUAAACAUUUUAGUGUGCUUUAAUUAUUGUAAGAAUAUUAAAUUUUAACAUUGUUAAUUUUAAUAUUAUUGUAAGAAUAUUUUGAAUUAUAAUUCAGUUAUCAAUUAAUAUCAUAUAUCUUUCAUUGAAUUUGAAGUAUCAUUUAAAUUUACUGUUUUUGGUUGGAUUUUAUGUUACAAGAAGAUUUGUAUAUGGAUGAAAAUCGGCAAAUUUGUCAAAAUUAGUGGCGUUUUCCCAUAAACGCCGCUAAAGUACGUACUUUUAGUAGCGUUUGUGAUGAAAGCGCCGUUAAAGAUAAUGUUCUCUAGCGGCGUUUGUGGGUCAAGCGUCGCUAAAGGUCAUGUUCUUUAGCGGCGUUUGUGUGUAAAGCGCCGCUAAAGCUCAUGUUCUUUAGCAGCGUUUGUGGGUAAAGCGCCAUUAAAGGACAUGUUCUUUAGCGGCGUUUGUAGCUAAAGCGCCGCUAAAGGUUAUGUUCUUUAGUGCGUUUGUGGCUAAAGCGCCGCUAAAGAUUAAGUUCUUUAGCGGUGUUUUUUUCACAUAAACGCCGCAAAAGUUAGCGACGUUCUCAAUAGCGGCAUUUUUUGCGGCGCUUUUGUGUAGUGGAGGAUGAUGAGGAAAGUCUUGACGAUGUUGUGGAUAGCUCGGUUCAAGUUUAGGGUGCUUCUAAUAGUGCUAAUGUUUCUUCUAUUGUUCCAUCGACUGGGAAUCCUUCUUCUAUUAGUGUAGCUGCUGAUACAGUUACCUCUACUUCAAUAAGAGAUGAGACAAUACAGAUUGCCUGGGUCAUGUUUAGUCUUUUUGUAAAACUUUGGUAUUUAAUGCAAACUUUAUCCCUUAUUUGGAUUCCGUGUUUAUGUUAUGCAUCCUUGCAUUUCUUUAUCAACUUAUUGUAUUGAUCUUGUGUAGCUUUAUCAAGCUUUUAUUUUUACUACUUGGAAGAUGUAGGGAAUUUUAUUCUUUCCUUAUUUGUUGUAUUGUGCUUUUAGAUUAACUUAGUGAGAAGUACCCUUGGCUAAGUCUUUCAGAAGGCUAGUAGUUUUAUUUGCUAUUAAUUUAACGGGCAGUAUCCUUGGAGGGUCUGUGCUAAAUUAAUGGGCAGUAUCCUUUUUUAGUUGCAAUGUGACACCUCACACUCGAUUCGGACGACGAAUUUAUAUAUAAAACAUCACAUUCAUUAUCGAAACAACUCAAACAAACAAGAAACUGACGUCAAAGCCAAAUCAAGAAGCAUAGCACAUAAUUCAUAAUUUCCAAAACGCUAAUAAUUAAUUUGUAACUUUUUUUAAUAUAGUUAAUUUAAUGACUAAUGCCGUAAUUAGUCUCACUUAAAAAGAGCCCACCAUUUGACUUGACGCAGAGGUCAAGAGAUAUCUCUAAAAAUGGGAAGCAAUAUAUGAUGUUUAUGGUUGAUAUUGUUCUAUGUGAGGUGUUCAAAUGGUUGAUUGAUCAGUUAACUAAAUCGAACUAGUAUUAAUUGAAUUAAUCUAACUUUUUAAUCUUUAACUGUUAAUUAAAUCGAUUUUUUUUCAAAAAGAUUAACCGAACAAAAAAUAUUUCAAUUAAUUCAAUUGGUUAACCAAAAUUUAUAUAUAUUUUUUGUUUAAAAUGAAUAUAAAACAUAUAAAAAAAUUGAUAAUGUUCAUUUGACUGAAUUAACCUAAUUAAUCAAAUUAGUAAUAGCCUAAUACAUAUGACAUAUAAUAUUAUUUAUUAAGUUCAGUUAAUUCGGUUAAUUACUCGAUUUCGAACUGAAUUAACCAUUAACUGAAAUUCCAAAAAUCAUUUAAUCGAUUUUUAACCAAAUUAAAUCAGUUAACUGAUCAAUUAACCGAAUUAAAUCAAUUUAAUCAAUUAAUUUAAUUUUAACCGAAACUUAAACACCUUUUUUAACUCUAUGAAUGCCAAAAUCCAUAUAUAGACUUAUUUCGGAUGUUAGAAUUUUCCACCAAAAACCAAGUCUUUGUGGAAUUAAAGUUUUGUUGCUAAGACCCACUGGAUUUUUCAUAACCACUAUAAUUAGAUUAGAACUAUCUCUCCGCGUAUGCUCGAGUUUAAAAUUUUUUAAUUAAAUUUUAUUAAUCUAUUUUUUAAUUAUUAUAAUAUUAACAUAGAAAUUAAAAUUGUGAUUAUUGUUUAUAAUAGAAUAUAAAGUCUUAAAUUAUAAUGAUAAAAUCAUGGAGAAGAUAUUUUAAUUUAAAAAAUGUAUAAAAUUUAUAUAUUAUCUCUUCAAUAAUUUAAAUUAUAAUGAUAAUUUUUAUAUAUUAAAAUUAAUAUAUUAUCUCUUUUACAAUUACAUAAAAAAUUAUAUUAAUAUAUAAAAAUGAUAAAUUAAAAGAAAUUCUCUUUUAAUUGUUUGCCAUUAGAUAUCUAGUGAACUGAUGCCACUAAUUUAACUCUCAAAAAAUGGAAGUUUGAGAAAGCUAAAGGUUGUUAAAUUAGACAAAAAGAAACAAGAAGCCAUGCCAAUAAUUCCGUUAACAAUUUAACCGGACCAAAGUAGAACUAAAUGAUAACAUUAAUGAUGAAAUUAAAAGUUUUUUGUAGUUCAAUGACAAAACAAAAAUACGCUAAUAAUUGAGCCAUUCAUUGUGCAAUUUAGACUUAAUUUAUUUUUGGAAGAAAUUGUAUUUAUGUGAUAAUAAUAAAUUUUAAAAAAAUAUUUAUUUUGUCAAAAAUUUGUAAUUAUAAUCAUUUAAAUAUAUAUAAAAAAGUAUCCAACAAAUAUAUCAAAUUAUUGCAAUAAAAGGAUGAAGAAAUCAUAAUAUAACAAGACACCAAUUAGAAAUAACUUCAUUUCAAAUAUAAAUGAAAUUUAAUAAUGAAACAAAUUUUAUUAAAGGCAAGGACUAAAUUAAAAAAAUUAAAAUCAAUUAUAGACUAAGGGUGAGUUUGGAUGGGCGGUGUGUUUACCUGUGGUUAGAGUAAAAACAGCGGUGGUGGUGAGAUUAGAUACUGUAGCGAUACUGUAGCGUGAGACAAAAAAUAAGUUAAACGCACCGCACCGCACCCAAUCGCCCAUCCAAACUCACUCUAAGAUAUGAAUAUAUAAAUAGUGAAAAGCGUAAUCAUAAACUUUUAAAAUAAAAAUAUUCUAGAAAGCAAUUAUUUCUAAAAAGUAAAAAUCAUCCACCCUCUUUUGUUUAUUAUACUUUUAUAUUGAAUAUACUAUGUCUUUUUACUUGCUGAAAAGGUUACAAAGUUAUCAUAAAUUUCCUAAAAUCUUAUAGCACUUUUCCAAAGAUCCAAUACAGCAUGAUACAAUAGCUGAAUUAUACCAUUAAUUAUUAAAUUAUAGAUAAUCAAACAAGAUUAUAAUUUAGUCAUUAAUAUUUUCAAAAUUAUUUUUAUGGUCACCUGAUUAAGUGGCACUUUUUUUUGUUAGUAUGAUAAUAAUUUUAUUCUUUGAUUUUUCUAUUAAUUUGACUCUGAUUCUAAAUAAAAAUUAUAAAUAAAUAAAUAAAAAGACAAUUUCAAAAAUAGUGGUAAUCAAAUUGUAACGUUUUUAGUUUAAUGUCAAAAACAAAAAUUUAUCUAUAAUUAAUUUAACGCAUAUAUACCCUUUAUUUUUUGAAAGGAAAUCUUACUUAAAAAUAUCCCACCACUUGACUUACACACAAGUCAAGUAAGGAAAGCAAUAUUUGAUGUUUACUGUUGAUAUUAUUUUAUGAAUGCCAAAAUCCAUAUAUAGACUUAUUUCGAGUGUUUGAAUUUUCCACCAAAAACGAAGUCGCUGUUGAAUUAAAAUUUUGGUGCUAAGACCCACUGGAUUUUUCACAACCACUUUUAUUAGACGAUAAUUAUCUCUUCACGUAUGCUGGGGUUUAAAAAUUUUUAAUUAAUAAAUAAACAGAGAUAAUAAAGAACAAAGAAUAUGAGAGUUAACAAAAGAGAGUGUGUGUUUUAUUGAUCAAUCAGAAUAUUUACAAAACUUUUUCAAAAUCUUUAUUUAUAGGUAUAAAAAGUAUAAAUGAAGUAGAGAUCUCCGGAUGACUAUUAAAAUUUAAAGUACAUCAAAACUUUUCUCGGUUUUAAUGGAUAUCCGUUUAAUAAUAUAUCCAAAACAUUUAUUUAUUUUUAAAAAAUAUUAUAAUAUUAACAUAGAAAUUAUAUUUGUGAUUAUUGUUUAUAAUAUAAUAUAAUAUAAAUGAUAACAUCAUGGAUAAAAAUAUUUUAAUUUAAAAAUUGUAUAAAAUUUAUAUAUUAUCUCUUCAAUAAUUUAAAUUAUAAUGAUAAUUUUUAUAUAUUAAAUUUAAUAUAUUUAAUCUUCCUUUAAACGAAACAAAUUACUUGUUGAGUUAUUGUAUUUAUUCUAUGAAUUAAUUUUAAAUUUUAUUUGUUAAUCUUCACAAAAUUAUUAGACACUUUGAGCAGUUUAGAAAAUCAUUUAAAAGUAGAGAAAUUCUAUUGAAGAAUGAUAUUUUUGAUUAUUGAAAAUAUUUGCUUAUUGAAGAAUGAUAUUUUUGAUUAUUGAAAAUAUCUGCUUAUUAUCAGACGGAUGAUAUUUUAAAAACUCAAACUAAUAAAACAAUAAUUUGAAACAGUGAAGAAACUUAUAGAAAGGGUGUAGCAAGAGAGCUAGAGGGUUGACACCAGAAGUCAAGAGAUAUCUCCAUAAUGGUCACUUGUGUUGAGUGGUCUGGGGUGAUUGAAUUUUGUACAUUGAAAACGAAGGUAGAGGACAAUUGCUUUCUUGUCACUAUUGCUACAAAUGCCAUUGAAUUUCCACAAGAAAUUUAUCCCAUAUUUAGUUAAGGGAACCUCACUUGACUUGACACGUGACACAAGUCAAGAUAUAUCUCUGAAUGUAAGUAUUAUAGAUUUUUAUUUUUUUUCUAUUAUAUCAAGUAAAUUUUUUAUAUUUAUGUCAUGUAAUUAUAUUAUGCAGUAAAACGUACAAGUCUAAUUCAUAAUGACUUUCGAUAUUGCCUCACGUAUCAUCAUGCCUAUGCUAUUUUUGUAUUAUCCUUGUUUUGAAGGCUAUAUAUAUUUAUAUAAAUUUUGUUUUAGGUAGAUUUUAACAUGUUUUUUCUUCAUCUCAAGUACAUUUUUUUUUAUUUUUUUUUUCAUAUUUUAGUUAUUGAAUGUUGGGCUUAAAAUAUUAUAAACAUUCCUAAUUAUAUAUUAAUUUUACAUUAAGUUUUAACAGAUAAAUUUAGCAUUAUUAUAUUAUACUAUAAUAAAUUUCUUAGGUCAAAAUUAUCUUUGAUUUUUUAUCCAAUUAGAUAUUCCUACACCUUUUUUUUUAUUUCUAAUAACAAAUUCAAAAUUAUCUAUAUCUAUCUAUAGUACAAACUGGCUCUUAAGAGAGUUUUAAGAGUAAAUGGGUUGAUAAUAGUGUUUUUCAAUUUUAUACAUAUUCACAAUUUUUAUCUUUAAAGGUGUCAAGGUUCGUUCAUUUAUUUUCAUAUAAUUAUGUUCAUUUAUCUUCAUACCAGGCUUUCUUGCAGGCUUACAAUCUACUCUAGCUUAUUAUUACUUUAAUGCAAGCUGCAGGACAGGAUUAUGAGUGUAACACCCUAAAUUCGGCCUAGACGUUAUAGUCGUAUCUGGUAAUGUCACACGAUAGUGUUUUUGAAACUUCAUUGUUACGAUGAAAACAUUCCAUAUUUUUUAUUUUAUUUUUUAUUUUAGUAAACCUUUGUUAGAACUUAGGAAGUCGUCUUUACUCAUUUAAAACAUUUUUUUUGAAACAUCCCUCGUUAUAAAUUCAUAAAGUAAAAUAAAUAAAUAAAAACCCAAAUUUAAAACCAAAGUCCCAGAGGGUCCUUAAAUUACAACCCAAAUAAUCAAUAAUAAUCAAAUCGUAAAUCGUAAAUUGAAAACCAUGAAGUCCAAAAAUUACUAUGGUCACCGCUGAGUCCUCCAUCACACCUAUUCAUCUAGGUCUGGGGAUUACCUGUGCACAGUAAACAAAAAGGCGAGUUUAUGUAAACUUAGUGUGUAAUCCCAUAGAAACAAACAAACAAUCAAUAUUCACAGUGCACAGUUGAAUAGUCUUGGGCCUAAGCCCUUUUCAGUAUCAGUGACAGUUUGGGCCUUAGCCUAUCUCAAUACAAUGUCAAAAAUGCAAUAGGACCUUAGCCCAUUACAGUAUUAGUAGCAGUAACAGUUAUGCAGUAGUAAAAUCCUACCUAACCAGCCUCUACACACCAUCUCCGUCCAACCCUACACUCCAUAUAGGGAUAUAAUCAACUCACUCAUCUCUACACUCUAAGUAGUACCGAAUGAGGCACAAAACAGUAGUUUGCAACUGAGCUGCCAGUAAAUUUGGCUAAAAGCCUUUCAGUACACUUCUUCCGAAUAACAACCCCCAAUCCAAUGCAAUGCAACAUACAAUGGAUGACAUGCUAUUAUGCAAUUUCAGUACAUAUAUUCAAUUCAAAUAUUUUCAUACUCAGUACAGAUAUCAUUCAGUCAAUUUCACACAUUUAGGGAUCUAAGUAGCGUUUACCGACCCUACAAUAGGUUCACAGUCGACUUGGGUGACCCGUGCAACCUUAGAAACAUUUCGAUGAAAAUGGGCUCACAUACCUAUGUGAUCUGCCCCUGUGGGCCCACAGGCCUGUGUAGCCCACUCGGCCCAAAUUGGCCUUGGUCGUGUGAUCUAUUUUUAAUGUAACCCAUGCUAGCUAAAUAUUCAUAUAUGUUUUCACUAUUUACUUAUAUGUUCAUUCAAAGUUGUCUACUUGAGUCAUUGUCACUAAAUUAUUUAUAUCUUGAGUUACGAAAAUCCAAAUUAAGACCCGCUUGAUGUUUUUGAAACUAGACUCAAAUACCUUUCUACCAUAAAAUUUUCAGAAUUUAUAGUUUAUCAAAUAAGUACAUUAAAAUCUUCAAAUUUAUCCCAAUUCUGCUAUUUGACAGCUUCAACUUUUUCUUACUUAAAAUUAUUUAUCUCUUAGUACGGAAUUUGGAUGAUGUUUCUAUUUGUUUCUCUUGAAAAUAGACUCAUUAACGAUUUAAACAUAUAAAUUUAAGCCCUUAUUUAUUGUUUUUCAAUUUUUGAUGAUUUUCCAAAGUCAAAACAGGGGAACCCGAAAUUAUUCUAACAUUGUCUCACAAAAUUUAUUAUAUCUCAUAAUUUACAAUUCAAUUGCUUACAUUGUUUCUUCCAUGAAAAACUUAAUAAAAUUUAAUUUCUAAUUUUAUUCAACCUCUAACUCAAUUUCCACUUAUCUUGAUGAUUUUUCAAAGUUAGACUACUACUGUUGUUCAAAACUAUUUUAGUGCAAAAUGUUGAUUUCCAAGUUUAUAACACCCUUAUUUCCUUUCUCUAUAAGUUUUCACAUUAUUUUCCCUUAUUUCUCUUAUUUCUCGAUAGCAAGCAAUUUCGACUUUUCGCCGAAUCCUAUUUUCUGCGUUUCGGGUACACACCUGGUAUCGUUUUGCUGCAAAUACGCUCUCAGGCACUCCAAGACUUAAAAAUCGAUAAUUAGAGCCCAAUUUAGAUCACUAACGAAAACUCAAAACUAAAAAUCAUCUACAUCAAAAUCAAUAGCAAACCUAAACACUUACCGACAACGAACUAAAAUUUCUAACGCUCAAUUUGCUUGUGAAGCCGCAACUGAUUUCUGAUUUUCGCCUAAACCAAGAGAGCCAAAACAAUCCUUUUUAGGAACUAGCUAAGAAACGAUAAAAUAGAGACAAUUAGAUACUUACAGAACCAGUGUAUACAAUUGCUAGUUGGAAAAUAGGCUAGUAAAAAAAUCAAAUAGAGAGGGUGGGCUAGGGAACAAAAAUUUGGCAAAGCAAAGAAGAAGAGGACGGUAGAAAAAUUGGGGAAAAAAAGAGAAUGCCGAAAUUUAGGAAAAAUAAAAACCAAAUAGAAACUUAGAUGAUAUUAAUAACUACCCUACAUCCCUAAAUUUUCUCCCACCAAUCCUACUAACCUACAACCACUCCAGAAUUCCACUCUGCCGAAAUACUUGUCCAUCAUUGCGUAAAAAUAACGCCUAUGCUCCAGCAUAGAUUCGAACUCAGGACCUCAUAUAAUUAAACACUCUACUUAACCACUAGACCAGCAGACCCAUUUUGUUAUUUAAUUACCAACUAUUAAACUUAAGCUUUUUAGGCCAGGUUAAGGCUUUAUUUAUAAAAAUACUAAUAUUUGCCCAAGUCAUGGCUUGAACUUGGGACCUCCCACACACUUCCAAAACACUUACCCAUUGAAGCAGACAAGUACUUAUAUCACAAAAACAAGAAUUAAAAAUUUUGGUGCAUUAUAAUUCUACCCCCAAGAGAAAAUUUCAUCCUCGAAAUUUACCUGAUCAGAACGAAUGAGGAUGCUGCUGACACAUCGCAUCCUCAAGCUCCCACGUUGCCUCCUUAGUAUUAUGGUUACACCACAGAAUCUUCACCAGAGGGAUAGACUUCCUCCUCAAAACCUUUACGUCUCAAUCCAUAAUCUGAACCGGCUCCUCCUCAAAGGUUAAAUCUGGCCUAACCUCAAUCUACUCUAUUGGAACAAUAUGUGUAGGAUUAGAGAGGUAGCACCUCAACAUAGAAACGUGAAACACGUCAUGAAUUUGAUCCAACUCUAGAGACAGCUCCAAUUGAUAAGCGAUCGGUCCCACUCGUUUCAAAAACCUAGAGCUCAACUUGCUCUUACGACCAAACCUCAGACUCUUCUUCAUUGCAAAACCUUGAGGAACAUGAAGUCCCCCACGGAAUACUCAAUCUCUUGACGCUUUAGAUCCGCAUAGGAUUUUUAUCUGUCUGAUGGCAUUUUCAGACGAUCCCGAAUCAGUCUAACCUUAUCUUUAGUCUCCAAUACUAACUCAGGAUCCAGAACACGUCGUUUGCCCAACUCAGUCUAACAUAAAGGAGUGCGACACUUAUGACCAUACAAUGCCUCGUAAGGUGUCAUCUAGAUGCUAGACUGAAAACUGUUAUAAUAGGUGAACUCCGCCAGUGGCAGAUAAUCUUUCAAACUACCUUAAAAAUCAAUAGCACAGCUCUUGAAUUUGAGCCUUAAGCUCCACAAGCUCCUUCCGUGCCUUUCGAUAGGGAGCGAUGGACACCAGAGCUGUACCUGGAAGUAGCUCAAUCCCAAAUUCCAACUCGUGAUUCGGAGGUAACCCAAGUAGCUCUUAAAAAAAGACGUCUAAAAAAUAUUUUACCGUUUCAAUAUCCUUAAUUGUAGAAUCCUUAGAAUCCAAAACACUUACGGAAGCUAAGAAUGCCUCACAUCCCUUAUGAACUAUUUUCUCUGCCACCAGUAUAGAGAUCACAUUAGAUAAGUAAUUCUGGCAUUCUCCAAUCAUGACUACCUCUUUAUCCUUCUUAGUCCUUAGUACGACCCUCUUAGUCGCACAGUCUAAGCUAACACGAUGCUUGACCAAUCAGUCCAUCCCUAGAAUUAGGUCAAACUCCCCAAAUAGAAGCUCCAUCAAAUCAGCCAAGAAGAUUGCCCCUUGUACCUCUAAAGGAAUGUCCUUAUACAGUUUACUAACUCUAACAGAUUGCCUUAAUGGGAUCAGUACCGUAACUUCACUCGUAGUGCUCUCAACUGGAAUUGUUGACACCAUUUUUGGAUUAAAAACGGGGUCGACUUGGGUUUUGAAAAUGAAAAUGAAUAGAGGAGUCGCCACCAAUCCUUUUUGAUGAGGUGCGAUCGGGUCACCUCGAAUUAAUCAUUUUAAUAAAAGUUAAGAUUUACUAAAACGAUAAUUUUUUUUGGUCUACGAAAAUCAGAAAAUGAGUUCGGGAGUCGGUUACGCACGAGGAAGGAUUAGCACCCUCGAUACGCCCAAAAAUUGGUACCUAGUUGAUUAAUUAGUGUCUUAGUUUCGAAAAUUGAAAACUUAAAAUACUUUGAAAUACGAUCCAUCUCUUUGUAAAAAAAACUCAAAUAUUAAAGACCUUCUCAUCUCUAAGUGAUAAAAUAUCACAUCCAGUAAGUUAGGACACGACAUCUCGAGCUUUUGAGAGUGAGUUUGUCUUUAUUUAAAAUUCAUGCAUUUUAACUUUUUUUUAAAAAGGAUGUUCGGUUAUUUAGGGUAAACGAAGAAAGUCGAAACCCAGUAAGUUAGGGUACGUUUUCUCGAAUUUCCUAAAAACGAAAUAUUGCCUUAUUUUGAAUUUUUUUUUGAAUAAUAGCAAAUGCAACAUUUAGAUAGUGUGCAUUAUUUGUUUGGAUUAAAAUAAAACAAUUUAUUGGAUAAAUGCAACGAGACUUGAUUCAUGAAGCGAUGAUAUAAAAUAAAAAUAUAGUAAUAAGCCUAGAACAAUGAUACAUGAACACAACAUUAUAUGGAUGAAUCACAAUAAUGCAAAAAUACGAAAUAAACAAAUUAAAAUACACAAAGACAAUAAUCAUACAACAUUUAAAUAAUAACAUCGAUAGAUAAAAGACCAAUGAAUUAAAUAAUAAUUUUUUAAGAAAAUAAAUGGCAUAAAAUAAAUUAAAAUAAAUAAUAUAAAACAUUUUAAAAUGACAAUAAUAAGUUUGAAAUAAAUAAUGUGAAAAAGGAAAUUUAAAAAUCAAUAACACACUAAACGAUAAAAAAUAUGUUUAUACAAAAAAUUAAGAUAAACAGUAUGUAUAUAUAUGUAUAAAAGUAUGAAGUGAAUGAUAUAAAAAGAGCAAAUAAUAGCAGUAAAACAUUUCGGAAUAAAUAAAUAGGAUUCAAAAUAAGAUACGUAUAACAAUUUAAAAUAAGCAAUAUAUAAAUAAAUAGAGUUUAAAAUAAAUGAUGUAAAAAAAAAAAUUUAUUUAAAAAAAAGGAACAAUAAUAUACGAAAAAGAAAAAAAGAUAUAUGAAGAAUAGAAAAUAUUUAUAUAAUAUGUGCAAAGAAACCAAAAUAAAUAAUGUAUGUAGAGUAGUUUAGAAUAAACAAUAUAUGCAAAACAACUUACAACUUUGAGUAAUUGAUACAUAAAAUUGGUUAAAAUUAAUAAUAUAUGAAAAUGAACCGUAUAUAGAAUAUUUUAAACACAUACAAUAACAGUUCCUUUUUUAAGAAAAAGAAUUAAACAGGUGAAGGAUUAAUUCGAAAACAAUACAAAAUUCUAGGUAAAAAAUAAAAAGAUACUGCCAGGAUUAAAAUGAAGUGCACCUAAAAUCAUAAGGACCAAAUGGGAUAAAAACCAUAGCCCUAACAUGCGCAUGAGGCCCGACAGAUCAAAAGACUGAUUUAAAAAACAAGCAAAAUCUAACAACUAAAUUAAGAGAAAAAGCAAAGAUAAAAUAGGGCCUGAUCAAAGGACGCUAAAGAUGGAGGGACCUCGUGUGCAAAUAUCCUAAUAAUUGAGGAUACAUGAAUCCCCAUCCCCACCAACGGCACCGUUUUGUUUGGUGUUUAAAACACCCAUUCUCUUUAUUAUUUCAGCCCUAAUUUCAUAGAAGAAAAGAAAAAAAGAACAAAAAAAAUAGAAUGUUAAAGCUUCUCUCCCUCUCCUCUCUUACUGAAUCGUGAGCCCGUCGCCGUUGCAUCACCGCGCCCCCACCGUAUCGGUGGCUGGCGAUGCUCAAGGGUGGGUUUUUAGCCCCCGAUUCAACCAGGUAUGAAGGCUAAGAUUUUUUAACCAAGAAAACCCGAAAAUGAAGGGAUCUCCACCCGUUUUGGGUUCGGCUCCGACGACUGAGGGAACCGCCGACGGUGUGACCCAGGGGUUCGGGUAAGUUUUCUCCCCGUCUUCUUUUUAUUUCUUGUUCUUGAAGCUUAAAAGCAAAAUCAAAAAUGAAAAAAGAAAAAAAGAAAUCAGAAAUUGAAAAAACGUAACCUUUUUCUUUUGUUUUUGCUCUUUUAUUUCUGAAAUAUGCGUGUGUACAAGAAUGGGGAUCCCUUUUUUACAAUUGCUUUCGGCUUCUGUUUUUAGCCGAAUGAGAUAGAAUCCAAAAUCUCCCCCUUUUACAUUGAAAAUGAAUGGCUCUUUAUAGCCGAUUAUACAAAGUCCUAUUGUUGUUUUGUUACUGUUUGCUGCGUUUCUGUUUCUGUUGCUGCUUCCGUCAUGUUUGCAGGUGUUCAAGGAGGUGAUGGGAGCAGGUGGAGGAGAGAUGGCGAUGGGACGUGCGGCUGACAGAGAGCAGCGGCAAGUGGGAUACUAGGGUUUCAGUUUCUGAAACCCUAGUCUGAUGUGGGCUUGGCUGUUGGGCCAGGGUGCUGGGCCUUUUAUUUCUUUCUUGGGCCCGGGCAAAUGGGCCUGCAACAGCUGCCCCUCUUUGCUCGUUGUCGUGUAACGAUAACAGAGAAAAGACUAAGAAAGGCCCAUUUUGCCCGGUCUCGCCGAGUCUUGACUUGUUCUGGUACUUCUCCAUUUCAAGUAGUUUCAUUCCAGUCCACUAGGUCUUGUUGCUUCGAUCCAUUCCACUGCAUUUUAGAGAGAUGCGUCCUGUAGCCUUUAUCUUCUUCGUAGCAACUUCAGGGGGACGAGGUUUGUGGUUUUCAAUCUAUUCCACUGCAUCUUCAGGGAAAUAAGACUUGAUGCGACCUACUCUGCUGUAACCUCAGAGAGAUAAGAUCCUUUAUUUUAACCCACUCCACUGUAACUUCAGGGAGAUAGGAUAGUGUCUUCGAUCUGCUCCGCUGUAAUCUCGGGGAGAUAAGAUCUCUGGCUUCAAUCUGCUCCACUGUAACUUCAGGGGGACAAGAUCUGUAAUUUCCAAUCUAUUCCACUACAGGUCAGGGAUAUAGGACUUGUGGUUUGAAUCCGCUUCCUUACACUUGAAGAUAAGAUUUGCUGUCUUUGAUCUGCUCCGCUACGGCUUAGGGAGACAAAAUCUGUAACCUUUAACCAGCUCCAAUGCAACCAAUGGAGGCAAGGCUUUGUUUUUGAUCUGCUUUACUGUUAAUGCAGGAAGGCAAGAUCUGCUUCUUUAACUAGCUCCACUGCAAUCGAUGGAUGCAAGGCUUUGUUUUCGAUCUGCUUCGCUGUUAAUGUAGGACGGCAAGAUCUGCUUCUUUAACCAGCUCCACUACAACCGAGAGAGGCAAGGUUUGUGUCUUCGACCUGCUUCAAUGUCAAUGCAGGAAGGCAAGAUCUUUUGUCUUCAACCAGCUCUAUCACAACCGAAAGAGGCAAGGUUUGUGUCUUCGAUCUGCUUCGCUGUCAAUGCAGAAAGGCAAGAUCUUUUGUCUUCAACCAGCUCCAUCACAACCAAAGAGGCAAGGUUUGUGUCUUCGAUCUGCUUCGCUGUCAAUGCAGAAAGGCAAGAUCUUUUGUCUUCAACCAGCUCCAUCACAACCGAAAGAGGCAAGGUUUGUGACUUCAUUGAUCUGUCCCUUGGGGAACAUGACCUGUAUGUUCUAUUUUAUGAACCUAAUUGUGCCUAGUGAUUAGGAUGACAUAAUCAGAAUGAAUCAAAUGCUCCUAACUAGAUAUGUAUGAAUGACAUUUGAAUGAAUGCAAAAUGUCAUGAAGAUGAUUCCUUAAUGCUUAGGUUAACAUCACGUAAAAACUUAUUAAGGUUUUAUCACUGACGUACUACAACGCCUUUUUGCUCGUCUGGUAUAUCCAAAGAAACACUUAAUCUGGUUGCCCCCCACUGUAAACCUUAAAGUUUAAUCUAUUAGGGCACAAAAUUUGUACCAUCAUUCUCCCACUACAAUCCAAGGGUAGAAAUAUGGUUUUUCCUCAAUCCUCUUUUAUCACAAUUCAAGGAUAUAGGAUCUUAAUCUUUCUGGUCCCCCUUUACACCAUUUCCAGGGUGUCGUUUCAAAGACUCAUGCACAAAUGAAGGCUCUCUUCUCCGAGGUAACCUCUUCCUAUUGCCUAGUGAUCAUUGCUUGCUUGUUUAUUUAAGCUUUUUCAUUGACACGACAUCUUGUCAUUUUGUUCAAUCAAUGCAUUUGUCAACAAAAUCCAAAGAGAAAGUCUAAACUUAGACUCUUCCUUCUCAAAUUUCCAACCUUCAAAUUUGGCAUGUUCUAAACAAUAGUCCUGUUUUAGGUUCCUGUAUUAUUUAGAAACUUUUCAGAGUAAUAUGCAAAACUUCCUUUGUGAAAGUUUUAUUAGUCCAUUAAUCAUUAUUCCAAUGCUUGCAAAAAGGUCAUAACAAUGGAUAAGAAUAAAGUUGGUUCUGAGCAUAGCUCGAAAGAACAAAUUAUCGAAAAUAGUGAAGAAGGACAACAAAAGAAUUAAUUGGGAAUGUAUAUCUUGGAAAGAAAGAAAAAGUAUUCCAAGAACAACAAAUAACAUGAGAAUUGGGUGCCCCAGAUAUCACAGCUUGAACUUCUCUAUACAAACUUUCUGAAGACCCUUUUGAGUUGGACAUGUGUUUAGGAGAUCUACAAUGCUCUGUCGAUGCCCCCAAGAUGUCGCCUAUCCUUUCCUGUUGAUUCAGGCAUGGCAAGAUCAACACAUGCCUCAAUAUGAACAAAACUUGAGCAGCUUAUAUCACCCCAUGCCCCAUUUUGAUCAGUAUUUGAGCCGCCCUUUUCGGGUUUUCAGCUCAGAUCCCCUUUGGCCUAAGGCGCCCUUUGCGGGUUUUCCCCUUAGCCUCUCCAUUUUACUCUUUUCAUUUUCCAUUUUCAUUCUUCAUCUUUUUAUUUUUUUUGAACUUCAUUGUCUUACAAUACAGUGACAAACUGUGAUGUCUGAUUUUGAACCGAUUACAGCCCUCAACUAUCAUGUUGUCAUUCUAGUUCAAUACAUUUUCCCAUACCAUCGUCUCUAGAAUUCUAUAUUGGCAUAUGAUGACAUUGACGCAUGCUGUAGCCUUUAUCCAUUUGAUGAAGUAAUUAAUGAUCUCAAUAGUGAAGCAAUGCCCAUUAGAAGUCUUCGAUAAUGGUGAUGUCCAUGCCCCAUUUUGCUCAAAAUUUGAGUCACCCUUUUUGGGUUUUCCACUCAAAACCACUUUUGGUCACAAAGCGCCUUUUUGGUUUUUCGCCUUGGCCUCUCCUUUUCUUUUCUUUGCUUUUCGUAUUUUUAUUUUGACUUUGAUUGAUUUCUCUUUGUUUUUAUUUUUUAUUUUGAUUUUGAUUUUGAUUUUGUUUUUUUUUUUCAUUUUUCCUUGUUUUUUGAAUCGGAUCUAAACUCUUGGGAUUAGGCAAGUCUUUGUUAUCCCCUUCAAAGGAUCUUCUCUGAUAUCGAAUUUCCUUUAUAGAGCCUUUUAGGGCAAAACUACAACUGGAAACUUUUGAUCUUCUUCUUCCAUCGGGAUAAAAUCUAGCAACAUCUUGAAGGAAUAGAAACUCGACUUCAAACGGGCAAAGCUAUGCUGAAUUGACGAGAACGGUAUUGCCCCGGCAAAGAAUUGUAUCAUUCAUACGAGUUUGGACAUCGUGUUGUUGUGCAGAUUUCAUUAUCAGUGCUUAACCCAGCAUAUCCUGGUAUGAUCCUACAAAGACAUCUUUGAACAAGGUCUUGCUUCAUUUUUAAGGACAAGUCAAUUCCAAGCUCAGAAUUCCUAGUGAUCUGUCUAUCCUCCUACUCAACCAUCCUCAAUAAGUUUGGGGGUAAGCUACUAUCUAUGUCAUUUCCAAAGUCAUGAGAUCCAUCUAAGCACAUGCCUCACUCAAGUGGAAAAUCUGAGUUUGCAGCAGUUUCAUUCAUGUUAUUGAUAUCUGAGGACUCAUAAUAAGCACCGAGGAAUAUACAAAAGAAUGUAUAAAUUUAUGAAUGAUUAUUUACAAUAUGAUUAUGAAUGAAUGUUGUGGAAGAAAAUCCAACAGAAUGAAAUAAUCAAAAAUAAUUAUUAAAAAGAAUGAAAGAAUAUUGGCUCAAAAAGGAACGCAAAGAUGUAUUUUAUUAGAAUAAUAACGUUCAGACAUUAGCCUAUUUCACAAAGGAAUUUCUAUCGCUUCAGGCUAAAAACAGCAAAAAUGUUCUGAACAUUACUCUAAAUAAGCUCUAAAAACUACAGGGAUUUAUUCUACAAGCCCAUUGCUUGGAACACUCCAGGUUUAUAAGGGCAGACAUCUAACAAGAUCCCUUUUCAAUUAUGCCUUCAUAUAUGGUAUUGAUGUGAAAACUUCCCAACACUUUCUCAUAUAUUGCGUUCACCCCAUUGUUAAUCAUGAUUGGGUGGCGAAUUUUCUGCAUUAGAUGAGUCACCAAACUUGACGACACCCAUGUUGAUGAGCUUUUCAACCAGUUUCUUGAAGGCUAUGCAGUUCUCUAUGGAAUGCCCCGUAUUUCCCGCAUGAUAUUCGCAAUGUGCAUUCGCAUCGUGCCAUUUGGGGUACGGUGGCUGUGGAGGUUUUGAGUAGAAAGGAGAAACAAUGCGUGCAUCGAAUAACUUUUGAUACAGCUCAUUAUACGACAUCGGGAUUGGCGUGAACUGGAGGUUCUCAGUACCUUGUUUCACACUAAUUUCUUGUCUAGAUGAACCUUGCUGACUAGCAGUCACCUUUCUUGGCUGUGUAAUCGAUUUGUUGUAAGUGUUGACAUUGCUCACAUCAUUUUCCUUCUUCUUUAAGUCUGACCUUCUAUUAUUCUCCCCAGCAUCAAUCUUUCCACUUCUCACGGCACUUUCAAUCAUUUCACCGCUCAUGACUAUGUCUGAAAAACUCUUCGAAGCACUUCCUAACAUGUGGGUGAUGAACGGGGCCUUCAAUGUGUUGAUGAAGAGCAUCGUCAUUUCUUUCUCUAGGAGUGGCGGCUGAACUUGGAUAGCGACCUCCCUCCACCUUUGUGCGUAUUGCCUAAAACUUUCAUUAGGUUUUUUCUCCAUAUUUUGCAGGGUUAUUCUGUCAGGGACCAUAUAAGCUACAUGACUGUAUUGUUUCAUAAAGGCUUGUGCUAAAUCCCUCCAAGAACUAAUCUGGAUACGCGUCAAUUGAUUGUACCACUUAGACGCUGUCCCUGUGAGGCUAUCUUGAAAGCAGUGUAUGAGCAGUUGGUCGUUGUUGACGUAUCCGGCCAUACGCCUACAGAACAUAGUAAUAUGAGCUUCUGGGCAGCUGGUCCCAUUAUAUUUCUCGAAUUCCGGCAUCUUAAAUUUGUAAGGGAGCACCAAGUCCGGAACCAAGCUCAGAUCCUUUGCAUCUAUUCCAUAGCUUUCGAUGCUUUCUAUUGCCCUAAACUUCUCUUCUAUCCAUUUCCAUUUCUCCUCAAAUUGUUUUGGAAAUUCCUCCUUCGCCUUAUCCUUUUCAACCAUCUCGUCAAGAUCUGGGACAGCAAUAUUAUUCGGGCUAUCACCGGGAUUAAAGCCCGCUCCGGGUUGAAAAUUCAUUGGAAUUGAAGCAUCGCCUUGGAACUGCUGGGGCCUAACCGACACAGAGGGUCUCCGCGGAUGCAGCUCAGUCUGUACUUGCGCAUGCGGAGGCGUGAAACCUGGAGGAUAAAGUGGUUCACCAUUGUUUUCUUCUUCACUAACAAUCACAGGACCUUUACCCUUGUCUACUCCCUUCAAUAAUUGCGUCAUCUUAGCCACCAGAUCAUUUUGGGACUCCUCCAUCUUUUGCACCAUGUCACGCUGAAUCUUUUCUAUUUGCUCUUUCAUUUGCGCCUGCAACUGGUCUUGCAUUUCUUUUUGAAGUCGCUCUAGCUUCUCCAACCUUUGGUCCAUAAUUUUUGUCUUAGCUCGGGUGCCGUAACUUUGUUGGUUUUCCAGGUUAACUGAAAUGAUUUUAUUCGAUUAGGUUUUUAAUGGUCAUUAAUGCAUGUGAUGUGAUGCAAUGCAUGAAAAGAAUGCAAAGAAAAAGAGGCACUGAUUCUAAUUCAACUUCAUUAGAAAACUUUACUAGAUAAAGAGUUUCUUUACAUAAAAUAGACUACAUAUAUGGCUUUGCCCUCACACUCAAAGCCUUAACCUUUCUAAGAAGCCAAGCUAAUUCUCGGCCCCUGUCCGACUCUGACUCAUACUUCAAACUUAAUAGAUCAGCCUGAACCGCUAGAGUUUGCAGAUGAUCAGCUACUUCGCGCACUUGAGUCACCGCCUCUCCCAUAAUAUAAUCUCUUUCUCCAAUCUGCUCUUGAGACCGACGGAAUUGUCUUUGCCACUGCUCAUUACUUUCUUCCAGAAGCUCUAUCCGGAUUUCACUAUUUUGUAAUGCAUUCUCUAGCCCUCAUAUCUGUCUUUUUAAUUCUUCAAUUUUGUCUAAGCUCACCCUUAAUUCAACCGUAGCAUUACGAUUACAGUACUGGUGAAGCGAUCUUUCUAGUUCAGUUAUCCGGACCUUCAACACCGUCUUCUCGUCUUGGCAAACUAGUAGACUCUUUCCCAAGGCGACUUCUCGAGCCCGAGUAUCCUGAAAUUUCUUUUCCCAUUGAUUAGCUUUUGUCUUUUCCUCCUGAAUUUCUUGUCGCCAUUGUUCUGGUGUUUUACCCAAGCCAGCGGCUCUUACCGACUUACGCAACUUCUUGUAAUCUGUCUUCAGGCUGUCCAAAUCUUCUUCUGCCUUGUUCUUUCCUUUUCUCAAUUUGUUGGCCUCUAAUCUUUGAAUGUCCACAUCCAGUCCUAACUGCAUUUUUUCUUCCUCUAGUUGUUCUAUCUUCUUCCCUAAUUCUAAACUUCUUUUUUCGAAUUCUUGUUUGAUGAUUUCUAUUUCAGAAGGCAAAACUUGUAAGUGUUCCUCUAAAGAUCGAGCAGUUUCUGAAUUUGACGCCGGGAUGUUGUCAUUGAUCCUUUGAUCACGCCACUGACCAUACUCGGGGGUAAUUGUCGGACCCACGGCUAAGAUCUUCAUUCGACGAGUCUGGUUCCAGGCACUAGAUAUUUCUCGAACCUUCUUCUUGUAAUUGUCCUUCCUAUAGGAAAAAUCACUAUAAGCCAACCCCUGGGUUGCUGGUAUGAAUUGUCGUGAUCUAUACUGUCUUGAUACGAGUAGAGGAGCAUAUCCGAUAGCUCUCCAUAUCCCGAGCAGCGGAACCCAGUCAAAAUCUCCACAUCGGUACAAUAUCUCAUCAGGAAUUAACCAAGGAGCCCUCCAUUCAAUAUCUUCAUCUUGGAGAUUCUGGAGUAUCUCUAUCCAUUUUUCUUCUGAAAUAUCAUCUCGUCUUGGCGUGGCCACCAAUUCUCCUAGAGGGGAGUAGCUAUCAGAGAAUACCCGAUAAGAGACCUUUUCGACUUUCCAGAAGUGGCUAUGGAACCAUGCCAAUAAGAGCUGCGCGCAUCCAAUAAACCUUCCCUCCCCUACUUUUCGACACGCAUUCAAUGAUCUAAAAGUUUCAGCGAGUAUUGCCGGAACCGGUGUAACCCCUUUACUAAGCCGAUCGAACAAAUCAGAUACAGCCUCGUCUAUGUGUCCUAAAGCUUUGGGGAAAACCACUAGUCCAUAGAUACCUAAAGCGAAAACAUCGACCCUUUUCUUUAAGUCAGGAUGUACAAGCACCAAAUCUCGCAAACUUUUCCAAGGAACACAUUUACUGUCGCCCUUCUGUUGGAUCCGGGCAGCGACCCACUGCUCGCUCAUUCCAGUGAUGUUCAUUAAUUUCUUUAACAACGGAGGGACACAAGCAGCUCUGGAAUAAGCCUUGUCGACUUGAAUCUUUGGGCACCGAAGCAAGGUCGUAUACUCCUCCACAGUAGGCGUCAAAUCUACCUUCCCAAAAGUGAAACAACUGUAGGCAGGAUUCCAAAACUGAGCAAGGGCUCGGAAUAAAUACUUGUCCACUUUGACACUAAGCAGGUAAGGUAGGUCACCGUAGUUACAAUAGAACAGCUGCUUGGCCUCGACAUCCCAUUGAUCCCAGACUUCUUUCAUUUCUCGAAGGUCAUUUUGGAUUACACUGAUACGGGUAAAAUCCCACAAUUCUGACACGUACCCUUCGGUAAGACUAUCGCCUUUCUCCCGUUGUGUCGUUUCAGCCCAUAUUCGCACAGCCGCAUUAUCCUCUACUUUAUCAACAAACCCCUUUUCCAUGAUAAGCUUUCUACCAAGAAACUGAACGUAAAUCGACACCUCUUUUAGAAUGAAGAUGCCAUGCAAUCACAAACAAAGUAAAUUAGCAUUAAACACAGAAUAAGAUUUAAAAUAAGCGACAAAUAAAUACAACAUUCAUUUAGGUAAGCACUAAAAAUUUAGAGUAGCUCUACCUAGGUUGGUUCCUAUGGCUCAUUACAUGUGGUUUGGUUCUAAAGUAGGGUACCUGAACCAGCAAAUUCCUCGAUCCUCACCCAUUAUAGGCUCAUACGGACCAAGUUCGAUUCAGGGGGAUACAUUUCCCUAUGGCCAUGCGGAGAUGAAAAUCUCACGAAGACAUAGGUACGGAUGUAUCCCGAAAGCGAUUCACUAUCCCAUGCGGAGGUGAAAACCUCACGAAGGCGUAGUUUCUCACUCCCACUUAAAAGGGUGUGACCAACGGUCAUGCAAUGCAAUGUGCAGAAAGAUACAAAAACUUAAACUAACACAACAAUUAUAAACCACAACGAUGAAAAUUGUAAUAAAGAGCAAUGAAAUGCGAUGAAAGGAUCGUAUAUUUAAACCAAGUUUUGAUUUUCGACAAAAAGACAAAAAAUAAUCAACUCGUGGCCCGACUCACUUAUUGUGGUUGUCCCCAGUGGAGUCGCCAAGCUGUUGACACCAUUUUUGGAUUAAAAACGGGGUCGACUUGGGUUUUGAAAAUGAAAAUGAAUAGAGGAGUCGCCACCAAUCCUUUUUGAUGAGGUGCGAUCGGGUCACCUCGAAUUAAUCAUUUUAAUAAAAGUUAAGAUUUACUAAAACGAUAAUUUUUUUUGGUCUACGAAAAUCAGAAAAUGAGUUCGGGAGUCGGUUACGCACGAGGAAGGAUUAGCACCCUCGAUACGCCCAAAAAUUGGUACCUAGUUGAUUAAUUAGUGUCUUAGUUUCGAAAAUUGAAAACUUAAAAUACUUUGAAAUACGAUCCAUCUCUUUGUAAAAAAAACUCAAAUAUUAAAGACCUUCUCAUCUCUAAGUGAUAAAAUAUCACAUCCAGUAAGUUAGGACACGACAUCUCGAGCUUUUGAGAGUGAGUUUGUCUUUAUUUAAAAUUCAUGCAUUUUAACUUUUUUUUAAAAAGGAUGUUCGGUUAUUUAGGGUAAACGAAGAAAGUCGAAACCCAGUAAGUUAGGGUACGUUUUCUCGAAUUUCCUAAAAACGAAAUAUUGCCUUAUUUUGAAUUUUUUUUUGAAUAAUAGCAAAUGCAACAUUUAGAUAGUGUGCAUUAUUUGUUUGGAUUAAAAUAAAACAAUUUAUUGGAUAAAUGCAACGAGACUUGAUUCAUGAAGCGAUGAUAUAAAAUAAAAAUAUAGUAAUAAGCCUAGAACAAUGAUACAUGAACACAACAUUAUAUGGAUGAAUCACAAUAAUGCAAAAAUACGAAAUAAACAAAUUAAAAUACACAAAGACAAUAAUCAUACAACAUUUAAAUAAUAACAUCGAUAGAUAAAAGACCAAUGAAUUAAAUAAUAAUUUUUUAAGAAAAUAAAUGGCAUAAAAUAAAUUAAAAUAAAUAAUAUAAAACAUUUUAAAAUGACAAUAAUAAGUUUGAAAUAAAUAAUGUGAAAAAGGAAAUUUAAAAAUCAAUAACACACUAAACGAUAAAAAAUAUGUUUAUACAAAAAAUUAAGAUAAACAGUAUGUAUAUAUAUGUAUAAAAGUAUGAAGUGAAUGAUAUAAAAAGAGCAAAUAAUAGCAGUAAAACAUUUCGAAAUAAAUAAAUAGGAUUCAAAAUAAGAUACGUAUAACAAUUUAAAAUAAGCAAUAUAUAAAUAAAUAGAGUUUAAAAUAAAUGAUGUAAAAAAAAAUUUUAUUUAAAAAAAAGGAACAAUAAUAUACGAAAAAGAAAAAAAGAUAUAUGAAGAAUAGAAAAUAUUUAUAUAAUAUGUGCAAAGAAACCAAAAUAAAUAAUGUAUGUAGAGUAGUUUAGAAUAAACAAUAUAUGCAAAACAACUUACAACUUUGAGUAAUUGAUACAUAAAAUUGGUUAAAAUUAAUAAUAUAUGAAAAUGAACCGUAUAUAGAAUAUUUUAAACACAUACAAUAACAGUUCCUUUUUUAAGAAAAAGAAUUAAACAGGUGAAGGAUUAAUUCGAAAACAAUACAAAAUUCUAGGUAAAAAAUAAAAAGAUACUGCCAGGAUUAAAAUGAAGUGCACCUAAAAUCAUAAGGACCAAAUGGGAUAAAAACCAUAGCCCUAACAUGCGCAUGAGGCCCGACAGAUCAAAAGACUGAUUUAAAAAACAAGCAAAAUCUAACAACUAAAUUAAGAGAAAAAGCAAAGAUAAAAUAGGGCCUGAUCAAAGGACGCUAAAGAUGGAGGGACCUCGUGUGCAAAUAUCCUAAUAAUUGAGGAUACAUGAAUCCCCAUCCCCACCAACGGCACCGUUUUGUUUGGUGUUUAAAACACCCAUUCUCUUUAUUAUUUCAGCCCUAAUUUCAUAGAAGAAAAGAAAAAAAGAACAAAAAAAAUAGAAUGUUAAAGCUUCUCUCCCUCUCCUCUCUUACUGAAUCGUGAGCCCGUCGCCGUUGCAUCACCGCGCCCCCACCGUAUCGGUGGCUGGCGAUGCUCAAGGGUGGGUUUUUAGCCCCCGAUUCAACCAGGUAUGAAGGCUAAGAUUUUUUAACCAAGAAAACCCGAAAAUGAAGGGAUCUCCACCCGUUUUGGGUUCGGCUCCGACGACUGAGGGAACCGCCGACGGUGUGACCCAGGGGUUCGGGUAAGUUUUCUCCCCGUCUUCUUUUUAUUUCUUGUUCUUGAAGCUUAAAAGCAAAAUCAAAAAUGAAAAAAGAAAAAAAGAAAUCAGAAAUUGAAAAAACGUAACCUUUUUCUUUUGUUUUUGCUCUUUUAUUUCUGAAAUAUGCGUGUGUACAAGAAUGGGGAUCCCUUUUUUACAAUUGCUUUCGGCUUCUGUUUUUAGCCGAAUGAGAUAGAAUCCAAAAUCUCCCCCUUUUACAUUGAAAAUGAAUGGCUCUUUAUAGCCGAUUAUACAAAGUCCUAUUGUUGUUUUGUUACUGUUUGCUGCGUUUCUGUUUCUGUUGCUGCUUCCGUCAUGUUUGCAGGUGUUCAAGGAGGUGAUGGGAGCAGGUGGAGGAGAGAUGGCGAUGGGACGUGCGGCUGACAGAGAGCAGCGGCAAGUGGGAUACUAGGGUUUCAGUUUCUGAAACCCUAGUCUGAUGUGGGCUUGGCUGUUGGGCCAGGGUGCUGGGCCUUUUAUUUCUUUCUUGGGCCCGGGCAAAUGGGCCUGCAACAGGAAUCCCCAAGUUUCUAGAUAUGUUGCUAGCUAUGUAUGAGUGAGUAGACCCUAUGUCUAUCAAGGUAAUAUAUAGUACAUCAAGAAUAAAGAACGUACCCGUGAUGACGUUCGGAGCAUCUCUAUUCUCUCGGCGACAAGCAACAUAUACUAGGGCCGACUGCCUUGCCUCAGCCUGUCCAACACCUCUGCUUCGGUGCUCUCUACCUAUGACCCAUACCAUUACCACAUCUGGCCUGUCUAUGGCCCCUCGGUGGUUACUGUACUACCUUUUAUAACUAUACCGUACCAGUACCCGAAGUUUUCAUCUGAUCGGCCCUUAACGAACACUCCUUACAGUACUCUAAUGACUCAUACCGCAAGCACACCUCAGUCUUUCUCUAACACUCGCCCUGAUGGCGUCUACCACAAUCAGUACUUAGCUGCAGUUCAGUAACAGUAACAGAGGGCCCAGCUCUAACCGACCCAUCAACUCUGCCCUUUUUCUUAGGCCUCUGUGCAGAACUCGAAGGCUCUAAAUCCCUCUUAUUCUUACCUCUCUCACAGUAAUAGUUCUGGCGCUCAGCGCGCUUAAUCUCAUCGGUGAUCUUCGCCUUCUCCACUAGUGUAGAAAAAUCACCUCUCUCUACGGAGCUAUCAAGACUCUCAAAUUAUCUCUGAGCCCAUCCUCAAAACGAAUACAUCGCUCAUACUCAGAGGCCACCAUACCUCGCGUAUAGCGGCUCAGUCACAGGAACUCAGCCUCAUACUCGGCCACUGAUCAAUUUUUCUGAGUCAAAUUUAAGAAGUUCCUUUUACGGGUAUCCACGUAGCUCGCCCUCACAUAUUUCCCCUAAAAGGCAGUUUUAAAGAACUCCCAGGUUAGAUGUUCGGGCUGAGUGCCCUCCUUAACAAUGAGUCAUCACUGAUAAGCCUCAUCCCUCACCAGUGAGACUGCACCCUUUAAUUUCUGCUCUAGGGUGCAGUCUAAGUCAUCCAUGAUCCUCUCCGUGGCCUCAAUCCAGUACUCGGCCAUAUUAGGGGCAACUCUAGUGACACCCCUGAAAAGCUCAACUCCAUUGGACUAGAGUCGUUUCGUAUUCGAUCCUCGGACCCCUAAUCUAGUAUUGAUCCGAGCGACCCUCUCCAAAAUCCUUAGCAUAGCUUGGGAUAAUGCGUCGUCCUCAGCCAUGCGAUCUUGAGACCCAGUCUCAGUAGUAGGCGACACUAGCGUCUCACUAGUAUCCAAAUUCGGUAUGCUACCCAAUGAAGAGGACUCAGAUCGAGCUCCUUUGUGACCUCUACCUCAGCCUCUAGUACCCCGUCCACAGAUACAUCGUAUGCUCAUUGUCUAAUCACGUUUAUCUGUAUUAACAGUUUUAUGAAUCAGUUACGGUUUCAGUGUUUAUUAACAAAUGUUUUAUGUAAAAUAGUAUCGGUUAUUCAAAGUUCGUUUUGUAAAUCACAGUCUUACUAUAGUUUUUAGUUUUUUUACAAUUUUUAUUAUACACUAACUAGAGUGUUUUCAGUACAGUUUACUACCUAUAGUAGAUUCAGAAUAUACUAUCCAUAACAGUUUCAGUUUAAAACAAAUCACAGUUCAAAAUACUUACAGAAUCGACACCGGAGACUCGGUGUACCACUUACUUAGUACAAACAUUUCAAAUCAUUUAGAAAUUAAUCAACUUUUCGAAAGCUCAAUUUUUACAAAACCCAUAAUCCACUAUCGAGUUCUGUAACUUGGCUCUGAUACCACUAAAUGUAACACCCCAAACUCGGCCUAGACGUUAUGGUCGUAUCUGUUAAUGUCACAUGAUAGUGUUUUUGAAACCUCGUUGUUACGAUGAAAACAUUUCAUGUUAUUAUCUUUAGUAAACCUUUGUUAGAACUUAGAAAGUUGUCUUUAUUCAUUUAAAACAUUUUUUUUGAAACAUCCCUCAUUGCAGAAGCUUUAAUAAAAUAGUCUAGGUGAUCAUGCGUUUAGAAAAUAUAACUUUAUGAAAACUGAAUUUCCUACGACCAGCAGGUAUAAAUCUAUAAAGUAAAAUAAAUAAAUAAAAACCCAAAUUUAAAACCAAAGUCUCAAAGGGUCCUUAAAUUACAACCCAAAUAAUCAAUAAUAAUCAAAUCAUAUAUCGUAAAUUGAAAACCAUGAACUCAAAAAAUUACUAUAGUCACCGUUGAGUCCUUCGUCGCACCGAUCUGUCUAAGUUUGGGGAUUACCUGUGAACAUUAAACAAAAAGGGUGAGUUUACGUAAACUCAGUGUGUAAUCUCGUAGAAAUAAACAAAUAAUCAGUAUUCACAGUGCACAGUUGAAUAGUCUUGGGCCUAAGCCCUUUUCAGUAUUAGUCAUAGUUUGGGCCUUAGCCCAUCUCAGUAUAGUGUUAGAAAUGCAAUAGGGUCUUAACCCAUCAUAGUAUCAGUAGUAGUAACAAUUAUGCAGCAGCAAAAUCCUACCCAACCAGCCUCUACACACCAUUUUCGUCUAACCCUACACUCCAUGUGGGGAUAUAAUCAACCCACCCAUCCCUACACUCUAAGUAGUACUAAAUGCGACACAAAACAGUAGUUUGCAACUGAGCUGCUAGUAAAUUAGGCUAAAAGCCUUUCAGAACAUUUCCUCCGAAUAACAACCCCUAACCUAAUGCAAUGCAACAUACAAUAGAUGACAUGCUAUUAUGCAAUUUCAGUACAUAUAUUCAGUUCAAAUAUUAACAUGCUCAGUACAUAUAUCAUUCAAUCAAUUUCACACAUUUAGGUGUCUAAGUAGCGCUUAUCAACCCUACAGUGGGUUCACAGUCGACUUGGGCGACCCGUGCAAUCUUACAAACAUUUCGGUGAAAAUAGGCUCACACGCCCAUGUAAUCUACCCGUGUGGCCCACUUGGCCCAAAUUGGCCUUGGCCGUGUGAUCCAUUUUUAAUGUAACCCGUGCUAGCUAAAUAUUCAUACAUGUUUUCACUAUUUACUUAUAUGUUCAUUCAAAAUUGUCUACUUGAGUCAUUGUCACUAAAUUAUUUAUAUCUUGAGCUACAGAAUUCCAAAUUAAGAUUCGCUUGAUGUUUUUGAAACUAGACUCAAAUACCUUUCUACCAUAAAAAUUUUAGAAUUUAUAGUUUAUCAAAUAAGUACAGUAAAAUCUUUAAAUUUAUCCCACUUCUGUUGUUUGACAGCUUCAACCUUUCCUUACUAAAAAUUAUUUAUCUCUUAGUACGAAUUUGGAUGAUGUUUCUAUUUGUUUCUCUUGAAAAUAGACUCAUUAAAGAUUUAAACAUAAAAAUUUAAGCCCAUAAAUAUUUUUUAAAAAUUUUUGGUGAUUUUCCAAAGUCAAAAUAAGGGAACCCAAAAUUAUUCUGACAUUGUCUCACAAAAUUUAUUAUAUCUCAUAAUUUAAAAUUCCAUUGAUUACACUGUUCCUUACAUAAAAGACUAGACUCAAUAAACUUCAAUUUCAUAUUUGAUUCAACCUCUAACUCAAUUUCUACUAUUUUUGAUGAUUUUUCAAAGUUAGACUACUGCUGCUGUCCAAAACUAUUUUAGUGCAAAAUGUUGAUUUCCAAGUUUAUAACACCCUUAUUUCCUUUUUCUAUAAUUUUUUGCAUCAUUUUCUCUUAUUUCUCUUAUGUCUCGACAGCAAACAAUUUUAGCUUUUCACUGAAUCUCAUUUUUUGCAUUUCGAGUACAUAACUGGUAUCGUUUCGCUGUAAAUACGCUCCCAAACACUCUAAGACCUAAAAAUCGGUAAUUAGAGCCCAAUUUAGAUCACUAACUAAAACUCAAAACUGAAAAUCGUCUACAUUGAAAUCGAUAGCGAACCUAAACACUUACCUGCAACGAACCAAAAUUUCUAAUGCUCAAUUUUCUUGUGAAGCCGCAUCUGAUUUCUGAUUUUCGCCUAAACCAAGAGAGCCAAAACAAUCUUUUUUAUAAACUAGCUAAAAAGCGAUAAAAUAGAGAAAGUCAGAUACUUACAGAAUGAGUGUAUACAAUUUCUGGCUGGAAAGUAGGCUAGUAGAAAAAUCAAACAAUGAGGGUGGACUAGGGAGCAAAAAUUUGGCAAAGCAAAGAAGAAGAAGACGACAGAAAAAUUGGGGAAAAGAGGAGAAUGCCGAAAUUUGGGAAAAUAAAAACCAAAUAGAAACUUAGAUGAUAUCGUUAGCUACCCCACAUCCCUAAAUUUUUUCCCACUAAUCCUACUAACCUACAACCACUCCAGAAUCCCACUCUGCCGAAAUACUUGUCCAUCACUGCGCAAAAAUAACACCUAUGCUCGAACAUGGAUUCAAACUCAGGACCUCAUGCAAUCAAACACUCCAUUUAACCACUAAACCAGCAAGCCCAUUUUGUUAUUUAAUUACCAACUAUUAAACUUAAGCCCUUUAGGCUAGGUUAAGGCUUUAUUUAUAAAAGUACUAAAAUUUACCCAAGUCAUGGCUUGAACUUGGGACCUCCCACACACACCCAAAACACUUAAGCAUUGAAGCAGACAAAUACUUAAUAUCACAUAUACACAAAAACAAGAAUUAAAAAUUUUGGGGCGUUACAAUGAGAAGGAAAAACUUAACGAAAGAAAUUGAAGUUUCUUGGGGCUACCUUUGUAGAAAUAAGAGAUCAAUAGAGUUUCUUGGAAUUGAAGUUACAGUUUCAAAUUGUAUUAGCUUUUAUGUAGUACAACAUCAAUAUCAAUGUCCAUCAUCUUAUGUACUUUUUUAUUUGUUUACUUUUGUACAUUGAGUUGAAUGUUAGUGGUAUAUGUUAGUGGUAUACAUUUUAGCUAAAUGUUAGUGUAUUUUAAUUGUUGGAUCGAUUUUUGUAGUGAAUAUUAAAUCUUUAUUUUAAUUUUAAUUUUAUAUUUUUUUGUUGUAUUUAUAGCACAAUUCCUAUCAUUAUUCACUGUAAAUAUUUAUAAAAAUAUAUUAAUAUUGAAAUAAUAAAAAAUAGAAAAAAUUACAUUAUACGUGUCUAUUCCAAUCUUUUUAAGAUUACCUUAGACGGGUUUAUCCCAACCUUUUUUUAAAGGUUGCCUUAGACAAGAUUUAUCCCAACCUUUUUAAGGUUGCUCUAAACGGGUCUAUCCCAACCUUUUUUAAAAGUUGCCUUAGACAAGGUCUAUCCCAACCUUUUUAAAGUUGCCUUAGACGGGUCUAUCCCAACCUUUUUUAAAGGUUGCCUUAGACAUGGUCUAUUCCAACCUGUUUAAGGUUGCCUUAGAUAGGUCUAUCCCAACCUUUUUUAUAGGUUGUCUUAGACAAAGUCUAUCCCAACCUUUUUAAGGUUGUCUUAGACGGCUCUAUCCAAACUAUUUUUAAAAGUUGCCUCAGACAAGAACUAUAUCAACCUUUUUAAGGUUGUCUUAGAUAGGUCUAUCUCAACCUUUUUCAAAGGUUGGCUGUAACUAGGUCUAUCCCAACCCUUUUUAAUGGUUGGCCUUGACUAGGUCUUUCCCAACCCUUCAAUAAGGGUCGGCUUAUGUUGACUUAUGCUGACGUUUUUUCAAAAGUGUUGUGGAGCCUACGCCAACUGUAUUAUAGACAACCUUUUCGAAAGCAUCAGGAGAACCGUCGCGAAACUUAUGCCAACCUUUUUUACGUUGUCUUAGGUCAAAAAAAAGUGUCACGAUAGGCUUAUUUUAUUGUAGUGAUAGUAAUAUUUUUAGCUCUUAAAAAUCUAAAUUAUAUAUAAUAUGUAUUUACAACUCUAAAUAUUAAAGCUUGAUUAGAUAUAGGUUAUUUGAACUUUUCAUCUUAAAUAAAUUUGAGGAAAUUAAAUAUGGAAAUUUUAAUUAAAUUAUUUUAAUAUAUAUACACACCAUUAUUUUCAUUCAUUAAUAAUUUUAAACUAACAUUUUUUCUUCAGUAAAUUUCACUUUAAUCCCUUUCUUUACUUUUCUAAUGUUAUUUUUAUUUUUUUGUCCUUUAUUUUUCUUCUAUUUUAUAAAUUCUUUGAUCUUAUAUGUUUCAAGUAUCAAAGUGUAAAUAAAUAUAAAUAUUAAAAAAUGCCAAAUGUAACUCUAUGUGAUAUUAUUUAAUUGCUACUCAUUUCUUUUUGUUUCAAAAAACAAUGGAAAACUUAAGAAUUUUAAAGUUUUUGGUAUCAAAUAUAUAUAUCUAUACAUUUACAUUUUAAACUCCAAACUUAAAUAAAUAGAGAAAAUCUAAAAAUUUAAAAUAAAAAUAAAUAAAAAAUGAAUAUUUAACUUUUUUAGUACACAUGUAUCAUUCAGACAAUUUUAAUAUAACAAAUAAUCAAGUAAUUGGGAUUUAAUAUUUAAUUAAAAAUAUUCUUCUAAAAAUUGUAAAUCGCAUAACAUUGAAAGUCUUUAAAUAAUAUACUAAAGGGGUGAGCAUUCAAUCAAAUCGAAUGAAAAAAUUUUGAGUUAAUCGAGUUGACGAAUAAUAUUUUAUUAUCCUAACUAGAUUUAAAUUUUUCUCGAAUAGAGUCUAGUGAGAUGGAACUCGAAUCGAAUCGAAUAUAUUUGUUCGAGUUAAAUUAAGGUCCUUGUAAUCAUUGUCACCCACCGCAAUCAGAUUUGUUAUUAACUUUCACUCCCUCAUAAUUUAUUUAUUAAUCUUUUAUAUAGGGUUAGAUUCUUUGCUUGCUUAGUUGCUUCAAUUAUCUUCUGAUUUUGUCACUAUGUAUUCUGAAAUUUAAAAAUAUAUUAAAUGUAAAAAAUGUGAUUUUUUUAAUAAAAAAAUAUCUUAAAGGUAAAAUAUAAAAUUGAUACCAACAUAAAAUUUUAGCACGAAUAUUUUAUGCCAUCAUCAAUAAUUUAAUUUUAACAAAAAAAAUUAUAAAGAUUCAAUAUGAUAAAAUAAUUCAAUAAUAUUGAUAAGCUAUAAAAGUAACAUAUUUUAAUCUCAAUCUUAAUGUGUUUUUAGAUGAUUAAUUAUGCAAAUUAGUGAAUUUAAUGCUCCUAAUCCAUUAAAAUAAUGCAUGGUACUUUUGAUAUUGUAUAGUUCUUUUGAUGUCAAAAUAAUGCAUUAAAAUUUAUUCAACUGUCAAUUUAAGUGGAAAAAGUUGGAGAUGAAAUUUGUAAUUAAACCUUCUUUAAUUUACGUCUUUUUCCCUAAAAAUAUAUUUUUUAAAAAUAUUAAAUGUUAUAAAACUUGGGACAAAUAUUAAAUGUUGGAAAGUGGUUAAGAAAAUCAUUAUCAUUAUAAUUCAUCCUCAUUAUUGAUCAGUGUCACUGAAGCAAUGAAUUUCAAUGGGUUUGGUAAUGGAUGAGAGUUUGCUAAAAAUCUUCCUUUUGGUUUGUAACCAUUUUCACUUACAUAGUCUAGGAUAAGAAUGUUAAAAACCUAUGUUAUAUCCAUAGAAAUUGAGGGCUAUAUUUCUUAUCAUCACAACAAGCGCAAGCAUUGUUGGGGUAUAUCCACUUGUCUUAAACCACUAGAAUGUACAAGUAGCAAAAGAUAAUAAUGAUUAAAAGCUUGGGUAAUUAAUUUUGUAGUAUAUAGUCGGUCCAACACUGACUUAUAUCUAAGCAAAGUGCAUGCAUCAACUACAACAUUUUUUCUCUGAUUACCUUCUCCUUUCUUCUAUCAUUCUAGAGUGUAAACAAUUCACUCAAAGGCAAACAAUUUAUAGAAUUGUCUAACCAUGUGUAUUGCUGCUUUCAUUUGGCAAGCUCAUCCACUCUACCCUCUACUGCUUUUACAAAACAGAGAUGAAUACCACAACAGGUAUGUUUCCAUUUCACUUCAAUCAUUCUUCUCUUGAAAAUAUAUUUAUCUUAUUAAUAUAUAUGGGUGGAAUUGAAGGCCUACGAAGGCACUUGCAUGGUGGGAUGUUGAUGGUUGUGAGAUAUUAGGAGGAAGAGAUGAAGUAGCAGGAGGGACAUGGUUGGCUUGUUCAAGACAAGGCAGAGUUGCUUUUCUCACCAAUGUGUUGGAGCUUCAUCCCCGUCCCGACGCCAAGACCCGCGGUGAUCCCCGUCCCGACGCCAAGACCCGCGGUGAUCUUCCACUUCUUUUCCUGGAGGUAAAUAAAUCUAUAUGCCUUUUUUUUCUUCUUUUUAUUUGGUCGAAGCCAGCUCACCUAUCAAAAACGGUGGUCAUUCAUUAAAAGUAAACACACUGUUGUUGAUACAGAGCACAAAGAGCCCCAUGGAAUUUGCGGAGCAACUGGCCACCGAUGCUCAUCAGUACAAUGGAUUUAACCUCAUAGUGGCUGAUAUUCCUUCCAAAUCAAUGGUUUACAUCUCGAACAGGCCAAAGGGGGAACCCAUUAACAUUCAACAGGUUUCUCCGGGGCUUCAUGUUCUUUCAAAUGCCAAGCUUGACUCUCCCUGGCAUAAGGUACAUUAACUUGUUUCAUGUGUUAUAUUCCUAUAAAGUUAUGCCCAAAGGCAGAUGGACGCUGGAGAAUUGAUUCAUCCACUCCCAUUGUGCAGGCUUGGCGGUUAGGUAAAGGCUUCAAACAGAUGCUCAAUAGAUACGGUAAAAAUGAAGUAAACGUGAAAGAAAUGGUUGAGAAACUUAUGAAAGAUAAAGUGAAAGCUGAUAAAAGUAAGUUACCUGGCAUAUGUGAUCUCGACAUGGAGUUCAACCUUAGCUCCAUAUUUGUUGAAAUGGACACCCCACUGGUAAAAUUCCAAGUUCUAAACCAUCCUCCUACUAAAAUUUAUGUAGAACAAUGUUGAAGCCAAUAAAAAUUGUGGUUGUUUCAACUUACAUAUCCAUCUAUUUUCCGGAAUACAGGGGCUUUAUGGAACAAGGAGUACUGCAGCAAUAACCGUAGGUGCUGGUGGGGAAAUUAGCUUUUAUGACGAGUAUCUAGAAAAGGGUGUGUGGUUUGAGAGAACAGUCAAUUAUCAUAUCCAGAAGCUCAAGUAGAUUGAAUCCAUGUCAAAGCAAGGGAUUUUACUACUCAAGUUAUUUAUUGAUUUGCGAAUGUUAUAAGCAUUUUAAGUUUAUACUAAUUGUAACAUAGGAGUGAUGUAUGAUGUAUCUCAUUCUUAAUACUUUACAUUUUCACUUUAAACUCCAAACUUAAAUAAAUAGAGAUAAUCUAAAAAUUUAAAAUAAAAAUAAAUAAAAAAUGAAUAUUUAACUUUUGUAGUACACAUGUAUCAUUCAGACAAUUUUAAUAUAACAAAUAAUCAAGUAAUUGGGAUUUAAUAUUUAACUAAAAAUAUUCAUCUAAAAAUUGUAAACCGCAUAACAUUAAAAGUCUUUAAAUAAUGUCACAUACAUGAUUUUUUUUUUGUAAAUAUACAUGGUCUGUUUUUAUUUAUAAAACUUCCUUUUACCUCAUUUUUCUUCAUUAAUGUCUACAAAUUUGAAGGGAGUCAUGUACCGAUUAAAUUUGAAUCCUAUCAAGAAUGAGCUUUUGAUUGUUAUAUUUGAUGUUUUCCUAUUAGUUUAAGAUCCCCAAUAAUUAAGCAUGCUUUCUUAAUAAUUGGAAAAUAUUUAUUUAAAAUAUUACUGUAACAGCUUAAUUUUAGGCCUAGUCGGAACAGUAGUUUCGGGACCACGAAUCUGACGAGGAAAAUUUUAUUUUUUAUUAUAUUUUUAUAGUCUACAAUUUCACAGAAUGAUUUCGUGAAAAUUUUGUUCAAAAAUUUCGACGUUUGUGCACUCAAUUUAGCCAAAAGGACUAAAUUGUAAAAAGUGCAAAAGUUGAGUUCUACAUGUUAGAAGUGUCCAAUUGUUAUGAAAUUUUAAAUUGGAGGUCCUUAAAUGGUAAUUAGACCAUUGGUUAACUUUUUGGACAAAAAUGGACAAGAGAUAAGUGAAAUAAGAUAUUUUUAAGUUUGGGGCAUUUUGGUCAUUUAGUAAUUAAAAGAAUUAAAAAGGCCAAAAUAGCCAAAAAUUUGUCCAUCUUCUCCAUGGUGAACGAAAUCAGCAAGGGGAAGCCAUGGUUAGGGUUUUCAAGCUUCCAAGCUCCAUAGCAAGUGAUUCCAAGCCCCAUUUUUAAUGUUCUUUACAUUUUUGGAGUCUCAGUAACUUGAUUUAGCUUAUUCUAACAAUAAUUUAACCUAGGGUUCAUAUUUGGAAAAAUACCCAUAGGUGAAAUGUGUUUAUUUUGAUGUUUUAUGGUAGUGUAUGAAGCUUGAAAUUAUGUUAAAUAACUUUUGCUAGCCGAUUUUAAGUGAAAACGAGUAAAUUGACAUAAUCGAUAAAAAUACCUAAUGUUCAUAAGUAAGUGUUAGAGUGAGAAUUUGAUGUUGCCAUAGAAGGGAAAAAUGUUCAGCAUGUCAUAAAACAUAAGAAAAAGGAAUAACGUUUAAUCUCCGAGCCUAGGGGCAAAAUUAUAAUUUUGUAAAACUUUAGGGGCAAAAAUGUAAUUUUGCCAAAAUGUGAUUUUUGGACUGGAUUGAAUAAUGUGAGUGUUAAAUAAGUUAAAUAUGUUAUUAUAAGUCAAUAAAGACAAGGAAAUGACUUUGAUUAGUGAAAAAGAAAAAAAAAAGAAGAAAAACUGAGAAAUUUCCCGAUUGAACAUUCGGAAUAAAAAGGGAUAUGAAUGAAGUGACAGAAAUGAUCACAUGCGUGGCAUGGACUGUGUGUAGGCCACUAUGUGAAAGUGAAAGUGAUGGUCACGUGUGUAGUACUAUGUGCAGGCUACUACGUGUACCAGAAUGAUAGGUCGCAGGUGUAGUACUAUGUGCAGGUUACUAUGCGUACCGGAUAGCUUCGAUCACGUGUGUAGUACUAUGUGCAGGCUACUACGUGUAUCGGAUAGUGAUGGUCACGUGUGUAGUACUAUGUGCAGGCUACUAUGUGAACCGGUAUCAUUAAUUAUAAGGUGGUUGCUAUGUGUUAAUCCCACAAGAUAUCAUUGAUUACAAAGGGUAGUUGCUGUGUGCUGAAUCCAUCGUAUAUAUGUUAUUAUUCUAAACUGUUCAUCAGGAAAUUGACUAAGUGAAAAUACAUGAGAUCAUGUAAUGAUUAAGUGUGAUUGAAUGAUGAAUACAUGUGUGGAAUUGAAUUGAAUAAUGAUUGAAAGUGAAAAGUGAAAUUAUGAAAAAGUAAAACUAGCAACAAAUAGUUUUAGACAGUAACAAUAGUGUGACUUUGAAAAAUCACCAAAAAUGGUGGAAAUUGAAUUAAAGAGUGAAUAAGAUAUGAAAUGAAAGCUUAAUGAGUCUAUUUCUACAUAAAAGAAACAGAGCAAGCAAAAGAGUUAUAUAUUUUGAGAUAUUUGAAUUUUAGUGAGGCAGGGUUGGAUUGAUUUUGGAAUCCCCUAUUCUGAAUUUGGAAAAUAAUUAAAAAUUGUAAAAAUAAUAAUUAUGAGUUAUAAUUUAUAUUCUUAGAAUCCUUAAUGAGUCUAUUUUCAAAGGAAAUAAACAUAAAUAUCAUCUGAAUUCUGUAAAAUGAGAUAAUUUAUUUUUAGUGAAGAGAUGUCAGAGAUGCUAAGCAGUGAAAUAGGGGUGAGUUUAAAGAAUAAACUGUACUAAUUGGCUAAGAAAAAAAUUCUGAAAAUUUUAUGGUAAGAAUAUAUGUGAGUUUAGUUUUGGGUAAAAUUAACGGAACUUAAUUUGGAGCUUUGUAGCUCAGGAUAAAAAUAAUUUAGUGACUGUAACUCGACUAGAUAGCUUUUGAAUUUAAAUAUAAGUGAAUAGUGAAAUUAUGUAUAAUGCUAUUUAAGCAUGUUAUAUACAUAAAGGAUGUGGGAUGGAGAGGAGGAGGAGGACAAUAAAGCAUAUGCGUGUGGUAGAUUAGCAUGAAAUGAUGUCGUGAGUGGCUCAUGAAUUAACUCAUGUUGGUAAGUUGAUGCAUAAUUAUAGUAUUCAAAUAUAUUACAUAUUUGUAAUAUUUUGCUAUGUGAUUCGGAAAAAGGGGAAUAAAUAGCAUAAUGAAAAUUCGGCCAUGGUGCUAGUUUAUGUUAAAGGAGUGUUUUAUGGCAUAUCUUAAGUAAUGGAAUGUUAUGAAUUUUGAGAUUAAUUUGCUAGUCAAAUAAAUGACAAAUGAAUUGAUUGCGUAUUCGUAAUUUUGACAUAUGCUUGGUAUAUGAAACGUAAUAAUAUAUGCUUGAACAAACUUUAAGUAUUCGAAUGACAUGGAUUUGAUGGUGAUAAGAUUCGAACAUUGAAUUCAUGAAGCACAAGUGAUGUAUUAUUGUUGUGUGAUAGCUUGGUUUGAGAAAUUGGUUAGGUAAAUGGUAAGUUAAAGCAUUUAUGGAUAUAGAAGAAAAUUUGGAGUGAAUAUGAAAUUUAGCUCAAUUAAAUGAUUUCAUCAAUUAAACAUUGUGUAUACCAGAAUGUGUUAGUGAAUUACAUAUUCAUAAAUUGACAUUCGAAGUUCAGUUAGUGAUAUAUGAAAAUAACAUGAAAAGAUUUAUGAUUGUGAUUAAUAUUGAUUCUAACUUAAAGUGGAUUCUUCAAUAUUGGAUUGAUUUAACGGAUAUAUUGAGCAUAUGAAUGGGUAUGUAUUGGGCCUCGUAAACCUUAAUUAGCGACUCAAAGAUAAUAAUUUGAAAGUUUUUAAUUUGAAUGAAAUUUUAUAACUCAGUUUAAUAUGUUUAUAAGUGUAUUUAUUCUAAUAAUGCCUCGUACCCUAUUCCAGCGUAGAAUACGAGUAAGGGGUGUUACAAUGUGACAUCACUAGAUUCGGCCCUAAUGUUUAGGCCGGGUUUGGGGUGUUACAAUUACUUUUGAAAGUAUUUCUAUGAAGCGUGUCUCGUAUUUUCGGUCAAGCUAAAUGGCAAAGCAAAGGCAACAUUGAGACAUGGAGCAUAGGAUGUCACAAUGACGUGACGACAUUCGAAACUAAAUCGAAGCAGGGCCGACGUCACGAUGAGGGGACCUACGAUGUCGUGACGAUGCAACGAGGCAGCCACGUCUCUUGACAACUUAAUGGAUUUUCCUUCUCCCAGUUGAACUUUGAUUUUCGGUUCUCUUUUCUCAAUUUAACUCUAACUAUUCUAGGGAUAUUUUUGUAAUACCCUAUAUGUAGCACCUUUAACCCGUAUCCAUUGUCAGAUUAGAGUUACGAAAUAUUACCGAGUAAAACAAAACAUUUAACUUCACAACAGAAACAAUUAUAUUAAUUAAAUGUAAUCAUGGUAAAAAUAUAAUUACGGGUCUUAACUCGAGUUUACAGGGCCUUAAAAACAGUUUUGGAACAUUCAGGGAUCAAUUCGAACAAAUCAGAAAAUUUAAAAAAACAGGAAAAUUUUGAAAACAGGAAUCACACUAUCGUAUGACAUAGUUCAGAUCUUGUGGACAUUCGAAGUCUAGACACACAGCUUAUCCCAAGCCGUGUGAGUAUUCGGAAUAAGGCUACACGGACAUGUCAUAUGUCGUGUGCCAAAUCAUGUGUACUGUAAUAACCAAUUUUACCCGAGCUUAUUAAAAUUAAAUUAAAAUAAUAUAAAAAUCAAAUAAUAAUAAAAUGUCCAAUAACAGUCCAAUAAAAUAAACCCAUAAACCGAAUACACCCCAGCCCAAUAACCAAUUACAGGCCCAAUUCAAACCUAAUACCCAAAUUGCAACCCACAAGCCCAAAAGCAAGAAAAAUAGAAAACCCUAGACAGUAGCAGCUUCCAGCGCCGUUCUCCCUAUGUAGCCUCCGCGCGUGCUACGCCACCACCACGCGCGUUCCUCACAUGUGAACUAGGCCUCCACUCCAGCUUGCACCUGUAACAGACGUAACAAACUAGUAGAGAAAGCAAAGGAAAAAUGACAGCAAGGAAAAGGCAACACAGCAAAUAGGAAAGCAGUAAAUAAAAAAUGUAAAAAAUAUAUUUCGAUUGAUUUUAUUUUUAUUUUUAUUUUUAAGGAUUUCGGUUAUAAAAAGGCCAUUUGAGCACUAUAAAUGUGGACGCAUACAGAGAUUGAAUACAAAAAACAAAAAAAAAAUUCAAAGAAAAAGGUAAAUAGAGUUUUGUAAGAAAAAAAUGACAUUCUGCAUUCAUGCAAACAUCAUUCAUACAUUUGAAUUAUACAAGUCAUGUUCCCCCAGAGAACAAACCGGUGAAACUAUAAAGCCUGAGCAGCAGUGGAAUAGGUUGAAAAUAGCAGAUCUUGUUUUUCUGUACUGGCAGCGAAGCAGAUCGAAGAUAACAAGUCUUAUCUCCCUGACUUGCAGCGGAGCAGACUGAAGAUAGCAGAUCUUGUCUUCCUGUACUGACAGUGAAGUAGAUCGAAGACACCAGUCUUAUCGCCUUGAUGUUGCAAUGGAACAGAUUAAAGCUAAAGAUAGCGAAUCUUGUGUCCCUGCCGUUGCAACGGAGUAGAUUAAAGCUGAGGGCAGCAAAUCUUAUCUCCUUAGCGUUAAGACUUGGAUUAGCUGAAGUGGAGCAGAUUAAAGCUGUAGGCAGCGAAUCCUAUCUAUUUGGCAUUACAGUGGAAUAGAUUGAAGCUACAACAGCGAAUCUUACUUCCCUGGUGGUGUAGUGGAACAAAUUGAAGCUACGAUGGCGAAUCUAGUUUCCCCGACACUGCAGUUAAAUAGAUUGAAGCCAUAACGGUGAAUUUUACUUCCCUGGCGGUGUAGUGGAACAUAUUAAAGCUACGACGCCAAAUCUUGUUUCCCCGACAUUGCAGUUAAAUAGAUUGAAGCUACAACAGCAAAUCUUACUUCCCUGGCGGUGCAGUGGAACAGAUUGAAGCUACAACGGCGAAUCUUGUUUCCCCGACAUUACAGUUAAACAGAUUGAAGAUGGCGAAUCUUAUCUCUCUAAGGUUACAGUGGAGCAGAUUAAAGCCAAUAAUCCUAUCUCUCUGAGGUUGCAGUAGAGCGGAUUGAAGUGAUGAUCUUAUCUCUCUGAAGUUACAGUAGAGCAGAUCGCAUCCAAUUUUAUCUCCCUAAAGUUGUAGUGGAGCAGACAGAAGAAACCAAUCCUAUCUCCCUGAAAUUGCAGGGGAGCGGAUUAAAACUACAGAUCUUAUCUCUCUGAAGUUGCAAUAGAGCAUAUCACAACAGACUUAUCUUUUUAAAGUUGCAGCAGGACAAGUUGAAGCUACAAGUCUUAUCUCCCUGAAGUUGCAAUGGAGCAGACUGAAGAUAGUAAAUUUUUUUCUUUUGAAAAGACUACAAGUUACAAAUUGCAUCUCCCUAAUGUUACAGUGGAGUAUAUUGAAGCACCAAUUCCUAUACUUCUAAAGAUGCAGUAUGAUGGAAUGAGGCUACUUGAAGAAGAAGAGCACCAAGGUCCAGCAUGACCAGGCAAAAUUGGUCAUUUUUAAAGUCUUUGCUUUGUUCCCGUUACACGACAACAAGCAAAGAAGGGCAGCUGUAAUAACCAAUUUUACCCGGGCUUAUUAAAAUUAAAUUAAAAUAAUAUAAAAAUCAAAUAAUAAUAAAAUGUCCAAUAACAGUCCACUAAAAUAAACCCAUAAACCGAAUACACCCUAGCCUAAUAACCAAUUACAGACCCAAUUCAAACCUAAUACCCAAAUUGCAACCCACAAGCCCAAAAGCAAGAAAAAUAGAAAACCCUAGACAGCAGUAGCUUCCAGCGCCGUUCUCCCCAUGUAGCCUCUGCGCGUGCUACGCCACCACCACGCGCGUUCCUCGCAUGCAAACCAGGCCUCCACUCUAGCUUGCACCUGCAACAGACGUAACAAACUAGCAGAGAAAGCAAAGGAAAAAUGACAGCAAGGAAAAGGCAACACAGCAAAUAGGAGAGCAGUAAAUGAAAAAUGUAAAAAAUAUAUUUCGAUUCAUUUUAUUUUUAUUUUUAAGGAUUUCAGUUAUAAAAAGGUCAUUUGAGCACUGUAAAUGUGGACGCAUAUAGAGAUUGAAUACAAAAAACAAAAAAAAAAUAUUCAAAGAAAAAGGUAAACAGAGUUUUGUAAGAUUUUUUUAAAUUUUUCUUCACUUUUCUUUGUUUUUUUUUACUGCUUUGUUCAUUAAUAAUAUGUGUAAGGCCCAAUUUUUGUCCGGCCUGUUACAGAAAUAAAAAACCAAACAAAACCAAAAUGUUUCAGUCCAAUUUUGCUAAGCCCAAUAACCCAAUAGCACAGCCCAAAUCAAUUUAUCCUAAAACUAACCCAGCUACAAUCACCGAAACCCUAAAAUCCCUUAGCCACCGCCUCCAGCAAGUGUCCAAUCAGCGCACGUUUCGGAACCAGCCCUCUUCUCCGCGUCGUGCUCUCCACGUCUACCUGCGAAAACGGACUAAAAGAGUCCCAAUAUUGUAAAAUAAAAAUACAAAGUAUUUUCUUAGGCUAUAAAAAGCCUAACUUGUACACUGAUAAAAAUAAAAGAAUAGAGAACAGAAUAAAUAUUUUUACAAAGGUGAUUUUUUUUUGUUUUAUUCCGCAGUGACCAUUUUUUAUUUACAUAUGUUUUAUUUUCUUUUAUUUUCAUUUAUUUCGUAUAAAAUAACAAAGAAAAAAGAAAAGGAAAACAUACCUUUUGUCGGACUUGCCGGAUUGUUGCCAUCUCCAGCGCUAGGAGUUAGGGCUGAAAACCCUAGCAGAGGGCAUUUAGUUUUUUUUUUCCUUUCAUUCUGCUGCAAAUGUUUUUUAGAGAAAAAAAUUGUUUUAAAUAACAGAGCAAAACGGCGCCGUUUUACCCAGGCAUGACCCGCGCGGUGACCCGACCCGGAGGGAGGAUUCGCGCGUUUUGGUCGAAGGGAAAAUUUGCGCAAUUGGUCCCUCCCUUUUGCAAUGCGCUUCAAUUAAACCUGUUUUGUUUUUUUUAAUUUGGCCGCAUAUUUUAUUUUUGUUUCAAUUUGGUCCCUUGCUGCGCAGCAUUUUGGAGGGUAGGAUUAAUUUCCCUUCUAGUCCCCCAUUGUUGUUCGCGCGUUCAAGUUGGUCCUUUUUUUAUUUAUUUUUGAAUCUACCCCAUCUUUUCGUUUUUAAGUUCAAUUUAGUCCAUUUUUUAGCUUUUUCUUUUUUAUGUUUGUCAUUGUACCAUUAUUAUUAUUAUUAUUAUAUUAUUUGCUAUCAUUAUUGUUAUUGUAUUUUCUAUACAUAUAAAUACGCAUAUUUUUUAUAUAUAAUAUAUAAGCAUAUUUUUAAUAUAUAUAUUUAUAAGUACGCAUCUAUUUUAUACAUACAUACUUUUUUUUUUAUUUCCUAACCUUUAUGUACACGUAUAUAUACUUCUAUAUUUUGGUUUCAAAAUUUUUUAUACAUAUGCAUGUUCGUUUUUUCUUAUAUAUAUUAUUUUUCAUUUUUUUUACAAAACGUAUAUAUAUGUGUAUACAUACACAUUUUAAAAUACACACAUGUUUCCCAUAUUUUACAAUUCAAAAUACACAUUUUUUAUAUUAUAUAUAUACAUUCUUUAUAUUUUUGAGUUAUUAUAGACAUUUUUAUUAUUCUAUAUAUACUCCGUUAUUUAUGUACAUAUCAUACAUAUAUAUAAAUUUUUUAAUAUAUGUAUACAUAUUUUCAUGUUUUACCAAUACAUAUAUACUUAUACAUUUUUUUUCUGUAAAUAUAUACACAUAUACAUACUUUUAUAGUUUUAUUUUAUUUUCACGGUUUUCAAAUGCACAUACGUGCAUUUUUUAUGAGUUUUUGAUUGAUAUAUUCCAUUCCAUUUUUUUAUAUGUAUCCUUGUAUAUGUGUGUAAAAUAUAUGCGUACACAUAUUUUCAAAUUUUCUUGUAUAUUGUACUUGUAUGUAUAUAUUUUGUAAAUACAUAUUCAUAUAUGUUUUAAAUUAACGUUUUGUUUCAUAUUGUACGUUAACUUUUAACAUACCUUUUGGGAAAUAUAUUUUGGUUUUGUCAGUAUAUCAAAAUCAUUUUCUCUUGAUUCAAAGUUUUUUUGAAUAAAAGCAAUAUUCAAGUUUGAGAUUUUUGAGGAAAAUUGAGCCCUAACGUAUUGGGUUCUGAUUUUCUUUGUUAAUCUUAAAUAACCGAGGAUAUUCUUUAUUCAAAAUGCAUGAGUAUAAAGAUCAUUUUUGGGAACUUAACUUGUUGUGUCCUAAUGUAUUGGGCGUGACAUAUUACUUUCUCAAAAUGAAGAUUUUCACAUAAAAUAAAAGUGAUAUUCAAAGUUCGGGGAUUUUGAGAAAUUGUACCCUAACGUAUUGGGACUCGAUUUCUUUACAUGACUUGAACAAUUGAUUAUCCUUUUCAAAUUUCAUCAUUUAAGUUGUUUUAAAAAAAAUUAGCCCUCGACAUUAAGACAUUAAAUAAUUAAUUUGGUACAGAUUUUGGGUGUCACGAGGGUGCUAACCCUUCCUCGUGCGUAACUGACUCCCGAACCCAUUUUCUCAAAUUUCGUAGACCAAAAUACGUUUUAAGGUGAACUGAUCACACCUCAAUAAAAGAUCGGUGGUGACUCCAAUUUUGUUUUUUUAAAAAGUCGACAACUACAUUUUUGAUUUAGAAAUGGUUUCGACAGCUUGGCGACUCCACUGGGGACACUAGAGAGUCGAGCCAUAAAUUGAUUAUUUUUGUCUUGUGAUUGAAAAAUCAAAUUUGUUUUAAAAUCAUGAUUUCCCUUUACAUUCAUUGAUUUUCAUCAUGAUAUAUUUGCAUGAUGGGUCCGAGUCGAUUAAUUUGUAUUUGCAUUAUGCAUUGCAUUGGUUGGUCAGUGUUACCUCUUUAAGUGGGAGCGAGAAACUAGUCCUUCGUGAGGUUUUGACCUCCGUGCAGGGUAGUAGACCGCUUUCGGGAUACAUCCGUACCUAUGUCUUCGUGAGAUUUUCAUCUCCGUGCAGCCAUAGGGAAAUGUAUUCCCUUGAACUGAACUCAGUCCAUAUGAGCCUAUAAUGGGUGAGGAUCGAGGAAUCUGCUGGUUCGGGUACCUUUGCUCUAGAAACUAAACCUCAUAUACUGAGAUUUAGGGACUUGCCCUAGGUAGAGCUAUACCAAACCCUAGAGGAGUCCUGAAUAGGUUUUAUUAUUUCCUAUGUACGUUGAAUUAUGAUUUUAUGCAUGAUACUAACUUGUGUGUUUUGUUUUGGCGGUAUGGCAUUUUGACUGCAUGGCAUUUCAUUAUAGAAAAAAAAUGUUGAUUCAUGUUUGGUUGUUAAAUAGAGAGCUUGCUACGGAAAAUAGAUUUCUUGAUAAGGUGAAAGAUAAUACGGUUGUCUGAGUAUAGUCUAAGAAAACGUGACGCGAAAGGUAAUAGCGUAACAAGAGGAGUAUACGACUUUGCUGCGUUGCCCAAGGAUUCAAAUUGUCAAAGAUUAUUCAAGAGUCAUCAAACGUCCUAACCUCUUAAAGAAGCUCAUGGGCAUGAGUGAGCAAAGAGAUACGACCUAGAUCAAACAAAAUGGAGCUAAGAUUCGCAAAAUGCAUCUUAAUGUUCGAAUGGUCGAUGCCUUCACUUGGAGUACGAGCACAAAGCCGUAUAUAUAUAUCCGCUUUGUGUAAAGAGAUUUGUUUUCUAGUGAAGUUUUUCUAAUAAAGAAUUGAACUAGAAUCAACGUCUCUUUUUGCAUUUAUUUCAUGCAUUUGCAUUACAUUACAUCACAUGCAUUAAACACCGUAAAAGGAUCCUAAUUAACUAAAUCAUUGCUCAGUUAACCUGGAAACCAACCAACCAACCAAACACCAUUAUGACACUUGAGCAAAGAUUAAAGAUAUGGAUCAGAGAUUGGAAAAGCUCGAAUAGUACCAGAAGAAGAUGCAAGACCGACUUCAGCUGCAAGUGCAAGAACGGUUGGACAAGAUGCAAUAGGAUAUGUCAGAGAAGAUACAGGAAUCCCAAAAGGAUAUGAUGGCGAAGCUGACCCAACUAUUGACUGGAGGAAGUGAUAAGGGAAAAGGGACCUGUAGCUAAUGUCGAAGAAGGCAACGAGGAUGAACCUCUCUAUCCUCCAGGCUUUACUCCUCCACAUGUACGAACUCAAGCUGAGGUAUACCCGCACAAAUCUAUUGUCACAAUCAGGCCUCAGCAGUUCCAGGCCGGUACUUCAAAUUUCCAAGCUGGAUCGGGCUCUAACCCCGGGAACUACCCUAUUAACUCUGCCAUUCCUGACUUCGAUGAAAUGGCUGAAAAGGAAAAAAUAAAUGAAGAGUUACCAAGGCAGUUAGAAGAGAGGUGUAAAUGGCUCGAAGAGAAGUUCAAGGCGAUGGAGAUCACUGAAAACUAUCGUGGGAUCAACGCUAAAGAACUGAGUCUAGUCCUAAAUUUGGUACUCCCUCAUAAGUUUAAGAUGCCGAAAUUUGAAAAAUAUAAUGGGACAAGUUGCCCAGAAGCACAUAUCACCAUGUUCUGCAGGAGAAUGGCUGGAUAUGUUAACAAUGACCAGCUACUGAUUCAUUGUUUCCAGGAUAGCCUUACAGGGGCAGCAUCUAAAUAGUACAAUCAACUGAGCCAUACCAUGAUAGGUUCAUGGAGGGACUUAGCACAAGCGUUCAUGAAACAGUACAGUCAUGUAACAGACAUGGUUCCUGACAGAAUCACCCUUCAGAAUAUGAAAAAGAAGCCAAACGAGAGCUUUAGGUAAUAUGCACAAAGGUGGAGGGAGGUGGCUGUUCAAGUUCAGCCACUGCUCUUGGAAAGAGAAAUGUCAAUGCUCUUUAGAAAUAUAUUGAAAGCCCCGUUCAUUACGCAUAUGUUAGGAAGUGCUACAAAAAGCAUUUCUGACAUAGUUAUGAAUGGUGAAAUGAUCGAAAAUGCUAUAAGGAGUGGGAAAAUCAAUGCAGAGGAGAGUAACAAGAGGCCAGUCUCAAGAAGAAGAGAAAAUGAGGUGAACAACACGGGUUACUCUAAAUCAGUUACUAUGAGUCAGCCAAGAAAGUUGGUUGCUAACCAACAAGGUUCAUCAAGACAAGAAGAUGGUACAAGACAAAACACUAAGAGGCCCCAAUUCACGCCAAUUCCGGUGUCGUAUAGGGAGUUAUAUCAAAGAUUUUUUGAUGCACAUGUUGUUUCCCCUUUUCAUGUAAAGCCUCUACAACCUCCGUACCCCGAAUGGUAUGAUGUGAACGCACAAUGUGAAUACCAUGCGGGAAUUACGGGACACUCAAUAGAGAAUUACACUGCCUUCAAGAAGCAAGUUGAAAGACUCAUCAACACGGGUAUUGUCAAGUUUGGUGACUCAUCUAGUGCAGAAAAUCCGCUACCCAAUCAUAUUGAUAAUAGAGGUGAGAUUUUCACAUCGACGCCGUAUGUGCAGACACAACCAAAAGGGUUAUUGUUAGAUAUUCACCUGGAAGGUGCUAUAAAUAAUGGGACUGCAGAGGAAACCCCUAUAGUAUUUAGAGUCUGUUAGGGUAAUGUUCAGAACACACUUGUUGCUUUUAGCCUAGAAGCAAUAAGAACUUCUUUGUGAAAUAGGCUCAUGUCUGAACAUUGUUAUUUUAAUGAAAUACAUUAUUGCAAUCAUCUUUGAGCAAAUGUUCUUUCAUUCUUUACGAUUCUUUCAUUCUUUUGGAUUUUUUUUGCCAAACCAUUUUUUUCAUUCAUUCAUAUUAUUUAUAAAUUCAUACAUUAUUUUGUAUAUUCUUUGGUACCUACUAGGGGUCCCCAGAUAUCAAUGACAUGAGUGACGCUGCUAUAGACUCAGAACUUCCUUUUGAGUGAGACAUGUGUUUAGAGGGAUCUCAUGACUUUGAUGAUGACAUAGAUUGCAGCUUAUCUCCAGAUUUGACGAAGGUGAUAGAAUAAGAGGAUAAGAUAGAUCAUACCUCAUAAGAAAUUAUUAGAAAUUGUAAGCUUGGUGAAGAUUAAAAUUGACAUGACCACAAAGACGAAGUGGGACCUUAUGAAUUACCCUAAGAAUUCAAUGAUGUCUUCACAUGGUCAUACCCAGAUAUGCUCGGGUUAAGCACUGACUUUAUAAUCUGAAUAACAACAUGAUGUCAGAAAUUUGCAGUAGGUUCAGCAUUAAUGUUAUGAACGAUGCAGUGAAAUUUCUUUAUUGGGGAAAUGUCCUUCUCUUUGGCUUAUCAUAGCUUUGCUCAUUGAAGUUGAAUUGCCAUUUCUCUGUAUUUUUAUCCUAAGAGGAAGAUCUGAAGGUUCGUCCUAGAGAAUUUCACAAGGGGGAGCUAGUGUUGAAAAUGAUCAUUCCUAUACAAAAGGGAUUUUAGAGGAAGAUAGAUGCCAAAUUAGGAGGGUCCAUAUGUUGUAAAGAAAGUCUUUUCUAGGAAAACUUUGAUCCUGAGUGAGAUGGAUGGUAAAGAUUGUCCAAGCCCUGUAAACUCAGAUUCAGUUAAGAAGUACUUUUCCUAAAAAAGGGGACCAAGGUGAAAGCCUACAAAGGGCGCCUUGAGUAAAAAAAAAUAGAGAGGCCAAGGUGAAAACCCGCGAAGGGAGGCUUGAGACCAAAAGGAUUUUAGUUGAAAACCCAAAAAGGGCGGCUCAAAUGUUGAUCAAAAUGGCAUUUGAAAUUAUCAGAGCAGCUCAAAUACUGAUCAGAAUGGGGCAUGCAGUGGUCUUGCUAUACCUGAAUCAACAGGAAAGGGGUAGGCAACAUCUUGGGGCAUCGACAAAGCACUGUUGAUUUCCUAAACACAUGUUAAAAUCAGAAUGGUCUUCAGAAAGUUUGCACAGAGAAGUUCAGGCUGCGAUACCUGGGGCACCGAAUCCUUAUACUAUUUUUGUUAUACUUGGAACACUUCAUUCAUUUCCAAGACACGCAUUCUUAAAUUAAUUUCUUUAUUAUCUUUGACAAUUUAUUCAUUUCGAGCUAUGUUCAGAACCAACUCUAUUCUUAUCCAUGAUCUUUUUGCAAGCAUGUUGCAUUAGAAUAAUGAUUAAUGGACUAAUAAAACUUUCACAAAGGAAGUUUUGCAUAUUACUCUAGAAAUUUCUAAAUAAUAUAGGAACCUGAAACAGGACUAUUGUUUAGAACACACCAAGUUUAAAGGUUGGAAAUCUGAUAAGGAGGAGUCUAAAUUAAGACUAUCCUUUUAAAUUUUGUUGUCUAAAACAUUGUUUGAACAAAAUGAUAAGAUGUCAUAUUGGUGACAAAGCUUAGAUGAAAGAAAGUAAUGAUCACCGAAUAAUAAGAAGAAGUUGUUCUUGGAGAAUAAAAUUUUUCAUUUGUGCAUUGGCAUUUGGUAUGACACCCAUAGAAUGGUAAAAGACCAAAGAGCUUCACAUUCUACAUCCUUGAAUUGUGAUAGGAGAGGAUUGAGAAAAUGCCAGAUUUUUCUUGGGUUACAGCGGGAGAAAGAUGGUACAAAUGUUACAUCCUAGUGGAUUGAGCUUUGAAGUUCACAGUGGGGGCAAUCUGGUCAAGUGUUUCUUUGGAGACGUUAGCCAAGCAAAAGGUGCUAUAGCACAUUAGCGAUAAAAUUUUAAUAAACUUUGAGUAAUGAUAACCUAAGUGAUAAGGAGGAAUCAUUCUCGAAAAAUGACAUUCUGUAUUCAUUCAAAUGUCAUUCAUACAUGCCUAGUUAGGAGCAUUUGAUUCAUUCUGUUCAUGACAUCCUAAUCAUUAGGUAUAAUUAGGUUCAUAAAGUGAAUUAUACAGGUCAUGCUCCCUAGAGGACAGAUCAGAGAAAUCAUAAAGCCUUAUCUCCCUGAGCAACGGUGGAGCAGGUUGAAAAGCAGCAGAUCUUGUCUUCCCGUACUGGUGACGAAGUAGAUCGAAGAAAGCAGAUCUUGUCUUCAUGUAUUGGCGUGAAGUAGAUCGAAGAAAGAAGAUCUUGUCUUCCCAUACUGGUGGUGAAGUAGAUCGAAGAAAGCAGAUCUUGUCUUCAUGUAUUAGCGUGAAGCAGAUCGAAGAAAGCAGAUCCUGUCUUCCUAUAUUGGUAGCGAAGUGGAUCGAAGAUAGCAGAUCUUGUCUUCAUGUAUUGACGUGAAAUAGAUCAAAGAAAACAGAUCUUGUCUUCAUGUAUUGGCGUGAAAUAGAUCGAAGAAAGCAGAUCAUGUAUUGGCGUGAAAUAGAUCGAAGAAAGCAGAUCUUGUCUUCAUGUAUUGGCAUGAAGUAGAUCAAAGAUAGCAGAUCUUGUCUUUCCAUACUGGUGGCGAAGUAGAUCGAGGAAAGCAGAUCUUGUCUUCAUGUAUUGGCAUGAAGUAGAUCAAAGAGAGCAGAUCUUGUCUUCCCAUACUGGUGGCGAAGUAGAUCGAAGAUGACAGAUCUUGUCUUCAUGUAUUGGCAUGAAGUAGAUCAAAGGAUAGCAGAUCUUGUCUUCAUGUAUCAGCAGUGAAGUAGAUCGAAAAUACAAGUCUUAUCUCCCUGAAGUAGCAGUGGAGCUGACAGAAGUAACCAAUCCUAUCUCCUUGAAGUUGCAAUGGAGUGGAUUAAACCUGCAGAUCUCAUCUCUCUGAAGUUGCAGUAGAGCAGAUCGCAUCAGAUUUAUUUUUAAGUUGUAGCAGAACAAGUUGAAGCUAUAAGUCUUAUCUCCCUGAAGUUGUAGUGGAGCAGAUUAAAGAUAGCAAUUUUUGUUCUUUUAAAAAGCUACAGUGUACGAACCCUAUCUCCUUGACAUUGCAGUGGGGUAGAUUGAAACACUAGUUCCUAUACUUCAGAAGAUGUAGUAGGAAAGAAUGAGGUUACUUGAAGGAAAAAGAACUGAAUAAGUCGAGGCUCAGUAAGACCGGGCACAAUUGGGCUUUUAGUAUUUGCUCUGUUCCCGUUACAUGACAACGAGCAAAGAGGGGCAGCUAUAGGGCCCAAUUUUUUCCUGGCCCGUUACAGAAAUAAAAAACCAAACAAAAACCAAAAUGUUUCAGUCCAAUUUUGCUAAGCCCAAUAACCCAAUAGCACAACCCAAAUCAAUUUAUUUUAAAACUAACCUAGCUACAAUCACCGAAACCCUAAAAUCCCUUAGCUACUGCCUCCGGCAAGUGUCCAAUCGGCACACGUUUCGAAACCAGCCCUAUUCUCCGCGUCAUGCUCUCCACAACUACCUGCGAAAACGGACUAAAAGAGUCCCAAUAUUGUAAAAUAAAAAUACAAAGUAUUUUCUUAGGCUAUAAAAAGCCUAAGUUGUACACUGAUAAAAAAAAAGAACAGAGAACAAAAUAAAUAUUUUUACAAAAGUGAUUUUUUUUUGUUUUAUUUCGCAGUGACCAUUUUUUAUAUACAUACGUUUUAUUUUCUUUUAUUUUCAUUUAUUUCGUAUAAAAUAACAAAGAAAAAAGAAAAGGAAAACAUACCUUUUGUCGGAGUCGCCGGAUUGUUGCCAUCUCCAUCGCGGUCGGAGCGUCGGCAUGGGCGAACGGCGGCGCUAGGAGCUAGGGCUGAAAACCCUAGCAGAGGGCAUUUGGUUUUUUUUUCCUUUCAUUCUGUUGCAAAUUUUUUUUAGAGAAAAAAAAACUGUUUUAAAUAACAGAGCAAAACGACGCCGUUUUACCCAAGCAUGACCCGCGCGGUGACCCGACCCGGAGGGGAGGAUCCGCGCGUUCUGGCCGAAGGGAAAAUUUGCGCAAUUGGUCCCUCCCUUUUGCAAUGCGCUUCAAUUAAACCUGUUUUGUUUUUUUUAAUUUGGCCGCAUAUUUUAUUUUUGUUUCAAUUUGGUCCCUUAUUGCGCAGCGUUUUGGAGGGUGGGAUUAAUUUCCCUUCUAGUCCCCCAUUGUUGUUCGCGCGUUCAAGUUGGUCCUUUUUUAUUUAUUUUCGAAUCUACCCCAUCUUUUCAUUUUUAAGUUCAAUUUAGCCCAUUUUUUAGCUUUUUUUUUAAAUUCUUUUUUAUGUUUGUCAUUAUACCAUUAUUAUUAUUAUAUUAUUUGCUAUCAUUAUUGUUAUUGUAUUUUCUAUACAUAUAAAUACGCAUAUUUUUUAUAUUUAAUAUAUAAGCAUAUUUUUAAUAUAUAUAUUUAUAAGUACGCAUCUAUUUUAUACAUACAUACAUACUUUUUUUUAUUUUAUUUCCUAACCUUUAUGUACACGUAUAUAUACUUCUAUAUUUUUGUUUCAAAAUUUUUUAUACAUAUGCAUGUUCGUUUUUUUUAUAUAUAUUAUUUUUCAUAUUUUUUUACAAAACGUAUAUAUAUGUGUAUACAUACACAUUUUAAAAUACACACAUGUUUCCCAUAUUUUACAAUUCAAAAUACACAUUUUUUUUAUAUUAUAUAUAUACAUUCUUUAUAUUUUUGAGUUAUUAUAGACAUUUUUAUUAUUCUAUAUAUACUCCGUUAUUUAUGUACAUAUCAUACAUAUAUAUAAAUUUUUUAAUAUAUGUAUACAUAUUUUCAUGUUUUACCAAUACAUAUAUACUUAUACAUUUUUUAUUUCUGUAAAUAUAUACACAUAUACAUACUUUUAUAGUUUUAUUUUAUUUUCACGGUUUUCAAAUACACAUACGUGCAUUUUUUAUUAGUUUUUGAUUGAUAUAUUCCAUUCCAUUUUUUAUAUGUAUCCUUGUAUAUGUGUGUAAAAUAUAUGCGUGCACAUAUUUUCAAAUUUACUUGUAUAUUGUACUUGUAUGUAUAUAUUUUGUAAAUACAUAUUCAUAUAUGUUUUAAAUUAAUGUUUUGUUUCAUAUUGUACGUUAACUUUUAACAUACCUUUUGGGAAAUAUAUUUUGGUUUUGUCAGUAUAUCAAAAUCAUUUUCUCUUGAUUCAAAGUUUUUUGAAUAAAAGCAAUAUUCAAAGUUUGGAAUUUUUGAGGAAAAUUGAGCCCUAACGUAUUGGGUUCUGAUUUUCUUUGUUAAUCUUAAAUAACCAAGGAUAUUCUUUAUUCAAAAUGCAUGAGUAUAAAGAUCAUUUUCGGGAACUUAACUUGUUGUGUCCUAAUGUAUUGGGCGUGACAUAUUAUUUUCUCAAAAUGAAGAUUUUCGCAUAAAAUAAAAGUAAUAUUUAAAGUUCGGGGAUUUUGAGAAAUUGUACCCUAAUGUAUUGGGACUCGAUUUCUUUACAUGACUUGAACAAUUGAUUAUCCUUUUCAGAUUUCAUCAUUUGAGUUGUUUUAAAAAAAAUUUUUUAGCCCUCGACAUUAAGACAUUAAAUAAUCAAUUUUGUACCGAUUUUGGACGUCACAAGGGUGCUACCCUUCCUCGUGCGUAAUUGACUCCCGAACUCGUUUUCUCAAAUUUCGUAAACCAAAAUACGUUUUAAGGUGAACUGAUCACACCUCAAUAAAGGAUCGGUGGCGACUCCAAUUUUGUUUUUUUAAAAAGUCGACAACUAUAUUUUUUAUUUAAAAAUGGUUUCGACAAUAUGAAAUAAAAGAAAAAUAGAGAGUAGGGAGAGAAAUUUACCUAAAAGCUGAGACGUCGUUCGUCUGUCGUAAUCGAAGUCGGACGAGGAAUCGGGGCCUCCAAACGCUGGUUUGUUGAGCGGCGCACGGAGGAAAAGUUGCUUAGGGUUUGUAGAUCUAUUAAAAUGGCUUAAUGCCUUGGUUUUUUUAGGUUUCAUGCGUGCAACGAAAUGGCACCGUUUGAACCCCGUUCUAAUGGCUCCAAAGCGAUGUCGUAUUGAGGCUCGACCCGAUUCGAACUAGGUUCCAGAUCUGCGUGUUUUACCUCAUAGGGGAGAAUUUCGCGAAUAGUCCUCCGCUUUUAUAGAACCUUCAAAUUGAUCCUUUUAUUUCUUUUAAAUUUGGCUGCUCAUUUUGUGCUUCAUUUCAAUUAGGUCCGUGCAAGGAUGCUGCGUUUUGAGGGAAGGGAUAUUUUCCCAUUCAGUCCCCAAGUUAUUCGCGCGUUCCUUUGUGGCCCUUAAUGUUAUUUUAUUUUUAUUUUCUCUUUUAAUUUUGAAUUAAAUGCAGUUUAGCUUGUUUUUGUUUAAUUUAAUGUAUUCAAUUUUUAUUUUAUUUUUAAUAUUCAUCAUUCUUUUUUAAAAAAUAUUUAAUUUUACAUCUAGAUUAUUUUAUGUUUAAAUUUAGUAUAUUUUAAAUUUAUUAACAAUAUUAUUUUAAUAUUAUAACAUAUUAUUAUUCUAAAUGUAACAUUAACAUUAUUUUAAAUUUAUCAUGUACAAUCUUAUGCAUUCUUGUUGUAGUUUCAAUAUAAUUUAUAGAUUUUUUUACAUUUUUAUUUUAUAAUACAUUUUUUAACUUCACUUAUAUAGUUCUUUGCUUUAAGAUUUGUACAUUAAUAUUCUUACAUAAUAUUUUUCUAUACAUAUAUAUAAUUUGUGUUAAAUUAUUUUUUAUUAUAUAUAUAAUAUAUUACCGAUUUCAUAUUAUUACAUAUCUUUUUACAUAUUUUUAUAUAUACAUAAUUUAUUUCUUUUAAAACCCUACUUUAUUAUGUACUUUGUUUAUUUCAACUUUUUAUAAUAUUAUAUAUAUUAUUAUUAAACUUUUCAUUUCAUAUAUAUAUUACUUAUUUAGAUUAAUGUAUGUAUAUUAUUUGGUAUAUUACAUAUAUAUAUAUUGUAGCAACGUAAAAAUUUUAGCUUAGCUUGGUCGCUAAUUGUGGCGAUUUAUUGAAAUUUUUUUUGAAAUUUGACGUUUGAUUUUUGAAAUAAAUAGGGAGUUGCCACCGAUCCUUUUUCCUAGGUGUGAUCGGACACCUAUUAGAUCUUUUAUUAAAACAAAUAAAAGGCUAAGUUUAGGUCUACGUUAAAAUCCAGAAAAAAUUUAGGGUUCGGGAGUCGGUUAUGCACGAGGAAGGUAUUGGCACCCUCGCGACGCCCAAAAUUGGUAUCUUAUUAAACACAUGUUGUCUUGAUUUUCAAAAAUACGAAUUCAAUUUGACAUUUAAGUGUGAUCCGAUUGAAGGAAAUGAGAAGUUGCAAGUUUUUUUGUUUUUUAGAAGGACGUCCCGUUUUUAACACGAGCCGAUUAAUUUCACCCAACAUAGGAUGAAAUCAAUGACUUAAUGUUAAAAUCGGUACAUUGCCUUAUUCUUAAAAUUAAAAUGUAAAAAGUUUUUAAAAUGAUAGUAAAAAAAAAUCCAAGAAUAUUAUUGUCAAAAAAAUGCGAAUAAUGAUGUGAAUAAUAAAAUAUAUAAAAUAUAAAAUAUCAAAAUAUCAAAAUAUUAGAAUAAUAAUAAUUAAUAUUGAAAAAUAAAAAAUAAAAUAGAAAUAAAAAAAAUGUACAUAAUAUAUAUUAGAAAUAAUAAUGAUGUUUAAAAAUCAAUACUAUUAAUAAUACUACAUUAAUAUGUACAUAUAUAAAAAAAAUACGUGAUAAUAUUAAAAAUAUGUACAUAAUAUAGUGUUAAAAAUACAUACAUAAUAUAGUUAAGAUAUAUACAUAAGAUAACAUGUAAAAAAAAUAUAUAAAUAAUAUAAUAUUAAAGAUAUAUACAUAAAAUAGUAUAAAAUAUAUAUACGUAAUAUAGAAUUUAAAAUAUACCUAAUAUAUUAAAAGAAUAUAUAUAAUAUAAUAUUAAGAAAUAUAAUAAUAACAAAAAAGGAGAGAGAGGGAGAGGGUGGAUGAUUUUCGGCCACAAGGUCGGCCAUCGUCCGGUCACUGGACCGCCGCCGGCGCCACCGUACACGGCAGCCGGACCUCAAAAAAAACUUUUUCGGUAAAAAUGGGUAAGCUUCCUCCUUUUAUUUUUUUUCACUUUCGUAUAAAAGAAACAAAAUAAGAUUGAAAGGAAAACAAUAAGUAAACAAAGAACUUAAAAUGAGAAUAGACAAAGAAACCUCUUUUGCUUUGAUCUUUAAUUAAUCUUCAAAAAAACUAGCUUCUCCAAAAACUAGCCUUCACAAUAACUCUUCUCCUUAAUUACUUUAAAAAGAAACCUCUCCAAAAAUCCUUUACAAUAACUUUCUCUCCCAAAAACUUUCCAAAAAAAAAUCCCCCCCCUUUUACAAAAUAUGAUAAGGCUUAUAUAGCUAUUUACAAAAUAUUUUUUUAUUGUUUAUGUCUUCAUUUGUAGGUACAAGUGGUGGUGGAGCAAGUGUGGUUAGUGGAGUAGGUAAUGGAGCAAGUGUGGCUAGUGGAUUUGGUGGUGGAGAAGGUGUGGCUAGUGGAGUUGGUGGUGGAAAAGGAGUGGCUAGUGGAGUUGGUGGUGGAAAAGGUGUGGCUAGUGGAGUUGGUGGUGGAAAAGGUGUGGCUAGUUGAGAAAAGUUUAAGUUGUGGGCUAGGUUUUUUUAUUUUGAUUUGGGCUUAGGGUUUGGGCCAUUGGGGUUUUGAUGUAAAUUGGGCUUUGGGUAGUUAAGAUUUUGGGUUUUGGGUUUAAUUUUGGUGGGUUAGGUAAGGCUAAAUUGGGUUUUGAUGUAAAUGGGCUAAAAUUGGCCUACAACAGCUGCCCCUCUUUGCUUAUUAUCGUGUAACGAGAAUAGAGCAAAGAUAUAAAGAAAGGCCAAUUUUGCCCGGUCUUGCUAAGUAUGGACUUCUUUGGUGCUCUUCUCAUCCAGGUAGUCUCUUUCCAGUCCAUCGCAUCUUGUAGCUUUGGUUCAAUCCACUGCAAAUUCGGAGAUAUGCCUUAUAGCUUCAAUCUGUUCCAAUGUAAUUCAAUAUGCUCUUCUAUCGCUUCAGUGAGAUAAGGUUUUGGGUCUUCUCUUCUGCCACUUUAGAAAGGCAAGAUCUGAUAUCCUCGAUCAACUCCACUGCAACUUCAGGGAGACAAAAUCUGGUGUCUUCAAUCAGGUCUAAUAUUGAUUCUUUACUCGGCAUGUGAUCCUGAGCUCAACUCAUUUCUCGCAAUAUGAAUUGACUCUGUAAAACUAGACAUUAAAAACAGAAAUUGAAAAUAGCUCAGCACGUGAGCCAAGGCUCAACUCACCUCUCGCAAAAGUAGAUUUUGAAAAUACCUCGACAUGUAAACCCAAGGCUCAACUCACAUCUCGCAAUAUGAGUUGAUUUUUGAAAAGCAGAAAUUGAAAACGCCUCAGCGUGUGACCCGAGGCUCAACUCACCUAUCGCAAUAUGAGUUGAUUUUUUUGAAAAGCAGAAAUUGAAAAUAGCUCAGCACGUGAGCAAAGGCUCAACUCACCUCUCACAAUAUGAGUUGAUUCUUUUGAAAAGCAGAAAUUGAAAAUAGCUCAGCACGUGAGCAAAGGCUCAACUCACUUCUCGCAAAAGUAGAUUUUGAAAAUACCUCGACAUGUGAACCCAAGGCUCAACUCACAUCUCGCAAUAUGAGUUGAUUUUUGAAAAAUAUAAAUUGAAAAAAAUAGAAAUUGAAAAGCAGAAAUUAAAAAGACCUCAGCAUGUGAGCCGAGACUCAACUCACCUCUCGCAAUAUGAGUUAAUUUUUGACAAACAGAAAUUGAAAUUACCUCAGCGUGUCCUGAGGCUCAACUCACCUCUAGCAAUAUGAGUUGAUUUUGAAAAACAAAAAUUAAAAGUACCUCAACGUGUCUUGAGGCUCAACUCAUCUCUCGCAAUAUGAGUUGACUUUCCUUGAAAAGCAUGAAUUAAAAACAUCAAAAUACCCAAAACCUAUCCUUUGGUAGAACUCGGGUGUCUUUUCCUUUGAUUCAGUGCGACUCUCAUUCAAGAUUUCUUGCUCUACUGGAGUACCUGUAUAUGCUAUGUAUGAUGUUAUCAUGAUAUGCACAUGUUUGUCUUAAAUGCUUUUAUGCCUACAUGAUUAUGCAGUGCUCCUUAAGCAUGUUUGUCGUAUGUCCAUUUAGCCACGAUUGUUGAGGGUCUGUGUUCAUUGCUUUGAUUCUCGACUUUCUCCUCAGGCCUUAUACCUACCUUCAAGCUUCACGAGUAAUCGACGUUCCUCAGAUAUCACUCUUCUGCCCCCGAUUGAACUUUGUUCUUACUUUGAGACUCUUGUGCUUAUCAAAUUUUCAUCCAGGUAAUGCUUAACAUUUCUCUUGUUUAGAGUAUGUCAUUUCUCCAUUUAUCAUGUAAAUAAACACAUAAUGAGAUGCAUGAAAAAGGUCAGGUAGGGAAAAAUGAUAUUUCAUAUUCAUCUAUUUCAAAUGUGGCAAACAAAGCAAGUUAACCAAUUAGAGUAAAAAAUGUCAAAAAGAAAGAAAGGAUCGUAUUCAACGGAUGCAAAUACUUUAGAUAUUCGACACAUGAACUCUUCCACGUUCCUCAAUCAAGAAUCUUUUCGAGUCUGGCUCUUUGCGUAGAAGAUUUCGAGCUUUCAGAAAUGCUUCAAAUACUGUAGUCUCACUGUUUGACCCGCUGUUAAAACGCCACGCUCUUUAAGCCAGGUUUACCUCAUUAGGACGCCCUCUCGGGUUUUCAUCCUAAUCUUUUGUGCUAAUCAAGACGCCCUUUGCGGGUUUUCGCCUUGAUCCCUCUUUUUUUUUGGAUGCCCUUUUCAGGUUUUCAUCUCAAGCAUAAUAUUUCUUCACAGCAUCUGAGUUCACUGGAUUCGGUAACUUCUUUCCAUCCAUCUUGGUAAGGAUCAAAGCUCCUCCUGAAAAUGCCUUCUUUACGACGUAUGGUCCUUCCCAAUUUGGUGCCCAUUUUCCUCGCAGGUCCUUUUGUAUUGGGAGAAUCUUCCUCAGUACGAGUUCUCCUUCGUGGAAUUCUCUUGGCCAUACUUUCUUGUCAUGGGCCGCGAUCAUUCUCUUCUGGUACAUCUGCCCGUGACAAAUUGCUCUUAGACGUUUUUCUUCGAUGAGGUUCAACUGAUCAUAUCGAUCUCAAACCCAUUCUGCUUCUUCUAACUUUAAUUCCAUUAAGACUCGCAGGGAGGGGAUCUCAACCUCAAUAGGUAGCACAGCUUCCAUUCCGUAAGCCAGAGAGAAAGGAGUUGCUCCCGUAGAUGUUCGCACAGAUGUGCGAUAUGCAAACAAAGCAACUGGAAGCUUCUCGUGCCAAUCUUUAUAUGUUUCAGUCAUUUUCCCAAUGAUCUUCUUAAUAUUUUUAUUGGCUGCUUCAACAGCCCCGUUCAUCUUUGGGCGAUAGGGCGAGGAGUUAUGAUGCUUUAUUUGGAACUGCUCGCACACUUCUUUCAUCAUCUUAUUGUUCAGAUUCGUGGCAUUAUCUGAAAUGAUUCUUUCAGGCAAACCAUACCGGCAAAUGAUUUCCUUUUUCAAAAACCUGCAAACUGCAGUCCUCGUCACAUUGGCAAACGAAGCGGCUUCUAUCCAUUUUGUGAAGUAAUCGAUGACCACAAAAACGAAUCGAUGUCCAUUUGAUGCUUUUGGAGAAAUUGGCCCUAUGACAUCCAUGCCCCACAUAGAAAAAGGCCACGGAGAAGUCAUGACAUGAAGGGGUGAAGGGGCUACAUGAAUUUUAUCGCUGUAGAUUUGACAUUUGUGGCAUUUUCUGGCAAAAUUGAUGCAGUCAUUUUCCAUUGUCAGCCAAUAAUAACCGAGUCUCAUGAUCUUUCUGGCCAUAUUGAAACCAUUGGCAUGCAUUCCGUAAAUUCCCUCAUAGACCUCUUCAAGUAUUUUUCUGGCUUCAACAUCAUCCACACAUCUCAAAAGCAUCUGAUCCUUUCCUCUUUUAUAUAGGAUAUCCCCAUCAAUAACAAAUCCCGCUGCCAUUCUUCUAAUUGUUCUUUUAUCGUUCUCAUUCGCUUGUUCGGGAUACCUUUGAUUCUUGAUAUAUUCUAAGAUAUCAUGGAACCAAGGUCGUCCGUCUACUUCUUUCUCAAUGCUACAACUGUGUGCAGGGACCUCGUAUAUGCUCAUUUUGAGGGGCAUUAUUUCUACUUCUCUACUUGCUUUGAACAAUGAAGCCAAAGUGGCCAGGGUAUCAACCAGUUGGUUCUCUUCUCGUGGGAAGUAAUGAAAAGUUAUUUCUUUGAAUUCCUUGAUCAAUCCAGCUACUAAAUCGCUGUACUUAAUCAAUUUUGAGUCCCUCACUUCCCACUCUCCACGGAUUUGGUAAAUCACUAGGGCUGAGUCCCUGUACACCUCUAAGAUCUUGAUGUUUCGUUCGAUAGCUGCACGAAGCCCCAUGAUACAGGCCUCAUAUUCUGUGAUAUUAUUGGUACAGAAGAAGUUCAGUCUUGCGGUGAACGGAUAAUGAUUCCCGUCUGGUGAUACCAGGAUUGCUCCUAUUCCUUGUCCUAAAGCAUUUGACGCACCAUCAAAGCACAUCUUCCAUGACUUCUCUUUUGAUGACUCGGAUUCUAUUUCUGUGAUGCACAUUAAGUCUUCAUCUGGGAAAUCGAAUCUUAAAGGCUCAUAUUCCUCUGUCGUUCGAGUUGCUAAGAAGUCAGCUAUUGCGCUCCCUUUUAUCGACUUCUGACUUACAUAGGUAAUGUCAUAUUCCGAAAGGAGGAUCUGCCAUCGUGCCAUUCUUCCUGAUAGUACCGGUGAUUCCAUCAUGUAUUUUAUUAGGUCCAGUUUUGAAAUUAGCCAUGUCGUGUGAUACAACAUAUAUUGUCUGAGUCUCCGAGCUACCCAAACCAGAGCGCAACAAUAUUUCUCAAUGGACGAAUAUUUUACCUCAUAUUCAGAGAACUUUUUGCUGGGGUAGUAGAUCACUUUUUCUUUCUUUCCUGACUCGUCGUGUUGCCCUAGUACGCAACCCAUUGAACUUUCAAACACAUUCAAAUACAAUAUCAAUGGUCUUCCAGGAGUUGGCGGUACUAGCACUGGAGGACUGGACAAAUAUUGUUUUAUCUUAUCAAAGGCCACUUGGCAUUCCUCGUUCCAUUCUCCCGGGUUAUGUUUUCGAAGAAGCUGAAAGAUUGGGUCGCAUUGGUUGGUAAGUUGAGCGAUAAAUCGGGCGAUGUAGUUUAAUCUCCCUAAAAAUCCUCUAACUUCCUUUUGCGUGCGCGCAUGUGGUAAUUCUUGGAUGGCUUUUAUUUUAUCUGGAUCAACUUCGAUACCUCUUUCACUGACAAUGAAGCCUAGCAACUUUCCCGAGGUAGCCCCAAAUGUACAUUUGGCUGGAUUAAGCUUUAGCUAAAACUUUCUCAGCCUUUCGAACAACUUCUUGAGGUUCACUACAUGCUCUUCUUCCCCUCGCAAUUUAGCAAUCAUGUCGUCGACGUAGACCUCUAUUUCUUUAUGCAUCAUGUCAUGGAAUAACGUUACCAUAGCCCUCUGAUAUAUUGCCCCAGCAUUCUUUAACCCGAAUGGCAUCACCUUGUAGCAGAACGUUCCCCACAUCGUUAUGAAGGUAGUUUUCUCCAUAUCCUCAAGGGCCAUCUUGAUCUAAUUAUACCCCGAGAAUCCAUCUAUGAAAGAAAACAAUGAAUGUUUUGCUGUGUUGUCCACAAACGUGUCAAUAUGUGGCAAGGGAAAAUUAUCUUUUGGGCUUGCUCGAUUCAGGUCACGGUAAUCCACGGACAUUCGUACUUUGCCAUAUUUCUUUGGUACUGGGACUAUGUUAGCCACCCAUUCUAGAUAUUUGGAGGCUUGUAGGAAGCCAGCAUCAAAUUGCUUCUUGAUUUCUUCUUUUAUUUUCAACAGCAUUUUGGGUCUCAUCCGUCUUAAUUUUUGCUGGAUGGGCUUGCAUUCUGGCUUUAAUGGGAGCUUAUGGACCACUAAAUCUUCAUCUAGCCCUGGCAUGUCCUGGUAUGACCAUGCGAAAACAUCUUUGUAUUCGCGGAGUAAAAUGAUCAAACUAUGUCUAGUACUCUCUGAAAUAGAAGUCCCAAUCUUCACUUCUUGUUUCCUCUCUUCAAUGCCCAAAUUUAUUAUUUCCACAGAUUCUUCAUGAGGCAAAAUCUGUUUAUCCUCUUGUUCCACCAUUCUUAACAAUUCAGGAGACGAGACAUAAUCUUCAGCAUUUUCUUCGGCUUCAAAUUCUCCUAAGCAAACAGCCUUCUCAAAAUCAAUUUCAAGAUUCGUAACGGGCUUAUUCAUAUCGUCAAUAUCUGAGCACCUGAAAGUUGAAUGGAAAAGGAAGCUAUAGAGGGGCAUCCAAGUAUUGGAAUCAACAAAGAAAUGUCAUGUCAUGGCAAUGAGGCAAAUGUGAGUAUAGGCUAUGAAAUGAGAAAAUGAUUAUGAAAUUAGUGAUAAUGCGAAAAAUCGUGACAAAAUGCAUCUUCAUUGAUAUUCACUUAAAUGAUAAAGAGCGAAUGCAAGCUCCUACAAAAGAAUUCUAUUAUAUCUAAGGACACAAUAGAAUGUUAAUGUUUGAGCAUUACUCUGAAGACUUAUAAACUACAAGAAGGUCCUCGGCAGUCCAAUUGUUCAACAUGAAACCAGGGGGACAAAGGCGUAUCCUUGAGACAUCUUUACUUGUGUCAGCUCCUUUGUCAAUGACAUUUAUACUGAUGUUCUGAAAACCCUUUUCGAUCAUUAACAUUGUGCCUUGUGCAUUGUCCUGCCUCGGGUAUAUCAUUCCCACAGACGUAAAUGUUCUUGACAAAGGAGGGAAUUCCAUAGGCUCCCAUUCUGGUUCUCGGCCUAAGGUUCUCGCAAUCCUUCUUUCUUGAUCUUUCUUCCACUGUCUUCUUCUUUGACGCAUGUCUGGCUGGAACCCCAAACCGUAUCGGGCCUUAUGAUGCACUGGUUUUAGAGCCCUGACUAUUCCUUGUAGAUAUCUCCCUAAACCUCUUCUCACUCGAGCUCCCCUUCCUACAGUCAACUUGACACCCAUUCUAGUAUUUCUCGACAAUUUAGGCACGGGAAUUUUGUUUCCCUCAGUGAAGAAUGUGGCAUUGACGAAUUCAAGGGAUCGGAAGGAGCAUUCCACUACGUCCUUGCUCACUUCAAGGUAUGGCGCAUCAGCAGAGAUAGAUGCGACAAUGUCUUCUUCUCCCUCGACAGUGACCAAACAGCCAUCCAUGAUAAAUUUCACCUUUUGAUGGAGGGAUGAUGGGACCGCUCUAGCAGAAUGGAUCCAGGGUCUUCCCAAAAGGCAGUUAUAUGAGGAUGUAAUGUCCAUGACUUGGAACUCGACAUCAUAUAUGUAGGGACCCACUUCCAGAGGGAUCUCAAUUUUUUCCAUGACUUCAUGCCUUGUCCUGUCGAAUGCCCUUACCGUAGAAUGACAGGGCCUUAAAUGGGACAGAUCCAUCGAAAUUCUGGAAAGUGUGGCCAAAGGCAUAACGUUGAGUGCCGAACCAUUAUCGAUGAGCACGUUCGGUAUUAUGUAGCCCUUGCAACGGGUUGUGAUAUGCAAUGCUUUCACUGAGCCUCUACCAUUGGGCGGUAUUUCAUCAUCACUAAAAGAAAUGAAAUUAUCCGCAUUCAAGUUGUUCAUCCACCUAUCCAGUUUUUCAAUGGAUACAUUGUUUGCCACAUAAGCUUGAUUUAACACUUUCAGCAGAGCGUUUCGGUGUGGUUCUGAAUUCAACAGCAGAGAUAAUACCGAGAUUCGCGCUGGCUGCUUACUCAAUUGUUCUACCACGUUGUACUCACUGUGUUUGAUAAAUUUUAAGAAUUCCUGUGCUUCCUCCUCGUCCACAGGAUUUUUAGCUUCUUGUUCAGGCGCAGUUUCAUGCUCAUCAUCGGUCACAUGCAUCGGUGCUUUUCCUUUCCGUUUCAAGUCACUGUUCUUCUUUAUCUCCUUCGAAUAACAUCUUCCACUAUGAGUGAAAUGACCUAAUUCCCCGAUUCUUCCAGUCAUGGCUUUGGGUUUUUCAUCUUCAGGUGUGACGAUAUUAAUGUCAUAUUUCCAUGGUACUGCUUUAUUGUCCUUGUAAGGGAAAGAAGAUGGUACUUCAAUUAUCAUUUUUGGUUUCACCGGCUCUUUCAUCGCAUCGUAAUAAAUUACUAACGGUUGAUCAGCGCUAUAAGGGGGACCUGAUGACUGGCUAUCAGAGGCGCAUACUUCUCUUUCAUUGGUCUCUUCCCUUUUGUUAAGGAUCUUAAUCUCCUUAUUAUCCAUCCGGUCUUGAAGCAACCUUUUAAAUUCCUCACACGACUGAAUGUCGUGUCCCACAAUUCCAUGGAAAUUGCAAAAACUUUGACCUUCUUCUCCGAGAAUUCUAUCGGGGUGACAAAGCAAUCAUUUCUUAACCAGUACCUCCCAGAUUUUCUGCAAAGGCGUCCUUAUUUCCAAAACACAUCUUCUGACUUUCCAUUCGUCCACUUUCCCCACUAUACUCACAUCCCUUUCGAUAUGGUUAGGGAAUGGGUUCCCAGUUGCAUUACUGGCACUAUCGAAUCGUAGGAUACCUGCAUCAAUGAGUCCUUGAACUCUUCUCUUAAAGGCUAGGCAGUUUUUCGUGGAAUGUCCCUGGUUUCCCGUAUGGUAUGCACAACUAGCGAAUUGUAUGUUUUAACCUCAGCGAACGAGUAUGGAAUAUGCAAUGAAUGAAUGAAUGCAUGAAUGUCAAAUGACUGUUAGUCAUGAAAGAAAUGCAAGAAAUUGGUGUUAAUUUCAAGAUAGCCCCUAUUUAGGCAUUUCCUUAAUCAAAAGAGUCUAUUACACAACGUUUCGGUCACUCGUGUAAUUGACUCCUCUAUCAGAAACCCCUUUUUGGCAACCAAUCUCUAAUCAACCCUUUCCUAACAAGAUGUAUAUGAUGCAUGAUGAAAAAUAGAAAUACAGACAAACAACAUUGGUUAGCAAAACACAUAUGAUCAGAGAAAAAUUGUGGAAAAUCUAACAAAUUAAGCUACUUGGUCCAAUGGACUCGAUUCCCUUGCAUAGAAAGUGAAAGUGCAAAAGGUAAGAGGCGUUCCUCCCGUGCACUUAUUUUGGUGACUACUAAACGGACGGAGGUUCAGCAUGGCUCUAGUUAGGUGGCUCGUAUGGUUCAUUAUAUGCGGUUUUGGUUCUAGAUAGGUACUCGAAUUGCCCGUACUAUCAUCUACUAAGAUUAACACGGAGCCUCGGUCAUAGCCUAUCACAGGCUCACGAGUUCAAUUCGAGGGGUUACAUUUACUUAUGCCUAUGCGGAGGGACAAGUUAACUCACGAAAGCAUAAAUCAUAUGUAACCCGAAAGUAUUCACUAGCCUGUGCGGAGGGACGAGUUAACUCACGAAGGCGUAGUGUUUACUUUCACUUAAACGGACGGAGCCCGGGUAGAGAGCUCAUGUUAUGCGAAAAUGCAAGUGCACGGUGUGUGGGGAACAACUCAUAAACCUUUACGUUUCACUUAAAGAAACUAAACCAAAAUUAAAACCAUAAAAAUUAAAAACUGAAAAACAACCAAAUAAGCAAGUUAGAAGAAAUAUUUACAGCACGAUACAAAUGCAUGAAUUUUGAAAAUGAGAUUUUCGGAUCACGACCAAAUAUUUACUUUGAACAAGGAAAUUUGAAAAUUUUGACAAAACGUGUUUAAUUCCAGACACGACUCUCAAAAAGGCUUUCCCCAGCGGAGUCGCCAGCUGUAGCGACGUAAAAAUUUUAGCUUAGCUUGGUCGCUAAUUGUGGCGAUUUAUUGAAUUUUUUUUUGAAAUUUGACGUUUGAUUUUUGAAAUAAAUAGGGAGUCGCCACCGAUCCUUUUUCCUAGGUGUGAUCGGACACCUAUUAGAUCUUUUAUUAAAACAAAUAAAAGGCUAAGUUUAGGUCUACGUUAAAAUCCAGAAAAAAUUUAGGGUUCGGGAGUCGGUUACGCACGAGGAAGUUAUUGGCACCCUCGCGACGCCCAAAAUUGGUAUCUUAUUAAACACAUGUUGUCUUGAUUUUCAAAAAUACGAAUUCAAUUUGACAUUUAAGUGUGAUCCGAUUGAAGGAAAUGAGAAGUUGCAAGUUUUUUUGUUUUUUAGAAGGACGUCCCGUUUUUAACACGAGCCGAUUAAUUUCACCCAACAUAGCGAUGAAAUCAAUGACUUAAUGUUAAAAUUGGUACAUUGCCUUAUUCUUAAAAUUAAAAUGUAAAAAGUUUUUAAAAUGAUAGUAAAAAAAAUCCAAGAAUAUUAUUGUCAAAAAAUGCGAAUAAUGAUGUGAAUAAUAAAAUAUAUAAAAUAUAAAAUAUCAAAAUAUCAAAAUAUUAGAAUAAUAAUAAUUAAUAUUGACAAAUAAAAAAUAAAAUAGAAAUAAAAAAAAUGUACAUAAUAUAUAUAUUAGAAAUAAUAAUGAUGUUUAAAAAUCAAUACUAUUAAUAAUACUACAUCAAUAUGUACAUAUAUAAAAAAAAUACGUGAUAAUAUUAAAAAUAUGUACAUAAUAUAGUGUUAAAAAUACAUACAUAAUAUAGUUAAGAUAUAUGCAUAAGAUAACAUGUAAAAUAUAUAUAUAAAUAAUAUAAUAUUAAAGAUAUAUACAUAAAAUAGUAUAAAAUAUAUAUAUACGUAAUAUAGAAUUUAAAAUAUACCUAAUAUAUUAAAAGAAUAUAUAUAAUAUAAUAUUAAGAAAUAUAAUAAUAACAAAAAAGGAGAGAGAGGGAGAGGGUGGAUGAUUUUCGGCCACAAGGUCGGCCAUCGUCCGGUCACCGGACCGCCGCCGGCGCCACCGUACACGGCAGCCGGACCUCAAAAAAAACUUUUUCGGUAAAAAUGGGUAAGCUUCCUCCUUUUAUUUUUUUUUACUUUCGUAUAAAAGAAACAAAAUAAGAUUGAAAGGAAAACAAUAAGUAAACAAAGAACUUAAAAUGAGAAUAGACAAAGAAACCUCUUUUGCUUUGAUCUUUGAUUAAUCUUCAAAAAAACUAGCUUCUCCAAAAACUAGCCUUCACAAUAACUCUUCUCAUUAAUUACUUUAAAAAGAAACCUCUCCAAAAAUCCUUUACAAUAACUUUCUCUCCCAAAAACUCUCAAAAAAAAAAUCCCCCCCUUUUACAAAAUAUGGGAAGGCUUAUAUAGCUAUUUACAAAAUAUUUUUUUAUUGUUUAUGUCUUCAUUUGUAGGUACAAGUGGUGGUAGAGCAAGUGUGGUUAGUGGAGUAGGUAAUGGAGCAAGUGUGGCUAGUGGAUUUGGUGGUGGAGAAGGUGUGGCUAGUGGAGUUGGUGGUGGAAAAGGUGUGGCUAGUGGAGUUGGUGGUGGAAAAGGUGUGGCUAGUUGAGAAAAGUUUAAGUUGUGGGCUAGGUUUUUUUAUUUUGAUUUGGGCUUAGGGUUUGGGCCAUUGGGGUUUUGAUGUAAAUUGGGCUUUGGGUAGUAAGAUUUUGGGUUUUGGGUUUAAUUUUGGUGGGUUAGGUAAGGCUAAAUUGGGUUUUGAUGUAAAUGGGCUAAAAUUGGCCUACAACAUAUAUAUAUAUUUUAUUUACUUUAAAAUUCAUUGUGAUACUAUAAUUUCACAUAGUAAUUCUUUUUAUCUUCCUUUAAAUCUAUUUCAAACUCGUAUAUAUAUUGUUUAUGAUAAAUUUUAUGCAUGUAAUUUAUUUUAUAUUAAUAAUUUUCAAUUUCCUCCCUUGCAUGUUAUUCUUUUUUUUGUUUUCAUUUUUUAAGCUUGUUCGUGUUAAUUUACUUGAUAUUCCUUUUAAUUCUUUAGCUUUUAAUAUUAAUAUUUACCCAACAUAUAAUAUGAGAUUCUUACUAUUGUUAUAUUGUAUUGUUUAUUUAUAUUUAUUGAUUGUUUGACAUUCAUUAGUAUACGCUUUAUUUUAUGAAUCAUCAUCUCGCAUUGUAUAUUAUUAUUCAAUCGUUUUUAUUCGUUCAAAAGAUUACGUUUAAUAUCAUUUAAGUAUCGAAAUUGAUUUAUUCAAAAACUUUCAAGAUAGCGUAAUAUUCGGUAUUUGGGUUCUUUGAUAGAAUUGAGCCCUAACGUAUUGGGUUCCAAUUUUCCUUGUUGAAUCUAAAUAAUCGAGAAUAUUCUUCAAUCAAAAAUACAUAAAUAAAAAGCUCAUUCUCGGGAAUUCAAUACGUUGUGUCCUAACGCAUUGGAUAUGACACGUUGUUUUCUUGAGAUGAUGAUUUUUCUAAAUAAAAAUAAAGGCAAUAUUUGGUAUUUAGGAAUUUUGUGAAAUUGAACCCUAAUUUACUGGGUUUUGAUUUUUCAUUUGACCAAAUAAUCAGAUAUCCUUCUCAAAAUGCAUAGGUUUUAAAAAAAAUCAAAAGAUAAACUUAAUUUUGAAGAUAAAAAAUGUAGCGCCCUAACUUACUGGGUGUGACAUUUUAUUUCUUUAAAAUAAGAGUGUCUUAUUAUUUAAUUCAAUUUAUUCAAAGUUAAAAGGAUCGUAUUUUAAAACCUUUUCAAAUUUUUGACACUAAGACAUUAAACAAUCAAUUCGGUAACAAUUUUGGGCGUUACGAGGGUGCUAACCCUUCCUCGUGUGUAACUGACUCCCGAACCUGUUUUCUCAAAUUUUGCAGACCAAAAUCGUUUUUAAGGUGAGCCGAUCACACCCCAAUAAAUGAUCGGUAGCGACUCUCAUCUUUGUUUUUAAGUCGACUACUAAUUUUUGUUUUUAAAAAGUGGUUUCGACAUGUACAUUCAAUGUAGAGUCACAUACAGCCUGCGACAAAAAUAAUAAUUAUACACCGCUGUGUGGGGUGACCGAAAAUUCAUAUAUAGACUUAUUUCGAACGUUCUAAUUUUCCAUUCCGAAUGUUCUAAUUUUCCACCAAAAACAAAGUCGCUUUGGAAUUAAAAUUUUGGUCCUAAGGCCCGCUGGAUUUUUCACAACCACUAUCAUUAGACUAAAAUUAUCUCUCCACGUAUGAUCGGGUUUAAAAAAAUUUAUUAAAAUUAUUUAUUUAAUUUGUUAUUAUUGUUUAUAAUAGAAUAUAAAGUCUUAAAAUAUAAUGAUAUCAUCAUGGAGAAAAAUAUUUUAAUUUAAAAAUGUAUAAAUUUUAUAUAUUAUCUUUUAAAUAAUUUAAAUUAGGGAUAAAUCUCGAAAUCAUACAUGGAUUUGAUUUAAUGUGUAAUUGUAUACAUGAACUUUAAUUUGAUUUAAUAAUUUACAAGAAUUUGGUCAAAAAUAAAAUUUCAUGUAUAAAAUUCUACAAAAUCAAAGUUCAUAUAUAUAAUUGCACAUUAAACCAUAGUUCAUAUAUAGUUUUGAGAUUUAUCCUUUUAAAUUAUAAUGAUAAUUUUUAUAUAUUAAAAUUAAUAUAUUUAACCUUCCUUUAAAUGAAAGAAGCUACUUGUUGAGUUAUUAUAUUUAUUAUAUGUGAUUUAAUUUUAAAUUUUAUUUAUCAAUCUUCACAUAAUUAUUAGAUGCUUUGAGUAAUUUAAAAGAGAUAGACACGAACUGGAAUGAGGUGAAGGAAUUUAUGGCCAUAAAGAGUAAAGGUAUAUGUAUCAACUAAAAAAUAAAAAAUCAUUUAAAAAUAUAAAACUCUCACGGAAGGACAAUAUCUUUAGUUAUUGAAGGGAUCUGUUGAUUAUCAAAUGAAAGAUAUUUUAAAAACUUCUCUUAAAAAAGUCUGAUAAUCAACAAUGCUGAUAGACCAAUAAUUUGAAGCAGUCAAUGAACUUGUAGAAAGGGUAUAGCAAGAGGGAUGGAAGCUUGACGCCAAAAGUUAAGAGAUAUCUCCAUAAUGGUCACUUGUGUUGAGUGGUCUUGGGUGAUUGAAUUUUCUACAAAUGCCAUUAAAUUUCCCACAAGAAUUUUUCUACAAAUGCUUUUCAAUUUUGAAUCAAGUUGGUUUAUGAUUGGAAUUACUUGCUGUAAUAAGUUAGUUAUUUCAUUUUUUUUAUUUAAUACCAAAAUUAAAUAAAUUUUUAUUAUUAUUCUCAUUAAAAACCCAUUAAAGUUUCAGUUUUUCUAUUUAAUAUUGUAACUUUAAUUCUAUUGAAUGUUUAGGUUACUCUUUGUUUUUCAUUAAUACUUUUGGUUUUUUUUUACUAUAAAAAGCUAUUAUAUAUUAGAUAUUACUUAUUAAGAUAUCAACAUUGUUAGAGCAAAAAAAAAAUCUGUGUGAUGGUACAUAUGUUUUUUUUUUGGUGAAGUAAAAUAACAAGAUAAAAUCCGAACAAUUAACGCGACUCGAAUCCAGGUCACACUUGAGGUGUAAUUAGGUGAGAAAGACAUUUUAUAUAAUAAAAUACAUGUGAAAAAAAAUAUUGUUUCAUUAAUUAUUAAUAAAACAAAAAUAUGAUUCAUUUGCAUUUGGUAAAAUUAAAUUAAACAAUAAAAUGUUUUUUUUUUAAUUCUCGUAGAAGUAUAUUUCAUUGAAUAAUUCAAUUGCUUUUAUUGAAAUUAUCGUGGUAUAUACGAAUGUUGCUUAGAAGUUUUUUUGUAACAAAUAUUUUUCAUUGUCAUAUAUUGCAUAUGAUAUAAAGGCAAUAUUUGAAUGGAGCAUUGGUUAGUUUUUCACGGUGAAUCCUCCACAAUAUUCCUUUGUUUGAAGUUGCGGAAAUAUAUAUGUCUCAUGUUUUUAUAAGAUGCAUGUAUUUAAGUUGCGGAAAUUGAAAAGUCUUGACCUGAGUAGCAAUGGAAUUGUAGGUGUUGUGAAUAACCAAGGUUUGUUGCUUUUCAUCUCUGCAAUGAUUAAUCUCUGAAAUUUAAUUUAAGUUUUUAUAAUUAAUUCGUUUAUUUUACUUUUCUAUAUUAGAACAGUAACUUUCUCUUGCAUGCAGUCUCUUUAUCAUCUGCUUUCAACAACUUAGAAAUCCUUGACUUAUCCCACAAUAACUUCGAUGCCAGUAUCUUAUCAAGUAAGCUUCAUCUCUCAAUUUCUAUCUAUGUCUAGUAACUAAUUGUAAGUUUAUGCAAAAAUAAUAUAAAAAUACCUACAUAAUUAACGGGAGAUUUGAAAUGCAUUUUACUAGUUUUUUUUUUUUAAAUAGUUAAAGUUGAUAUUUAUGUAUAUGGGAUAAACCCAAAUUUACGACCAACAAGAAAGAAUAGAGAAGAUUAGGCAUAUAAAUUUAUGUGGGAAAACUCUUUCAAUCAACAGGAUAAAAAAGGAGACUUCAAUAAUGAGCAAACAAACGAAGAGAAUAAGAUGGAGAUAUUCAAAAACAAACCCUAACCCUAAAAACAAAGUUCUUUGGCUAAAAUACAAAAUUCCCUCAAAGCUCUCUCGAAUUUUUCUCUUAAUCUUCUCUCAAUCUUGAUGUUAUGUGUAGAGCCCAAUUCUUGCCCGGGCCUUAACACAAAAAAUAAACAAAAUAAACCAAAAAAAAAAGUCCGUUACAGCAGUGGCCCAAACCCACAAAAUUAACCCUAGCCCGAAGCCCAGUAGAGAAGCAAACCCUAAUUUCCCUAAGGGCGCGCCACACGCUCUGUCAGGCUCCCUCGCGCACGCCACCGCCACCGUCGUCGCUUCCCAUCGCCACCUUCCCAUGCGCGUCAGAACACCUACAAGAAAACUGUAACACCCCUUAACCUCAAACCGUCGCUGAAACUGGGUUACGAGGCACUACCAGACAUAUCAAACAAUUUACAAUUAAUUCCUAGAUAAAUAACUAACAUAUUAAAAUAAAACAUAAAUUCUUAUAAAUUUUAACAGUUGACUUCAUUCAUUUUUUUUUAUAAAUUUCGGCAGCAUUUCUGCUUAUUUUUACAUAAAACCCCUGCAAAUUUCAAGAUUAUAACCUGACCAAUUCCAAUGUUUCAACCAACAUUUAUAUCCUCAAGCAUAAUUAAAAUCAUACUUAACAUUUUAACUACUAUCAUAUAGAUUGCAUAAAAAGAUUAAUCAAAUAACAUAUAUUACAUCUAGACUAAAUACUUUGUAACAUAAUACAUCAAAAUUAAGUCUUCCAUACAUGCCAUAAUUUUCGAGUGAUGAUUACAAAAUACCAAAAGUUGUGGAUAGUGUAGAUGAGUUCCCGACGAUUUCCCGAAUUCCAAGCUGAACUGGUAACACUAUAAAACUGGGAAAAACAAAGAGAAAUAAGCAUAUAGCUUAGUAAGUAGACAUAUGACAAAUAAACAAAUUUUUAACAUGAUUCCAUAGAAACAUAAUUUUAUUCACACAUAAAUUUCCUUGCUUGUUCAAUUUCCAGCAAGCUGUUUUUCUGUGUCACGGUCACUAAUUUAUUUUUAUCUGGAGCUGCUGGGCUCCAAAUUAAGUUCCGUAAAUUUUCCUUGAAACUAUACUUACAUACCUUUCUAUCAUAAAAUUUUUAGAAUUUUCGGUUUAGCCAAUUAGUACAUUUUAUUCUUUAAACUUUCCCUGUUUCACUGCUCAAUAGCUCUGACCUCUCUUUACUUAAAUUUACUUAACUCUUUGUACAGAAUUCAAACAAUGUUCUUGUUUGUUUCUCUUGAAAAUAGACUCAUUGAUAAAUUCAAGCAUGUAAAUUACAAGCCAUAAUUAUUUUUGUACAAUUUUUUGUAAUUUUCCAAAUUUGGAACAGGGGAUUUCGAAAUCAAUUCAACCCUGUCUCACUAAAAUUCAAAUAUUUCAAAAUAUAUAAAAUCUUUUGCUUGCUCUGUUUCUUUCAUGUGAAAAUAGAAUCAUUUAGCUUCAAUUUCAUAUAUUAUUCAUUCUCUAAUUAAACUUCCACCAUUUAUGGUGAAUUUUCAAAGUCGCUCAACUGCUGUUGUUCAAAACUGUUUUAUUUCAAAAUUUACUCUUUUGUAGUUUUGAUAUCUCAUACCAUCUUAUACAUGGGUCGAUUAAGUAUCAAACUCACUAUUCCUCACAUUAUCUUGUCCAUUUCAUAUAUACAUUCACUUUUCCAAUUUCCCUGUUGAACACUCGGAAUAUUAUCCGUUACUCGGUGGAUUAAGCACUUAGCAACCACCUUAAAUUCAGUGAUACGUGGAAUCAGCACAUAGCAACCCCUUUCACAGUCAAGGAUACGGUGGAAUCAGCACUUAGCAACCACCUCUAUAUUCAGUGAUACGGGGAAUCAGCAUAUAGUAACCCCUUUCACAAUCAAAGAUACGGUGGAAUCAGCACUUAGCAACCACCUCUAUAUUCAGUGAUACGGGGAAUCAGCACAUAGCAACCCCUUUCACAAUCAAAGAUACGGUAGAAUCAGCACUUAGCAACCACCUUUGAAGUCAAUAAUUCAGGGAAUCAACACUUAGCAACCCCUUGGGAAAUCUGCACUUAGCGACCCCUUUUUAUUCAAUGUUUUCCGAUCUAUUCCGAGUGUUCAAUCGGAAACCUUGUUUUUCAACACUUUAUCACCUUUCUCAAACUUAACCACAUUUUUCUGAUCUACAUCAAAUAUUUAUUCUAUAUUCAAUCAAAUCUCAACAAUAUAUUGAAUAACAUUAAAAUAACGCAUUAAUUCACAUGCAUACUUACCUUGGUGUAAAAUAUUGUAAUUUUGCAAUUUACUUCACGAUCUUUUCUUUUCCCUGAUUGAGGUUGUCUUUUCGUCUUUCUUGAUCUAUAAUAGAAAUUUUAGUUUAUUUAAUAUUCACAUUUAUUACAACAGUCCUCGACUCAACUUUUUGCAAAAUUAUGAUUUUGUCCCUAAACUUAUCAUAUUUACAUUUUUCCCAAAGCUCGAAAAUUAAAUUUCACUCCUUAUUCUUAUGUUUUACAACAUGCUGAACACUUUUUCCUUCUAUGGAAACAUCAAAUUCUCACUCUAACACGUACUUAUGAACAUUAAAUAUUUUUACCGAUUAUGACAAUUUACCCGUUUUCACUUAAAAUCGCUUAGCAAAAGUUGUUUAACAUAAUUUCUAGCUUCAUAUUCUACCAUAAAACAGAAAAAUAAACACAUUUCACCUAUGGGUAUUUUUCCAAAUAUAAACCCUAGGUUAAAAUAACAGUAGAAAUAGGUAAACCGAGCUACGAGAAUCUUAAAAAUGCGAAGAACAUUAAAAACGGGCUAGGAUGCACUUACUAUGAGCUUGAGAAAGUGAAGAAACCCUAGCUAUGGCUUCCUUCAAAUUUCGGCAGCAACUAAUGAGGAUGAACACCAUUUUUUCAUCUUUUUCCCAUUUUAAUUCUAUUUAUUUACUAAAUGACUAAAAUGCCCUUACUUAAAAAAAUCUAUUUCACCCAUUUCUUAUGUCUAUUUUUUUCCAUCAAUUAGCUAAUGGUCUAAUUACCACAUAAGGACCCCCAAUUUAUAAUUUCAUAACCAAUUAACACCUUUAACACAUAAAAUUCAACUUUUGUAUUAUUUACAAUUUAGUCCUUUUGACCAAACUGAGUGCCCAAACGUCAAAAUUUUUGAAUGAAAUUUUUACGAAAUCUUUCCGUGAAAUUGUAGACCAUAAAAAUAUAAUAACAAUAAUACUUUCCCUCGUCGAAUUUGUGGUCCCGAAACCACUGUUCCAACUAGGCCCAAAAUCGGGCUGUUACAAAAACAACAAAACAGAAACGACAAACGUACAAUCCAAAGCACAAAAAGACAAAAGAAGAGAGAUGUAGUUUUUUUCCGGUUAUAAAAGGCCGAAUGGGGCGAUUGUAUUUCUUCUUCUGUCAUUUUUGUUACAGAUUAGAAAUAAAAAGGAAAACAAAGGUUGCCUUCUGGUUUCUCUGAUUUAUUCAUUUAUUUCUUUUAUUUAUUUUUAAUGAAUCAGUUUUUUUAAAAAAGAAAAAGAACUCUUAAAAAGUAAAAAAUGAAGAGGAAUACCUGGGGUUGCCUGCGAAAUCCAUCGUCGGAGCCAUUUCGUUUGCCGAAAUCGGACGAAAAGGGGGGCAUGGGGGCCUUUCCUUCUCUCGGUCUUAAGGCCCAAAAGGCUAAGCCUUUGGGCGUUUGAAAAAUGGGCCAAAAAUGCGAUCUCCGUGUCGCUCCGACCACCGCUUACGGUAGGGUCACGGCGGCACAAGCGACGGCCCUAUUGGCCGGAUUUGAGGGCUGCGUGGGAGAGAAUGUUUGAGCUUUCUAUUUUUUUUAAAUAAGGGUCAAACUAUUUUUUUUUAUUUUUAACAUUUAUAUUGGGAAUAAAACGACGCCGUUUUGGGUUUAGGCAACAAUGGCCAAAACGACGUCGUUUCACGCUUGACCCGAAUACUCAACCCGUUUAGCAGAGGAUCCGCGCGUUUUCAAGGCCGAAUGGGCUAUUUGCGCUAUGGGUCCCUCCGCUUUGAUGCUUGGCUUCAAUUCGGUUAUUUUGUCCCUUUUUAGCAUUUUUAAUCUGACCCCGUAGAUUUUGUACCAGUUUUGAUUUGGUCUAACGCGAAACGACGCACUUUAAGGGUUAGGGAUUAAUUUCCCAAUUGGCCCCUGCAUCUUUGUGCUUGCUCCAAUCGACUCCAAAUUAUUUUUUUAUAUUUCAAAUCUAACCCACUGAUUUUAUUUAAAUUCCAAUUCAAUCCUUAGUCAAUAAAAAUUCAAAUUUCACCCUUUUUUAAUAAAAAACGAAAAUGGUCAUUAAAUAUUUUAUUUAACAUCCGUUUAAUUAUUUAUUUUUAAUUGCUAACCAAACUUAUAUAUCUUUCAUUUCAUUUAUUAUUCAUUUUUAUGUGUAUUGAUUUGUAUGUAUUAUUUGUGCCUUUAUUUUCACUAUUUAUUUAUUCGUUAUUUUCAAAUAUUUUCAAAAUUUAGAUUCAUUAGUAUUAUGUUUAUUGUGAUUGUAUUAUUGUUAUUGUUACAUUAUUACUUGCAUUAUUAUUAUUCAUGUAUAUUAGCAUUAAGAUUUAUUAGUAUUAAUGUUAUAUGUGUAUUUUAUGAUGUAUAUUAUGUCAUAAUUAUUUCGAAUGUAUGUUGUAUUAUCGUUAUUAGUCGUGCACGACCCUUUUUCUGUUUUAAACAAUUUCUCCUUCAACACAAUCAAAAUUACACGAAUAUUAUCUUUAUAUAUUUUAUUAGUUCUUACUCAAAUUCAAAAAAAGGAAAAUUUUUAUAAAUAAGGCAAUAUUUUACGUUUGGAAAUUCGAGAAAACGUACUCUAACGUGCUAGGUUUCGAUUUCUCGUUUGACCAAAUAGCCAAGUAUCCUCUUAAAAUUUCAAAGUAUGGGUUUUGGAAACCAUAAGGUAAUUUUGGUUUCUAGGGUUUAAAGUAUCGUAUCCUAACGUGCUAGAUGUGAUAUUCUUUCGGAACAAGAGAAUCUUAAAUUCCAACCCAUAUUAUUUGAAAUUUUUUUUAGGAUUGUAAUUUUUAAAACUCUUCAAAGUUUUCAAUAUUCGACAUUAAGACACUAAUUAAUCAAUUAGGUAUCAAUUUUGGGCGUUACGAGGGUGCUAAUCCUUCCUUGUACAUAACCGACUCCCGAACCUGUUUUUCUGAAUUUCGUAGACCAAAAGCAUUGUUUUAAUAAAUCCAAACCAUUUAUUAAAAACAAUCGUUUUAUGAGGUGACCUGAUCACACCUCAUUAAAAAAGAUUGGUGGCGACUCCAAUGUUCGUUUUUACUUUCAAAUACCAAGUCGACCCCCUUUUAUAAAAAAAUGGUUUCGACAUUAUGAAUAUAUUUAUUCUAGGGUUACUAGUGCCCUUUUUAUAGGCUAAGAUUAGAGUUCUAAUAUUACUAAAAUAUCUAUAGAAUAAUCACAGUUUAACUAGGAAAAGUAACCCUCUUGAAAGUCUAAUAACACAGCUACUCUAAGUUAGAAUUUGUCGCGUUAUCACGACGUACCAAGCUCCCCGUUGUGACAUCGCCUCAGCUUUGCUCUUUUUCAAACAUUGUCGUGUCGUUGCGACAUCGCAUGAUUCCUCGUCGCAAUAUCACCCUUACUUUGACUCUGAUCCGACCCGAAAAUGUGAGACACAUUCCACAAUAUCUAAAUAUAUAUUGAAUUUAAAAAUAAUUGUACAAAGGAUAUGUAAUCCUUGAAGAUUAGAUACAAGUAAUUACCAUUUUAUAUUAAAAGUUAGAAAUAUAAAUUAAAUAUUCUAAACUUUUUUUUAUGUGAAUAAGUCAUGUGUUGAUAUAUUUUAUUGCUCUUGAAUAGAAUUGAAGAGUUUGAAAAACUUGAAGACGUUAGAUUUAAGCUUCAAUGGAAUCAGAAGCCUCCGGCACUUUCAAGGUAUAUCUAACUUUGAUAUUUUAUAUACAAUCAACUAAGUCCUAUAAAAAUAUAUUUAUGAACAAGUUAAAAUGAAUGCUUGAAACAAAUAAUUAUUAUUUGAUAUUAUACAAACAAAUUCUCCUUGAAAUUGUAUUACAUAAGUAUUUUACAGAUGAGAAAUUGCAACCCAUGAUGAGUUUGGAAGUGCUUGAUUUGGAUGGUAAUUUCUUGAAGAACAAUGAUUAUCAAGUUUAAAGUCUUUGAUUAUUAGCCAUAACGAAUUGGAAAUUUUCAUAAAAUAAAAAUAACAAGCUAUAUGUAAAUUACAAUUUCAUCAACCUUUUUUAACUGUUAAAAGAAUUAUAUCCAAAUAUAUUCGUUCUUUUGGUAUUUAGCUUUUUAGGUUGUAAACUAAAGUCAUAAUGAUUUUUUGUCCUCCAAUUUUAAAAACAAAAAAUCAUUUUACCUCUCAAUUUAAUUUUUCAUCUCUUCUAGUCAUUAAACUUCAAUUUUUUUUUGUCAAAUCACCCCAAAAUGAAAAGAAAAGUUAAUAUUUGUUAAUUUUGCUAAUGUGACAUAUAUGUGAAUUGUCAUAUAGAUGACAUAUCAACAUUUAAUUAAUUUUUAAAAUUUAAGUAUUUUUUAAAUAUUUUUUAUUUUUUGAAAUUUAUUUAAAAAAUUAAAUAUUGAUGGAUCAUCCACGUGACAAUCCACAUGUAUGCAAUAUCAACAAAAUUAAAAAAAAUUGUUAAAUUUUCUAUUCAUUUUAGGAUGACUUGAUGAACAUAAGUUUAAGAGAUUAAAAAUCAAAAAAUUAAAUGAAAACCUUUUUUAAGUUAAAAAGAGUUAAAUAAAUUAUUAAUAACUAAAAUAAAAUGUUUUUAAUAAUUUUUUUAUGGAGAAAAGUAGUUGAAUUGCAUGAACCAAAAUUACUGAUUUUUUGUGAUAUAACUUUGUUUGACUGACAAAAAGGGUAUUUGAUUUAUUUGAAUAGCAUUCAAUAAUCUCACAAAAUUGAAGAAGUUGGAUAUGAGUCGCAAUUAUGUUGAGAGACUUGGUAAGUGUCCAUAUAUUUUACUUUAUCAAAUUGCUACAUUUAUUAUACUAAUAUCUAAAUGCUUUGUAGAUGAGGAAAGGUAUAAUUUGACGAAUUUAGAAGUGCUUAAUUUGAAUUACAACUCUUUCGGAAAAAGCUCAUUGGCACAGCUUAGUGGGUUUUCCAAUCUAAAGGAAUUGAGUAUGCAACAAAACCAGGUGCAAUUAUUUAAUAUAUUUAAUUUUCCUUUAAACAAAAUUAACUAUUUAUUAAGUUAUAUUUAUUCUCUAUGAUUUACUUUUAAAUUUUAUUUGUCGACUUUUAGAGAUUGAACAAUUUAGAGAAGCUAAACAUUAGAUAUCUAAUGAACUGAUGUCAACCACUAAUUUGACUCUCAAAAAUGGAAGUUUAGAAAAGCAUUUUAGUAGUUCUUUUAAGAAAAAAAUUAUGUCUAAAUAUAUAAUGAGUUUAAAAAUAAUUGUAUUAAAAUCUGUAAUCGUUGAGGAUUAGAUACAAGUAAUUGCGACUUUAAUAUUAAAAGUUGGAAAUAUGUUGUUAUUUUAAAAUUAAAUGUCCUAUAUUAAUUAUUUUUAUAUGAAUAAGCCUUGUGUUGAUAUUUGAUAUAUUUCAUUGCUCUUGAAUAGAAUUGAAGAGUUUGACAAAGUUGAAGACGUUAGAUUUAAGUGGCAAUAGAAUUGAAAGCCUCAAGCACUUUCAAGGUAUACUUAAAUUUGAUUUUCUUUAUACAAUCAACUAAGUCUUUAAGGCGUUGACCUUAUAUAUUUAUAAACAAGUCAAAGAUGCAACUUUGAGAUAAAUAAUUAUUCAUUGAUAUUAUACAAAUAAUUUUUUUCUCGAAAUUGUAUCACAUAAAUCUUUUACAUUUAUUAAAAGAGAGAACCGAAACAAACUACUUGUUCAGUUAUUAUAUUUAUUUUAUGUGAUUUAAUUAUAAAUUUUAUUUUUCGAUAUUCACAUAAUUAUCAUAUGCUUUGAGUAAAUUAGAGUCAUUGAGAAAAAUAUUUUAAAUUUAAAAAAAAUGUAUAAAAUUUAUAUUUUAUCUCUUAAAUAAUUUAAAUAAUAAUAAUUUUUAUAGAUUAAAAUUAAUAUACUAUCUCUUUUGAAAUAAUAUAAAAAUUAUAUUAAUAUAUAAAAAAUAAAUUAUAAAUUGAAAACUUAUCUCUUAAAUAUAUAAAGUAAAAUAUAUGUACCAAAAUAAUAGGAUUUCAAUUUUAAUUUUUUUUCUAUGUGUUAUCAAUUCUUUAAAACAUUUGACUAUUAAGUUCAAAAAAUUUUAUUUUAAUUAAUACUUGUGCAUUUCACGGAAAAAAAACUAGUUAAUAUAUAUAACCAGCUUUGUAGAUGUGGAAUUACUUAUUUUACAUUCUAUAAAUAUAGCAGCACCUAUAUAAAGUAUACAGUACGCCUUUUAUUAAAUUAGUUCUUUAUAAUAAUUUGUUGUCUUAAAUUUUAGCCUAAUAAAUUCUAUUUCUAAGUGAAAUAAAAUUAAUAAAUUUUAAUUAAGAUAUUAUUUCAAUAAAAUAUUUAAAUUUCAUAUAAAAUAUAUUAAUUAUAUUUUAUUAAAUAAAAAUAGUUUUUAAUAAAUGAAGUUACAUUAGUAAAUUUUAUUAAAGAUACAAUUUAAAUCUCAUUAAUUAAUUUUUAUUAAUAUAUUUUAGUUUUUUUAAUUUAAAAAUUAAAAUAUGAUCUAAAUAUUAAAUGUUGUUAUAAGUGUAUAAUAAUUACUUAUCUAUAACAUCCAAUAGUGGCAAUAUAAAAGUUGAAUAUAAGUGAAUUUUUGUGACUAACAAAAAAUGUAUUGAAUUUAUUUGGAUAGUAUUGAAUAAUUUGACAAAGCUAAAGCAGUUGGAUUUGAGUGGCAAUAAAAUUGAGAGCCUCCAAUCUUCUCAUGGUAUGUGUUGAGAUGUUUUACUUUAUCAUAUUCUUACAUAUACAUACCACUAUCUUAUUUAAUAUUCCAUUAGUAAUAAAUUUGUUUAUCUCAAUGCUUUGUAGAUGGUGAGAGGCCACUUAAUUUAACCAAUUUAGAAGAGCUUAAUUUGGAUUUCAACUCCUUCACAAACAGCUUAUUGGCACAACUUAGUGGGUUUUCCAAUCUAAAGUCACUGAAUAUAAGGAAUAACCAGCUUAAAGGAUCAAUAAAUAUUAAAGGUGGAAUUACUUAAUAUAUUUAAUCUUCCUUUAAAUGAAAUAAACUACUUGUUGAGUUAUUGCAUUUAUUCUAUGUGAUUUAAUUUUAAAUUUUGUUUGUCAAUUUUUACAGAAUUAUUAGAUGCUUUAAGCAACUUAGAGGAGCUAGACAUGAGCGAGAAUGAGGUGAAGGAAAUUGUGCCCAUAAAGAAUAAAGGUUUAUGUAUCAACUAAAGGAAAUCUUACUAAUUGUUUUCCAUUAGAUAUCUAGUGAACUGAUGCCAACCACUAAUUUGACUCUUAGACAAUGGAAGUUUGAGAAAGCUAAAGGUUGCUUCAUUAAACCGUGUGUUCACCGAUGGAACUGCUUCUCUAAUACAGCUUCUAGAGACAUUCUCAUCUGUUAAUACAUUAUAUUUGAGUGGCAAUUACUUCAAAGACACAUUUUCUACUCAAGUUAUAAUAUAUAUGUAUGUGAAUAUAUAGUUUUAUAGUUUGGUCCCAUUUAAAAAUAUUAUUUACUUAACGUAAAUCAUCUAAAUAACGCUUAUAAAUUUGUAAAGAUCAACUGCAUGUAUCGAGCAAAAUAGAGGAAUUGGUGCUGGAUUAUUCAUCUCUCAGCAACAACAUUCUUCAAAGCUUUGGUGGACUGGCUUCUCUCAAAGCCUUGUAUUUAGGUUCCUGUGGGUUGUCUGGGACAUUACAUACCCAAGGUAUAUUAAUAAUUAUGACAUAAUUAUUUAGGCAGUCUCUUGAUUAAUUAUUUUUUUAUCCUCUUAGAAAAUUGGAGUAACUUGCACAAAUUUAUUUUAUAGGAUGGUGUGAUUUACGGAAGCUUGAGACGUUGGAUCUUAGUGAAAAUUCUCUUGGGGGAGCACUCCCUUCAUGUUUGGAAAACUUGUCAUCUCUUCGUUAUUUGGAUAUUUCCGGUAAUCAAUUCAUCGGAAAAGGUGCCUCCACCGCUCUAGCCAAUCUCACAUCGCUUAGAUUCAUGUUUCUUUCACGAAAUCUAUUCGAAGUUCCAUCAAUUUUCAUGUCAUUUGCCAACCACUUACACCUCAAAGUCCUCUUUAGCGAUCAAAACAAGUUAGUCAGAGAGCCUACCAUUCAAACAUGGGUCCCAAAGUUCCAACUAAAAGCCUUCCUUUUCUCGAAUUGCACAACAAAGGAACUCCACAUUGAAAUUCCAAAAUUCCUCUACUACCAAAAUGAUCUGAGUAUGGUUGAUCUUUCAUACAAUAAUUUUUUAGGGAAGUUUCCUUUUUGGUUGUUAGAGAACAAUACAAGAAUGGGAGCAUUUUUAAUGAAGGGUAACUCUUUUAUGGGCCAUCUCAAUCUUCCAUCUCAUCCGAAACCAAAAAUGUCCCUUGUUGAUAUAUCUGACAACAAACUAGAAGGUCCAAUUCUAGCAAGCAUUUGUUCAAUCUUUCCACAACUAAAUGGGUUAAACCUAUCAGACAAUUUCUUUCAAGGAAAUAUUCCUCCUUGUUUAGGUAGUUUGAACACUACAUAUUUAAUAUUAGAUCUGUCACAUAAUCAUCUAUCUGGCGGAAUACCAGAAAUGUUAGCUCAAAGUGACUCGUUGGAGCUUCUUAGGUUAUCAAAUAAUGAUCUAAGUGGGAAGAUAGCCCCAACGAUCUUUUGCUCAUCUUCAUUACAAUUUUUAUAUUUAGAUGGCAAUAAGUUUGAUGGAAAUAUACCUGACAUUGAUAUCUCAACUUGUCAUCCGUAUCCUCUUAGUGAUAUGGAUUUAAGUAACAACAAUUUGUCUGGAGAGCUCCCAAGAUGGAUAUGGAAUAUGUCAUCUUUAAAUGCAUUAUUAGUAUCCAACAAUCAGCUCAAGGGUCUUAUUCCGAAGGAAUUGUGCCAUUAUUCCCUUCAAAUUUUGGACCUUUCAAAAAACAAUUUUUUUGGCCCAAUACCAUCUUGCUUCAAUGUACACAGUAUCAAACAUCUCCAUUUGAGCAAAAAUAGGUUAAGUGGUACCUUGACAAAUGCAUUCUUUAAUAGCUCUUCCUUGGUGACUUUAGAUCUUAGUGAAAACCAGUUGACUGGUGAAAUUCCAUACUGGAUUGGAAAUCUUUCAACUUUGAGUGUUCUCCUUCUAAAAGCCAAUUAUUUUAUUGGAGAAAUUCCCAUUAAGAUAUGUAAAUUGUAUUCAUUAAGCAUCAUUGAUCUUUCUCAAAACAAGUUUUCUGGUCUGAUACCUUCGUGUUUGAGUCGUUUAACUCUUGAGCCAAAUGAUAAAAAUCUUCGACAAUAACCUAUGGGUUGGAUUUUGAUGGAAUCUUGGAGGGAGCUAAUUAUAUUGGAAUGACCAGAUUGGAUUUGUCCGAUUUUGGAUUCAAUCUACAUUUCUUUAUUGAGAAUCUAGAAGAAAAGGUGGAUUAUACAACAAAGGGAGCAUCUCGCACAUACAAAGGAAACAUUCUUGAGUACAUGUCUGGAAUUGAUUUAUCAUGUAAUAGAUUAACAGGUGAAAUUCCCAGAGAGAUUGGAAAUUUGAGUGAAAUCCGAUCACUAAACUUGUCGCACAACAAUUUGACUGGAUAUAUACCGUCAACGUUCUCAAAGCUCAAGCAAAUUGAGAGUUUGGACCUGUCUCACAACAACUUAAUUGGAAGAAUACCUGUUCAAUUGACGGAGUUGUACGCCUUAGCAAUCUUCAAUGUGUCAUACAACAACUUGUCAGGGAGUAUUCCGUCUCCGAAAUUUCAAUUUGGAACCUUCGACGAAAGCAGUUACGUGGCGAAUCCUUUCCUCUGCGGGUCUCCCCUGCAUAAAAAUUGUAGCAACCUUGAUUCACUCCCGACAGCAGCACCAAAGAGCUCAAACGAGGAAGAAGAAAGUGGUUUGAUGGACAAGUAUGUUUUCUGGGUGACCUUUUUUGUUUCUUACGUAAUUGUGUUACUGGUUAUUGUUCUCAUCCUGUACAUAAAUCCUUAUUGGCGACAAGCAUGGUUCUCUUUUGUUGAACACUGCAUCAAGACCUGCCAGUAUUUUAUUGAGGACAAUCUUCUAUGAUUUUCCAUCUUCAAAAGAAGCGGGUAGCCUUGUGCUUUGGUGGUUUACAUCUGUAUGUAAAUUUUUUCAUGUGUUUCUAUUUUUCAAAGUUUGAUUGGGUUAUCUGCUUUUAAGUUUUUAGAGGUAGAAUACAAUAGCUCUGUGAUGUAAUAAUUGCCAGUUUAGUAUAAGAAAACAAUAUAUAAAACUAUGCAUUUUCAGUUAAAACAUUUAAUAUUGCUUUAUAAAUUUUAGUGUUGUGAUAGUAUAAUGUUAAAUUCAAUAUAUGUUUCCUUUUCCAUGAUUACGUAAAAGCGAAAUAUACAAAUCAUAUUAUAUUAAUAUAAUCCACAUUCUUUAAAUCAUAUGCUCAAUUGAAACUUAUAUAUAUAUAUUAUCAAACAUGAAUGAUAUAAACAGUCUUCGAAAAAAGUAUGAUUUUCAUGUUUAGUUAUUAUUAUUUAAUAUUUAAUUGUUUUACUAUUAUUUGAUAUCAAUAAUAUUUAUAUGUUUGUGAAUGUUGUUUGUUAUUGUCUCGUGAAAUAUUAUGUUAAAGAUAAAAGAAGUACUAAGUAAUAGUUCUUUUUAGGUGAAAUUUUGACUCAAGUUUGAAUGGUGAGUUAUUUUAUCUAAUUACUUACGUUUGGAUAGCAUAAAGUAAUUAAAUGGCACUUUUGUAAUUACAAAGAUUGUACUUGAUAGAUGAAAGAACUAGGUAAAGGAAGAAAAUAACUAUCCAAACAGAAAGAAGCAGAGAGUGAAAUAAUAGAAUAAACUUCUUGUUGUUUAUUCAAAUUUGCCUACCUCUUAAUUCUUAAUGUACAGUAUAUAAAGACUUUCUGAAUUAAGUAACAACCUCACUAACUGACUAACUACUUCUAUUCUCUAAUAUUCAUCCAUAUUCUCUAUAGGCAAGACCCGUAGAAAACUCCAAAAACGAGUAAAACUCGAUGACGAAAUUGGCUUAGUGAGAACAUCAGCGACCUGAUCACACGCUGGAACUUCUCCAACAGCAACCGUGCCAUCAGCAACCUUUUCACGAACAAAAAAUAAAUCUAACUCAACAUGCUUAAACUUUGAAUGAAGAACAGGAUUUGCAGCAACUGCAACCGCCCCAGGACUGUCACACCAAAUUUGAGGAACACUAUUAGACUGAACAUGUAAUUCUUUAAGUAGCAACAAAAGCCACGUAACCUCACUAGUAACUGCAGCAAGACUUCGGUAUUCUGCCUCAGCAGUAGACCGAGCAACAACCUGUUGUUUCUUCGUACACCAUGACACAGGUGUAUGUCCGAAAUAAACACAGUAUCCAGUAGUAGACCUCCGGUCAUCAAAAUCUAAUCCCCAGUUGCAUCAGCAUAUCCAACUAAGGACAAACUAGUGGAUGGACGAAACACAAUUCCAAAAUCAAUCGUACCACCUAAAUACCUCAAAAUGCGCUUCAGGGCAGUCAUAUGAAUGGAAGUAGGACAAUGCAUAAAUUGACAUAUUCGAUUAACAGCAUAGGCAACAUCAGGCCGCGUAAGAGUGACAUACUGUAAUGCUCCUGCAAGACUCCUGUAUUCAGUCGGAUCCUGUAGCCGCUCACCACCAUCGCGAGUCAUAACAGAGGAACUAACCAUCGGUGUAUGAACACUCUUCGUAUUCUCCAUCGAACAACGUAUAAGAAUAUCACGUAUAUACUUCUUCUGACAAAGAUGAAGGCAACCUGACGAAGAACGAUUAACCUCUAUCCCAAGAAAAUAAUGAAGAUCACCCAUGUCCUUAAGCGAGAACUCACUAUUCAGCAAAUUAACAAACCACUCUAUGACAGAAGGCAUAUCUCCAGUAAUAAUAAUAUUAUCAACGUACACAAGCACAUAUAAUGUUGACGCUGGUACAACUCGAACAAACAAGGAAGCAUCAGACUUUGAAACUACAAACCCCACGGAGACUAGAAAUCCUUUUAGCCUUUCAAACCAGGCACGAGGAGCCUGACGAAGACCAUACAACGCUUUCUUCAAGCGACACACCAAAGGUCUGCCAUCUGAGCCAUAUUGAACAUAACCGGGAGGUUGAUGCAUAAAAACUUCAGUGUCAAGGUCACCAUUUAGAAACGCAUUAUUCACAUCCACUUGUCGAAGCGACCACCCCCUAGACACAGCAAUAGACAAAAUAACUCUGAUAGUAGCCGGUUUGACCACUGGACUAAACAUUUCCUUAAAAUCACAACCCGGAACUUGAGAGCAACCUUUUGUAACUAAUCGAGCCUUAUAUCGAGCAAUAGUGCCAUCAGAAUUCUUCUUGAUUCGGAACAACCAUUUGCACCCAAUGACCUUACGAUUAUAUGGAGCAGGAACGAGCUCCCAUGUGGAAUUACGCAUAAGAGCAUUAUACUCAUCUUGCGUAGCAGUGCGCCACUCAACAGUAGCCAGAGCUUCUUCAAUUGUAGUCGGUUCAACAGCUUCAACACUUAAAACCUUAGGCUUGUAAACCCCUGCUUUAGCGUGAGUAACCAUUGGGUGAGUAUUGCCCACAGCUGUCCUAUUAAUCUGACUAGACAGUCCCAUAUUAGACGAAGAGAGAGCAUUGGUAUCACUGGAGAAUCCUGAGCCAUGCUCUGAUGGAAGAUCACUCAACUCAGUUCCAUCAUUAGCUGAAUAAUCAUGAGCUGGAAGACUACCCAACCCAGUCCUAACAUCAGUUGAAGGAUCAUGAAACUGGGGCUGCUCCACACUAACAUCUAAUACAGGAUCAGUAGGCUGAGACGACACCCCUUGUACCGACGGUGUCAUCAUGCAUGGCUCAAGAGUCGAGGAUGAAGGUGGCCACACAAGAGGAACAACUGUCGAACUAGUCUGACCGGUUGUUGAUACAGACUUGUCUGAACUAGUCUCGGUAAACAAAAACCUCUGCUCAUCAAAGACCACAUGCCUUGAAAUUAUAACCUUACCAUCUGGUAAAAGACAUUGAUACCCCUUGUGACGAGGACUGUAGCCCAAAAAAGUUGACGGCUGAGACCGAAAUUCCAACUUACGACCUACAAACGGACGUAAGUAAGGAUAACAACAGCAACCAAACACUCGAAGAUGAUCAUAGGUCGGAUCACUUCCAUACAGUUCUUUAAACGGAGAACUAUCCUGAAGUACAACCGUGGGAAGUCGAUUUAUGAGAUGAACCGCACAACAAAACGCAUACCCCCAGUAUUCCAUAGGCAAAUUUGCAUGAGCCAACAACGUAAUCCCCAUUUCAACAAUGUGACGAUGUUUUCGCUCGGCUACUCCAUUUUGUUCUGAAGUAUACGGACAGGUCAGUCGAUGAAUGAUCCCCUGAGAUUCUAAGACAGACGUAAACCCACGAUAUUCACCUCCCCAAUCGCUCUGAAACUGCUUAAUAGACUUGCCAAACUGUGUCUUAAUCAACUGUUGAAACUGAGUAAAACAUUCAAGUGCUUGAGCUUUUUGACGUAAAAGAUAAACCCAAGUAAACCUGGUACACAUAUCAAUAAACGAAACAUAAUAUCUCUUAUCACCACAUGCAACAGGUGCAGGACCCCAAAGAUCAGACACAACCAAUUCAAAAGGACGAUAGCUAGUAGUCGAAUGGGAGAAAGGCAACUUAUGUGACCUGCCUUUUUGACACGCAGUACAUAUACCAUCCAGACCAAUUUUAUUUGAAACAACAUUACAUUUAUUUAGAAUAUUUUUGACCACAGAAGUCGACGGGUGGCCUAAACGAUUAUGCCAUAAAGUAAAUACAGAAGUAGUUGAAACUGUAUGUGGAACUUGAGAAUGAGCAACAAACGGAGUAGUCGUAGGCAACGUAGAAACCGCUGGGACAGAAAACUGAUAUAGACCAUCAUGAAUGCGGCCCGUCAGCAAUAUCUCCUGAGUCAUCGUAUCCUUAAUAACACAAUAGGUAGGGUGAAACUCAAAAAACACAUCAUUAUCACGAGCAAACUAUGAGACAGAUAAGAGAUUUUUCCGUAUACGUGGCACACAUAAAACAUUUGAUAACCGUAACGAUUUAUCUUGAGUAGGUAAAAUGGCCGUACCAAUUGAUGAAAUUAUCGUAGGAGUACCAUCACCCAUUAAAAGAGAUGACUUACCUGAGUAUGGCGUGACAUUACGUAAAGCUGACAUAUCACGACAGACAUGAUGACUCGCUCCCGAGUCAGGAUACCAAGACGUGGUGCCACUGCACACUGGAAUGUACGAAUCAUCAUUACCAGUACUAGAUGCAAGCUGAGCCGUAUUAACAUGAGAAUCUGAUACUGAAGGAUCAGAAUAAUUAGACGCAUGUAAAUCCCCUAGCCGUGGAAGCCCAAUACAUGGAUUAGAUUCGGUAUAGACCCGAGCACGCGGUUUAGUAAAUUUCAGAACCGGACCACCAACACCUAGUCCAUCACCAAUCGGUUCAGGCGAGCCGGGAUCAUCUUGAUCAAGUUGAACAAAAUUAGAGGAUGGUACAAUAUUCGGCCCAGCAUUAAACUGAACAUUCAGUCCAUGAGAAGAGUGUUGAACAUUCGGUCCAUCAUUAAACUGGACAUUUUGUCCAUGGGAUUUGUUUCCACUAGAACCGCGCCACUGUCCAUUUCCAGUAGUGAACCCGUGUAAAGUGUCUCCACUAUACCCUUGCCCAGCAUCAUGACCGAAUUUAGACAAGCUGGGCUUGUAGGCAUCAUUUUGUGCAUUGGACACAUGUGGCCCACGUGGUAAUGGCCUAUUUUGCAUGCCAGCACACACAUUUUGACUAACAUAUCUAUUUUGACCAGCAUGACUCCCUUGACCAUAAAAAAUUCUUUGACUAUUCUGAUGAGGAGCAACCAUCUGUUCAUCACCAUUUUGCACAAAAGUUCCAGAAUCACAACCUUCAACACCAGACAUUUCAUUUGAGUCUCGGUGAUACCGAUAAUAGCACUUUUGAGCCACAUGACCAAACCGACUACAGAUCUGGCAUUGAACACAAGAUCUGAUAAACCGGCCACGACCACGAACAGACGCACGACCUCCACGACCGGCCCCUUCUACCGAUGGCUCAUUUUCAACAAGAUUCGCGUUCAAACUGACCUCCUGCAACACUCGAUCUUGACGACUCUCACAAUCGACUAGCGCAUCCACCAGACGUUGCAACGGUAGAACUACAGGCGACAAACGAGUAGAGGAGAUAACCGCCUCAAACUCCGACGGCAAACCCGCAAGCACCACUUCGAUCUUUUCUUCAUCGGAGAUACGAGAGCCAGAAGCAUCUAGCAUACCACAUAAAUCUUUAAUCCGAGCAACAUAAGCCUUAAUCGAAAGAUUACCUUUCUUCAACGAGUGAAGUUCAUGCCGAAUCCUCGACUGCUUGGCGCCCGUAUCAACUGCAAAAAGAUUACCGACCAUGCUCCAUAUGUCGCACGCCGUGCAAGCAUCAUCAAAGGAGGAUUGAUGAGAGGAAGUUACAGUAGACAGAAGCCAGGACAUUAGCAGUUGAUCUUGCUGCGUAAAGACUUGAGCCGCCGGAUUUGGAGCACGAGAUCCACCGGGUAGAGCGAUGAAUCGCAACGGCGGAGCAACAGUGCCAUCUAAAAAACCUGCGAGUCCAUAGCCAUUAACAAUCAGCUUUACCUGUUUACGCCAUUGAAGGUAAGUACCUUCAUCGAGUUUGACCACUUCAUGUCGAGGAAAAACUGUUGUGACUCGAUCGGCAGCAAAUACACCGGAGCUAGGUUCACCAGACGCUGAAUCAGCGGAAGCCAUGAGAAGCAAUGACCAGAAUCACUUGGCGAAUGAUACCAUGAAAGAACUAGGUAAAGGAAGAAAAUAACUAUCCAAACAGAAAGAAGCAGAAAGUGAAAUAAUAGAAUAAACUUCUUGUUGUUUAUUCAAAUUUGCCUACCUCUUAAUUCUUAAUGUACAGUAUAUAAAGACUAUCUGAAUUGAGUAACAACCUCACUAACUGACUAACUACUUCUAUUCUCUAAUAAUAGACGUGUUUGAGUGACACAAUUCCCUAUGUCAUGUUUGUUAAUAUAAAUUGUAAUUACAUAGUUACAUUAUAAAAUUUUUGGUGUUAAAUUUCGCAAAAUUCUGAUAAAAUAGUGAGGUUAACUGAGAAGCGAAUUUAUUAUUUUUGGAGCUUGUUAUUAUUUUUGAAAUUUUUAGUUAUUAAUGGGUAAUGAUGUCGACUAAGAAUCGAAUUGGCCCAAGGGACUAAAUUGAAAGAGGAGUGAAAAGGGAAAGUUUUUAAGUACUAAUAAGCCCAAGGGCUUAAUGGCCAAUUGGCCAUAGUCUUUUAAAGCACUAAAAAUCACGUCCUUUCUAGCCCUUAUUUUCAACUUCUCUCUUUGGCCGUCUGUCUACACUUGCACCGUUGAAAUCCCUUCAAAUCCUCGCCACUUUGUGUCUAAAUACCAUCAUCGAUUGCCACCACUGAUAUCAGCUGCAAUUGCUCUAAUUCACUGCGGACAAUUGCCUUAAUUUGUAGAUGCUCAUUAUUCACAUUAAAGUUUAUUUCUCUAAUGGAAUUGAUGCUAUGGUUAGUCUUAUUUUCAAAGAUGAUUAAGUUUCAUUUGAUUAGAAUUAGUUGGAAUAUGUGCGGUUAACUUCUAAUUAAAAUUAUUUAGUUUAAGAUUCAUUAAUAAAUUAUUUUUACCGUGGUUUCUUUGAUUUAUUGCUGUAAUUUUUUGUUUACUUUUAUUUGUUGUCAAAGGGUAAAUUAUCUGAUACUUUUACAAUGAACUUAGAAUUAUUUUUGAUGAAUUCGAAGCGAAAAACUAGAUAAUUCGAUGAAAGUGAAGCUGGUUGUGAAUUAAUUGCUCCUAAGCUACAAACACUAAGAAAUUCAGUUUGUUACCUUUACGUUUUAAAAUAUCUUAAUGUUGUUAAAUUAUUAGCUUUGUUGUGAUUCUUGCAUGUAAAAUUUUACUUGUGUAGUUGUUUAUUAAAUUGUUUUUAAUGAUGGCUCCUAUUGUUAAAUUGAUAUUCUUUAUUAAUUGAUUAUUUUCCGAAAAUUAUUGUUAAAAGUACGAAUUUAAUAAUUGACUAAAUACUUGAUAAAGUUAGUUGGAAAUUCUUCGGAUAUAAUUAGCAUGUUGUAGAGUGUAGAGGUCUCCAUCAUUGUUUGUUGUUCAUUGUGUGGAUUGCCUUAAGCAUAUGGGAGUAUUGUCAUUGUUGCCUCUUUGCGCAUAUAGUGUGAUGGUAGGUCAUUGAUUAAGUUGCAUUUAUUACGCAAUGCAGUACUGUCAUUGUUGACGCUUGUGCCAUUUUCAUUGACCGUUUGGUGUUUGGUUGGACACUCUUUUGUCCGAAUGUCUUUCCUUCUUGUGUUACUUAGGCAAAAUAAUUAAAUGAACUUAAACAUUAAAUUGAAACACUAUCAUUAUUUAUUGAAUGUAUUGCUAAUGUUUCAUUGUUAUUUUAAAUUGCUACCUUGUGACUGACUUGUGAUUGUAUUGUGUCUUUGAAAAUUAUUUUAAUUAUACACUUUGGUAGUUUAAAAUGUAUUGGAUUACUACUAAGCUGUAAAAAGGCAUAGCACUUGGGUUUUUAAUUUCUUGUGCAAGUAAUAUUUGGAUCGCAUAGUUUGUGAUAUCGUGAUCGAGCAACAUCACCAAAGAGUUUAGCAUGUACUUAGGUGUUGUUAAAUUGGUCAACUUGUUUACUUUAGUUUUAUUUUAGAGCUUAUUGAUUGAUUGAGCAUUGUUAAAUUAUUUUAUUAUUUGACUUUACACUAAUGUUUAAAUUUUAUGAUUUUAUGUGAAAAUGAUUGAAUGAUUGAUUAUUUGGGUCGCUCAGGUGACCGUUGUGACACUUUCGAUCCAAUUGAACUUUUGAGUCGGGUUUGAGGUGUUACAAACAUAAUUUAUAUUUUUUAAAAAAUAUUAAUUAGUAUAAAAAUUAUUAGUAUGAUCAAAAAUAAUUUCUAAACAAAUUGUCAAAACCAUUUUUUUGUAAAACGGGGGUCGACUUUUAUUUUGAAAACGAAAACGAACACAGGAGUCGCCACCAAUCCUUUUUGAUGAGGUGUGAUCGGGUCACCUCGAAAAGUUUUUAAUAAACGAUUUGCUUUUAUUAAAAUAACGAUUUUUGGUCCACGAAAUAAAAAAAAAACGGGUUCGGGAGUCGGUUACGUACGAGGAAGGAUUAACACCCUCGUAAUGCCCAUAAUUGGUACCUAGUUGAUUAAUUAGUGUCUUAGUGUCGAAGAUUGAAAACUUUGAAGAGUUUUUAAAAAUACGAUCCUUAAAAAAAUCGAAUAACAUGGGUUGGAAUUUAGGAUUCUCUUGUUCCGAAGGAAUAUCACAUCCAGCACGUUAGGAUACAACACUUUAAACCCUCGAAACCAAGAUUACCUUAUGGUGUCCAAAACCCAUACUUUGAAAUUUUAAGAGGAUAUUUGACUAUUUGGUCGAACGAGAAAUCGAAAUCCAGCACGUUAGGGCACGUUUUCUCGAAUUUCCAAACGCAAAAUAUUGCCUUAUUUUUAAAAUUUUCUUUUUUACAAAUUUGGGUAAAAUUAAUGUAAUAGUUAAUAAGAUGUACUUUUAAUAUAUGCGAACAUGGUGUGAAGGUGAAAAAUUUUUUUUACGCAAUAUAUAGUACAAUAAUAAUGAAAUAACAUAAAAUAACCAUAUUAGUAGAAUAUUUAAAAAGUAAAUAAUAAAUAAUGGAAUACAAUAAUAAUGACGUAAUUAUAAUAAUAACACCAAAUAAUAAUAACAAUAAUCAUAUUAGUUACUAUUCUAAUACUAAAAAAAUAUAAAAAUGAAAUAAACACUAAUAAUGAUGAUGAUAAUAAUAAUAGUGAUAAUGAUAAUGAAAUGUAUAAAUAAAGGAAUAAAUAACAAUAUAAAUACUAAAUCAAGAAUAGUAAGGAAAUGGAUAAAUGAAUAUGUAUAAAUAAAUAAAACUGAACGAAAAAGAAUAAAUAAAUAAAUAAAAGCUUGAAAUUAAGCGAAUAAAGGAAUAAAUUGAGGUUAAAAUAAAAUUUUAAGUCUAGAUUAUAAUAAAAUGGAUGGAUAAACGUAAAAGGGACUGGAUCAAAUUUUGAAUGGAAUUUAAAGGUAUAAAUCGGAAUAAAAAAAUGACGUAAAGGACCACAUUGAAAAGCGCGAAUAACAUAGAGGGGCCAAAUGGGAAAAUAUUCCCGCCCUUCAAAACGCAUCACUUUACACGGGGCUAAAAUGCAAUAAAAGCAAAAUUCUAGGGCAAGAUCAAAAAAAGAACACAAAAAAAUUCAAAUUGAAGCGGGCCGAGGAAGCGGAAAGACUGAACAAGUAAAUAUCCCUUCCACUUAAAAAAACACGCGGAUCCUUAUCCUGGAGCGGGUUGGGUCAACCCAUUUCGCAUCAAAACGACGCCGUUUUGAUAAGUUAUAUAAACCAAAUUUUUACCAAAAGUUUUAUUUUGCCCAUUAUUUUAAAAAAAACUUUAAAAAUCUUUCAAAAUUUCUCUCAAGCCUUCCCGCGUCUGGCCAUAACUCCGACCAGUCGUCACCGUACCGUAACCUUAUCCUUUCGACCCUCCUAAAUCCAAAUCUGGGUUCAAAAUUCCCAAAAUAUUAACAAAAAUACCUCAAAAGCUCAAGAAACCUUUCGAUUUUCGGUCACCUAUCCUCAGAGGUGACUUCCUCAGCCAUCCACGGUGUUGAAAAACUCGAAUACAGGUUAGUUUGUUACUCCCUUUUCAUUUUGUUUUACUUUCGUAUGUGUAAAUAUGAUAAAAAUAAAAUAACAGUAGACCAAAAAUGAAACGAAGAUUUAGAAAAUAGCAGUAGAUGUAAACCUUUCGGGAUUUUUCUAAUUAUUUUGAGUUUUUCGAGUAUUCGAUCCCUUUUUUUAUUACAUUGAUUGAUGGGGCCUUUUAUAGCCGAUUUACAUGCUAUUUUUUGUUUGCUUUCGCUUUUGUUCUUGUUGAUUCUGUGUCUGUCUCUUUUUUGUUCUGUUUGCAGGUCUUGGCAAGGUCAACAGAUGUUGAAGGGAUAACCCCUGCCAUUUUCGUACAAGGCUGUAGACGCCUGUCAGGCUUCGGGCGACGAGUGCGCUAUAGGGGCACGAAGAGGGAGUGCGGCACACAUGGAGCACUAGGGUUUCUGUUUUCCUCUGAAAGCAGUUAGGUUGUGGGCUGAAUUGGGUUAGGUUUUCUUUUUUAUUUUGGGCCAUACCAGGCCUGGCAUGUAAUUAGGGUUUGGGUUUGUUAUUUGAGUUUUGGGCCCGGUCAAAAAUGGCCUAUUACAGCUGCCUAUCUUUGCUUAUUGUCGUGUAACGGGAAUGAAACAAAGACUUUAAAAGGGCCAAUUUUGCCCGGUCUUGCCGAGUCUUGACUCCUUUUAGUGUUUCUCUUUUCAAGUAGCUUCACUCUAUUCCACUGUGUCUUGUUGCUUCAAUACACUCCACUGUAACUUCAAAAAGAGAUACGACUUGUAGCUUCAAUCUACUCUGCCAUAAUUUCAGAAGGAUGAGAUUUAUGGUUUUAGUCUGCUCCACUAUAACGUCAGGGAGAUAAGACUUGUUGCUUCAACCUACUCUACUGCGACUUCAAGGAGAUAAGGUCUGUUAUGGUAGACUUAAUCUGACCUACUGCAACUUCAGAGGUAUAUGAUUCAUCGUUUUAAUCCGCUCCACUUCAACUUCAGGGAGAUAGGAUUAAUAGCUUCAAUCUACUCCACUACAACUUCAGAGAGAUAAGAUUUGUGGCUUUAAUCUGCUCCACUGCUCUACUGCAACUUCAGGGAGAUAAGGUUUGAUGUGAUCUGCUCUACUGCAACUUCAGGUUUCAAUCUGUUCCACUGCAGCUUUAAGGAAAUGAGAUUUAUAGUUUGUCUUCAAUCUACUCCACUACAACUUCAGGGAGAUAAGAUUGGUUUAUUUUUUAACCUGCUCCACUGCAACUUCAAGGAGAUAAGGUUUGAUGUGAUCUGCUCUACUGCAACUGCUCCACUACAACUUCAGGGAGAUAAGGUUUGAUGUGAUCUACUCUACUGCAACUUCAAAGAGAUAAGAUCUGUAAUUUAUAGCUUAAAUCUGUUCCACUACAACUUCAGGGAAAUGAGAUUUAUAGCCUGUCUUCAAUUUUCUCCUCUACAACUUUAGGGAGAUAAGAUUGGUUUAUUUUUUAACCUACUCCACUGCAACUUCAGAGAGAUAAGGUUUGUCAAGAUCUUCAAUCCAUCCCACUGCAACUUCAGAGGCAUAAAAUUUGCCGCUUCACUAAUCUAUUAUGCGGUGAACUUGACCUGUGGAAUCCAUUUCAUAGACCUAUUUAUGCCUAGUGAUUAGGAUGUCAUAAAUCAGAAUGAAUCAAAUGCUCCUAACUAGGUGUGUAUGAAUGAUAUUUGCAUGAAUGCAGAACAUCAUUUUUUGAGAAUAAUCCCUCUUUAAUGUUUGGGUUAUCAUUGCUCAUUGUUCAUCAAGGUUUUAUCGUUAAUGCAUUACCCUACCUUCUUGUUCAACUGGUGUCUUUAACAGAAAAUCCAAAGAAAUAGUCACAAUUUAGACUAUUCUUUUUCAAAUGUUUCCAACCCUCAGGUUUGGUUAGUUCUAAACAAUAAUCCUGUUUCGAGUCCUCGUAUCAUUUAGAAGCUUUCAGAGUAAUAUGCAGAACUUCUUUUGCUUGAAUAUUAUUGAUCCAUUAAUUAUUAUUUCAAUGAAAAAUGCUUGGAAAGAAUUAUCACAAUGGACAAGAUGGAAUUUCAUUAGGAGCAAAGCUCGAACUGAAUGAAUUAAUCAAGAUAACAAGUUUUUUCCAAAAUUACAAAAUGAGAAUCAAGACAACGUAUUUUGCCAAAAUAAAAAAUGAAUGAAAUGGAAUAGGUGCCUUAGAUAUCGUAGUAUGAACUUCUCUGCACAAAGCCUUUGGAGGACCACUUUAAACUUGAUAGAUGUCCAGGAGGUCCGCAGUAUUUCGUUGAUGUCCCAAGACGCAUAAUCUCUCUUUCUUGUUAAUUCAAGCAUAGUAAAAAUUGUCGCAUGCCCCACCUUUGAUCACAAUUUGAAUUGCCCUUUUUCCCCAGGUUUUCAAUUCAAAACCCCUUUGGUCUCAAAGUGCCCUUCAUGGGUUUUCGCCUUGGCCUCUCCUCUUUUGUUUUAGGCGAGGUACUUUUUCAUUGAAUUCGAAUUCACAGGAUUAGGCAGGAUUUUUCCAUCCAUCUCAGUCAAAAUUAACGCUCCUCCAGAAAAGGCCUUCUUUACUACAUAAAGUCCCUCACAGUUUGGCAUCCACUUUCCUCUAAAGUCUUUUUGUAUGGGAAGGAUCUUCUUCAGUACCAAAUCCCCUUCAUGAAAUUCCCUAGGACGAACCUUCUUAUUGUAAGCUCGUAUCAUUUGCUUCUGGUACAUUUGACCAUGACGGAUAGCUCUCAACCUCUUUUCUUCGAUCAAGUUUAGCUGAUCAUAUCAAGAUUGGAUCCAUUAUGCUUCGUCUAACAUUAGUUCUGAAAAAACUCGGAGAGAGGGAAUUUCAACCUCAAUUGGCAGUACUGCCUCCAUUCCAUAAACCAAAGAGAAAGGCGUUGUCUCGGUAGAGGUCCUGACAGAUGUUCGAUAAGCAUAGAGGGCAAAUGGUAACUUCUCAUGCCAAUCUCUAUAAGUCUCAGUCAUUUUUCCCACAAUCUUCUUGAUGUUUUUAUUGGCUGCCUCCACUGCGCCAUUCAUUUUCAAGCGAUAUGGCGAUGAAUUGUGGUGCUUGAUCUUGAAUUGACUACAGACCUCCGCUAUCGUGUUGUUGUUCAAAUUCAAAGCGUUGUCAGAUUUAAUCCUUUCGGGUAUCCCAUACCGACAUAUGAUCUCCUUUUUUAGAAAUUUACUGACGGUCGAUUUUGUGAUGUUGGCGUAAGAAGUAGCUUCUACCCACUUAGUAAAGUAGUCAAUUACUACGAAGAUGAAUCGAUGCAUGUUUGAAGCUUUUGGUGAUAUUGGUCCAAUGACGUCCAUGCCCCACAUGGAAAAAGGCCAUGGAGAAGUCAUGACAUGAAGAGGUGAAUGAGGCACAUGAAUUUUGUCCCCAUAAAUCUGGCAUUUAUGGCAUUUCUUAGCAUACUUGAUGCAGUCCCUUUUCAUGGUGGACCAAUAAUAUUCGAAUCUCAUGAUUUGCCUGGUCAUUGUAAAACCAUUAACGUGUGUUCCAUAGACACCAUCAUGAACCUCUUCUAAGAUUUGCUUAGCCUCAAUAGCGUCCACGCAUCUUAGCAACACUUGAUCAUUUCCUCUUUUAUAUAGGAUCUCUCCAUCCAAGACGUAGUCAUUAACCUGCCUUCUUAACGUCCCCUUGUCAUCCUCGCUUUCUUGGUUUGGGUAUUCCUGACUCUUCAUGUAUUGUAAUAUAUCGCGAUACCAAGGGUGAUCACCCUUUUCCUCUUCUUUGUCGACAUUGCAACAGUGGGCUGGUGCUUCAUAAAUGCUCAUUCUGAUGGGCCUCACAUCCUUUGUUUAUUUACUUUGAUCAUAGAAACCAAAGUAGCCAAAGCGUCGGCCAUCUGGUUUUCUUCUAGCGAAAGGUAAGAGAAGGUGAUGUCAUCAAACUCGUCAAUUAGCCCUAUAACCAGCUUUCGGUAAUUGACUAAUUUGCGAUAUCUUAUCUCCCACUCCCCUUUGAGCUGAAAAACCACCAGUACAGAGUCCCCAUAUACCUCUAACACUUUAAUCUUAUGUUCCAUGGCUGUACGAAUCCCCAUAAUACAUGCUUCGUACUCGGCCAUAUUAUUUGUGCAAUCAAAACCCAAUUUACAGGUGAAUGGAUAAUGAUCUCCGCUUAGGGAUACCAAAACUGCCCUAAUUCCGUUGCCUACAGCAUUUGAAGCCCCGUCGAAGUUUAAUUUCCAAGCACCGCUUUCUUGAGUGUAUUUUUCAACAGUUCCCACAUACAUCAGAUCCUUAUUUAGGAGAUCAAAGUUCAAAGGCUCAUAGUCUUCUAGAGCUCGACUAGCUAGAAAAUCUACUAUCGCGCUUCCUUUUAUAGCUUUUUGAUUCACAUAGACUAUGUCAAAUUCAGACAGUAGAAUUUGCCAUCUGGUCAUCCUUCCAUUUAGAGCGGUUUACUCCAUCAUGUAUUUCAGAGGGUCUAGUUUCAAGAUUAACCAAGUCGUAUGGUACAACAUGUAUUGUCGCAACCUCCGAGUAGUCCAGAUUAAGGCGCAACAUAAUUUUUUGAUUGGGGAGUAUCUUGUCUCACAUUCGGUGAACUUCUUACUGAGAUAGUAUAUUGCUUUUUCUUUUCUUCCCAACUCAUCAUGUUGGCCGAGCACGAAUCCGAUGGAGUUUUCAAAUACUGUUAAAUAUAGUAUCAGGGGCUUGUCUGGGCAAGGCGGUGUUAGUACUGGAGCGUUGGACAAGUAAUACUUGAUCUUGUCAAAGGUUUUCUGGCACUCCUCGUCCCAUAUGCCCGGAUUAUGUUUCUUAAAGAGACGGAAGAUAGGGUCACAUUUUUCAGUUAACUGUGAAAUAAACCGAGCAAUGUAGUUUAGUCUUCUUAGAAAACCCCGGACUUCUUUCUGAGUGCGUGGUGAAGGCAAUUCUUGUAUGGCCUUGACUUUGUCUGGGUCAAUCUCAAUUCCCCUUUCACUGACUAAAAGUCCUAGCAACUUUCCUGAUCUAGCCCCGAAAGUGCAUUUGGCUGGGUUAAGUUUUAGCUGGAACUUCAUUAACCUUAGGAACAGUUUUCUCAAUACUUGCACAUGUUCUCCUUCUGUCCUAAACUUUACAAUCAUGUCAUCAACACAGACUUCUAUCUCUUUAUGCAUUAUAUCAUAGAACAAAGUUACCAUGGCUCUUUGGUACGUUGCCCCUGCAUUCUUUAAUCCGAAUGGCAUCACCUUAUAGCAAAAUGUUCUCCACAUAGUUACAAAUGUGGUCUUAUCCAUGUCUUCAGGAUGCAUUUUUAUCUGAUUAUACCCCGAGAAGCCAUCCAUGAAGGAGAAAAGUGAGUAACCUGCUAUGUUGUCCACCAGAGUGUCGAUAUGGGGUAACGGAAUAUUGUCUUUUGGACUAGCUUUGUUCAAAUCUCUAUAAUCUACGCACAUCCGUACCUUCCCAUCUUUCUUAGGGACAGAGACUAUGUUGGCUACCCAAUCCGAGUACUUGACCACUUGUAAGAACCCCGAGUCGAACUGCUUCUUGACCUCUUCUUUUAUUUUUAACAAAACAUCAGGCCUUAUUCUUCGUAGCUUCUGUUGCACCAGUUUACAUUCUUCUUUUAUGGGCUGUCGGUGUACUACAAUAUCAGUACUUAGGCCAGGAAUGUCUUGAUAGGUCCAUGCAAAGACAUCUUUAAACUCUUGAAGUAAUCCAACGAGGUCUCGUUUUGUUUCCUCAGUAACGCAAGCGCCAAACUUUACUUCUUUCUCUUCUUCUAAACCCACUACUUCCACGGAUUCCUUAUAAGGUAAGAUUUGUUUCUCUUCUUGCUCCACCAUUCUUAACAAAUCAGGAGAUAAUACGCUGUCUUGGUCAUCUUCAAAACCCUGACGAUCAUCCGUACUCAUGUCUUGUUCAAAUAGGGACUUUGAGUCAGUAACAGCGUCGCUCACAUCAUUGAUAUCUGAAGACCUGUUAUUGGGAGAAAGGAAGGUCCAAAGAAAGAAGAAUCUAAGCAUAAUUGUUUACACAGUAUGAUUAUAAAUUGAAUGAAAAGAAUAGAAGAAUAUUUGCUCAAAAUGAGACUGAAUGAUGUGUUUUCAUUGAAAUAAGAUUUUGGACAUGUGUCUUUUACAAAAUAUUCUUAUUGCCCCCAGGCUUAGGGCAACAAGUGUUCUAGAUAUUACUCUGAAUUAGUUCUAAAUGUUAUAGGGAUCUCUUCUGCAGUCUAGUUGUCUAGAACACUUCCAGGUUCGUAAGGGCGGAUGCCUGAUACACUUCCUUCUUCGAGUUCUUUUUUGAAUAUGGCAUUGAUGUUCAGGUUUUCUAACAUUUCCUCCGUAGUAUCCCUUCUUGGUGUCCUUCGUUCAGGAUAAAUAGUUCCCCCUGAUAUAAAGGUCCUAGAUAUGUGGGGGAAGGUCAUAGGUUCCCAAUCGACUUCUUUUCCACUCAAACGCGCCUUCCUCUUCUCUUGUCUUUUUUCUAACUCUUUCCUUCUUUACUUCGCAUUUGGCUUAGAUCCUAAACCAAAGCGGUCUCGUUUAUCUUUUAUCAUUGGUACCUCUAUCCUUCAUUGAAGACAUCUUCCGAAUCCUCUCCCAGACACUGCUCCUUUUCCAAUCGUCAUUUGCAGUCCCAUCCUCGUAGUUUUGGAUAUGCUAGGCAUCGUGAUCUUAUUCCCCUCAACAACAAAAGUUGCGUUCACGAAUUCUAAGGAUCAAAAGGAACAUUCAAUCGCCUCAUCAUUCGUUUCUAAAUAUGGUGUGUCGCUGGUUACCGAUGCAAUAAUGUCUUCUUUAGCGCUUAUAGUAACUAGUCGGCCUUCUAUUACCAAUUUCAACUUCUGGUGCGAUGAUGAAGGCACUGCUCUAGCUGAAUGAAUCCAAGCUCUUCCCAACAAGUAAUUAUACGAAGGUUUGAUAUCCGUCACUAGGAAAUCUACCUUGUAUGUAUUCGGGCCAAUCAAGAGAGGUAUUUCUAUUCUUCUCGUUACUUUUCUUUCAGUGCCAUCAAAUGCUCUCACUAUAUUCUGGCAUGAUUUCAUGUGAGAGUUAUGCAUCGGUAACCUGUUUAAGGUGGAUAAGGGUAAGACAUUCAAGGCCGAUCCAUUAUCAAUUAACACCACCGGAAACGUGUAUCCCUUGCAGCGAGUGGUGAUAUUUAGGGCUUUGGUGGCUCCUCUCCCCCCCCCCCGAUGAUAUUUCAUUAUCAUUAAAGAAGAUGAAGUUGUCGGCACUUAUAUUGUUAACCAAGCAGUCUAACUUGUUCACCGAGAUAUCGUUAGCGACAUAAGUUUCAUUUAGUACUUUUAUCAACGCAUUACGAUGUGUCUCUGAACUUAGAAGCAACUUAAGCACCAAGAUGCAAGCUGGUUGCUUAUGUAGUUGUUCCACCACGCUAUACUCACUGUGCUUUAAGAAUUUUAGAAAUUCUCUAGCCUCAUUUUUAGUUACCGGCUUGUUAACAUGCGAUUCAAUUCUAAUCGUUUUUGCUUCCCCUCGCUCAACCGCUAAGGUUUUUCCUUUUGUGGUUUCCACUCUUGCAUUUGUCGAAUCGUAGCAUUUUUCGCUUCGUGUAUAGAAGCCUAUAUCAUCACCCUUUUUUGAAGUAUUUAUUGGGUUCUCUUCUCCCGGGAUCGUCACGUUGCACUCGUAAUUCCAAGAAACCCAUUUGCUAUUCUUAUAAAGAAAUUAUAUGGGUUUUUAGAUUAUGACCCUUGGCGCUAUUUCUAUUCCAGAUUCUGUGCUCCUUGGCCUUGAAAUAAUCACCACUGAGUGAUUAACCCUUUGGGCUUCCCCGUAGAUUCUUCCUCCGAGGUGUAAAUUUCCCCUUCUUCUAAUCCUUCAACCUUUUCAUAAAACUUCAACUCUUUGUUAUCCAUUAAGUUUUGCAUCAUGGUUCUGAACUCGGUGCAUUUUUAAGUGUCAUGGCCCUCUUCAGCAUGGAACUCGCAAUACUUCAUCGUCCCUUUGGGCCUCUCCGUUGAAUCUUGCUUGAUAAAACCUCCCUCUAUCAUUCGUUUCCAAACCCAUUUCAACGGGGUUUUUAUCUCUGCUACGUCAGCUUUAACUCUCCUUCCCCACUCUCGAUUAUUGCGUUUACCUCUUUAUCAGAAUGAUUGGUUAACGGAUUCCCUGCUACAUUUGGUUCUGGUGGGUCGUCAAACUUUACAAUCCCCAUCUUAAUGAAUCUUUCCACCAUCUUCUUAAACGCAGUGCAGUUCUCAAUCGAGUGUCCCGUUAUCCCUGCUUAGUAUUCACAUUGGGUAUUCACGUCGUACCAUUUAGGGUAUGAAGGUUGCAUGGGUUUCAGAUAAAAUGGAGACACGACGUGUGCAUCGAAUAGAUUCUAAUACAGUUCUCUAUACGUCAUUGAGAUACGUGUGAAUUGGGGUCUUUCUACAUUCGACCUUGGAUGGGAUUCCUGCCUUAAAAAGCCUUGAUGGCUAGUGGUUAUUGCUCUUGCUUGUCCCACCGUGAUUGGUUUAGAAUAGCCUUUGUUAAACAUACUUGCAUUGUUUAUCUCGUGCUCUUUCUUUCUUGGGGCUGACCUCUUGGCACUUUCCCCCGCUUCUAUCUUGCCGCAUAUUAUUGUAUUCUCUAUCAUUUCUCCAGACAUCACUAUGUCUGAAAAGCUUUUAGUGGCGCUGUCUAACAUGUGAUUGAUGAACAGAGCCUUCAAAGUAUUGAUGAAAAGCAUGGUUGUCUCUUUCUCCAGAAGUGGUGGUUAGACUUGCAUUGCUAUUUCUCUCCAUCUUUGGGCGUACUGUCUGAAGCUCUCACUAGGCUUCUUUUCCAUGUUCUGUAAUGUAAUUCGACCGGGUGCUAUAUCCUUCACAUGACUGUACUGCUUCAUAAAAGUCUGUGCCAAGUCCUUCCAUAAAUUGACUUUAGUCUGGCUCAAUUGGUUGUACCAUUUAGCCGCCGACCCGAUCAAGCUGUCUUGGAAAUAGUGCAUCAAUGUUGAUCAUUAUUGAUGUAUCCUGUUAUCCUUCGACAGAACAUAGUGAUAUGAGCUUCAGGACAGCUAGUCCCGUUAUACUUUUUAAACUUUGGCAUUUUGAACUUAGGUGGAAGCACCAGAUCAGGAACCAAACUCAAGCCUUUGGCGUCAAUUCCACAAUGGUAGUCGGCGUUCUCCAUGGCUCUAAAUUUCUCCUCUAUCCAUCUACACGAUCCUCAAGUUGUUUUGGCAAGUCCAUUCUUACCUUUUCUAUUUCUGCCACGUCAUCGAGAUCAGGGACCACGGGAUUGGUAGGGUUAUCCCCGGGAUUAGAACCCGAGCUUAUUGGAAAGUUCAUUGACACUAGGGCCCCAACCUGAUAUUGGGAUCUGAUAGUGACAGGUACCCUUCAUGGGUACACGUCCGGUUGCGCUUAGAUGUUAGUUAGGGUAAAACCUGGAGGAUAGGCAGGGUCUUCAUGAUCAUCCCCAGAAUUGACCACAGGGCUCUUCCCUUUAUCAUUUUCUCCAGCCAUUAACUGUGUUAACUAGCUCAAUAAAUUUCUUUGGGAUUCUUACAUGUCUUGUUGCAUUUUAGCUAGUUUUUCCUGCAUCUGAACUUGCAUCUCUUUUCACAAUUGUUCCAAUCUUUCUAAUAUCUGAUCCAUUACUUUUGUCUUGCGGCGGGUACCGUAGUGAUAUAUAGUUGGCUGAUUUUUGUUGGUUUCCAAGGUAACUGUCAUAAUUUUAAUUAAUUAGGGCUCUUUUUUGAAACUUUAAUGCAUAUGAUGAGAUGUAAUGCAAAUGAAUCAAAGCAAAAAGAGGCAUUGAUUCUAAUUCAAUUUCAUUAGAAAAACUCGAUUAGAAAACAAAUUUCUUUACAUAAAAUGGAUUACAUAUAUGGCUUCGCCUUUAUACUCAAAGCCUUAACCCUCUUAAGGAGCCAAGCUAACUCUCAACCUCGGCUUGAUUCUGAUUCAUAUUUUAAACUCAAUACAUCAGCCUGAACUGCUAAGGUUUGCAGAUGAUCAGCUACUUCCUGCACUUAAGUUACAACUUCACCCAUAAUGUAAUCUUUAUCUCUAAUCUGACUUUGGGAAUGAUGGAGCUGUUCUUGCCACUGUUCGUUACGCCUCUCAAGAAGUUCCACUCGUAAUUCAGAGUUUUGCAAUGCGUCUUCGAGCUUUUCUAUUUUCCCCUUCAAUUUUUCGAUCUUUCCUAAACUUGCUCUUAACUUGAUCAUUGAGUUGCGACUACGGUACAGGUGAAGCGACUUUUCUAACUAUACUACCCGAGCUUUUAAUCUCGCUUCUUCAUUUCAACAUUCUAACAAGUUUUUCUCUAAAGCUCUCUCUCGAGCUUGGGCGUCUUAAAAUUUCUUUUCCCACUGAUCAGCCAUGGUCUUUUCUUCCUUGAUCUCCUGUCGCCAUUACUCCGACGUUUUACCUAAACCGACAGUUCUUAUUGACAAACGCAGCUUCUUAUAAUCUAUUUUUAGACUAUCUAAAUCCUCUUCAGCCUUGUUCUUCCCUUUCCUUAAUUUUUCGAUUUUUAACUUGUGGAUAUCGACAUCUAGUCCCAAACGCAUCUUUUCCUCUUCUAGCUGCUCUAUCUUCUUUCCUAACUCUGAACUUCUUUUUUCAAAGUCCUGUUUGAUGAUCUCUAAUUCUGAUGGAACUUCUUGUAGAUGGUCCUCUAUAGAUCGAAUGCAUUCUUUUCUCGACCCGGAGAUGUUGUUAUUGACCCUCUUACUCCAACACCCAUAAUAUUCGAAAGUUGUCAUUGCUCUUACGGUAAAUCUUUUCAUCCGGUGAACUUGUUUCCAAGCGCUAAACAUUUCUCGAAUCUUUCUCUUGUAGUUAUCACCCUUAUAAGAAAACUCACACUGAGUCAGCCCUUAUGUUGUCGGUAUGAACUAUCUUGAUUUAUAUUGUCUUAAUACGAGCAAAGGGGUAUAUUCGACAGCUCUCCAAAUUCUAAGUAAAAGGACCAAGUCGAAGUUUUCACAUCGAUAUAGGAUAUCGUCGGGCACCAUCCAAUGAGCUUUCCAUUCAACAUCUUUCUCUUGAAGAGUUUGGAGAAUCACCAUCCAUUUCUCUUCUGUGAUGUCGUUUCAUCUUGGUGUAGCCACUAGUUCCUUUAAUGGGGAGUAGUUUUCUAAGAAUACCCAAUAGGAGACCUUUUUCCACUUUCCAAAAGUGUCUAUGGAACCACACCAAUAAUAGUUGCGCGCAUCCGAUGAACCUUCCUUCACCCGCUCUUCGACACGCAUUUAGAGAUCUAAAAGUUUCAGCCAAUAUUGCUGAGACCGGUGUGACCCCCUUGUCAAGCCUAUCAAACAGAUCUGAAACUGCUUCAUCCACAUGCCCUAAUGCCUUGGGGAAAAUAACUAAACCAUAAAUGCUCAAGACAAAGAUAUCAACUCACUUGGUGCAAAAAUCAUGAAAAACCAGCUUGAAUAAACCCUUAGGACGUUUUUGGCUGAUGAGAAUGCAGAAAAAUAAAGAGAAAUCUAGAUAAUUCCACUUUAGUCCUAACUUUUAAAGUAAAUUUUUGCAAUAUUCUAAUUUUACCCUUAAUUCUCCAAUUCUCCUUAUUUUUCUCAGCUUGUGCCGCCCAAAAUAUCUUCUUUUGGGCUUAUUUACAAUUUAUGUCCCUCCUUAUUUAACAAUGGAGCUAUUUAAUCCUUCUAGUAACUUUUACACCUUUUUUAAUUUAGUCCUUUUCACUUAAUUGACUGCCCAAACAUUAAAAUUUUCUAACGAAAUUUUAAUACCAUAUUACUAACAUUUCAUAAAUAUUUAUAAAAAUAUUUUUGACUUGGUUUUAUGAGAUCGAUGUCUCGAUACCUUGUUUUUACCCAAUUUCUUCAAUAAUUUCUUUUUCUAACUAACCACUAAAUCGGUAAAAUUUUUCUAUCGAUAUUUUCAUACGAUUUUCUAUCAUAUCAAUAUUCAUGCAAAAAUAUUAAAAUAAAUUUCUUUUAAAAUCGGAUUUUUGGUUAUGAAACCACUGUUUCGAUAACCUUGAAUUUAGGCCAUUACAACUCUCCCCCCUUAGGGAUUUUCGUCCUCAAAAAUCUUACCAGUAAAGAGGUUCGGGUAUUGUUUCCUCAUUGCCUCCUCUGAUUCCCAUGUCGCUUCCUUAAUCCCGUGCUUUUUCCAUAAUACUUUCACCAAAUUUAUCUUUUUAUUUCUAAGCUCAUUUAUUUCCCGUGCUAAUAUCUUAACCGGUUCUUCACUAUAAGUCAUAUCCGGCUGAAUCUCCACUUCUGUCAGAGAAAUAACAUGUGAAGGAUCUGAUCGAUACCGUCGUAGCAUAGACACAUGAAAAACAUUAUGAAUUCUAUCGAGUUCCGGUGGUAAUGCCAAUCGAUAAGCGACCGCGAGUUCCGGUGGUAAUGCCAAUCGAUAAGCGACCGGUCUAAUUCUUUCUAUAAUUUCAUAUGGCCCAAUAAAUCUUGGACUCAACUUACCCUUUUGACCGAAUUGGAGAACUUUUUUCCAAGGAGACACUUUUUUGGAAUACCUUAUCACCCACCUAAAAUUCAAUCUCUUUUCGUUUAAGAUCAGCAUAUGGCUUUUGACGAUCGAAAGCUGCUUUUAGACUAUCUCGAAUCAUCUUGACUUUUUCUUCUAUUUCCCGGAUCAAAUCAACCCCAUGUAUCUUCUUUUCACUAAGCUCUGUCCAAUAUAAUGGUGUUCUACAUUUUCUACCAUACAAAGCUUCAUACGGAGCCAUUUUAAUACUGGACUAAUAACUGUUAUUAUAAGCAAAUUCAAUCAAAGGUAGAUACCUCUCCCAAUUACCUUCUAACUCUAAUAUACAACAUCGGAGCAUAUCUUCCAAUACCUGAAUUACACGCUCAGAUUGGCCAUCUGUCUGAGGAUGAAAUGCAGUGCUGAAAUACAAUUGAGUACCCAAGGCUUCUUGCAAUUUGUCCCAGAAACGAGAUGUAAAUCGGGGAUCUAUAUCUGAUAUAAUAGAUAUUGGCACUCCAUGUAGCUUGACAAUCUCAGAUAUAUACAGUUCAGCCAAUUUAUCUAAAAAAUAAUCCAUAAGUACUGGGAUAAAAUGUGCUGAUUUUGUUAAUCGAUCAACGAUCACCCAAAUGGCAUCUUUCUUAUUCGGUGACAAUGGUAACCCAAAUACAAAAUUCAUAGUAAUUCUUUCCCACUUUUAUUCCGGUAUAGUGAUUGGCUGAAGUAACCCCGAAGGUACCUGAUGUUCAACUUUAACCUGCUGACAUAUUAGGCACUUUGAUACAAACUCAGAAAUAUCACGUUUCAUACCUGGCCACCAGUACAUCUUCUUCAAAUCAUUAUACAUUUUAUUACCUCCCAGAUGUACGGACAUAAUACCACUGUGUGCCUCGUGUAAAAUCUUCUGUACAAGCUCUGAAUUCUUCGGUACACAUACUCUGCCUCUGAAUAAUAAACAACCAUCAGUCCCAAUUUGAAAUUCUGAAUCAUUACCUGACUCACAUUGUACCCAUUUAGCCUGUAGCUUUUCAUCAUUUUUCCGAGCUUCAUAUAUUUGUUGUAGAAAUGUCGUUUAACUCUCAACUCAGCUAUGACUGAACCAUUAUCAACCAAAGACAAUCGGGUAUUCAUAGCUCGCAAAGCAAACAAAGAUUUUUGACUCAGAGCAUCAGCUACAACAUUAGCCUUACCCAGAUGGUAAUCAAUAACCAAAUCAUAGUCUUUUAUCAGUUCAAGCCACCUGCGCUGUCUCAAAUUCAAAUCUUUCUGUGUCAUCAAAUAUUUCAGGCUUUUAUGAUCAGUAUAAAUAUGACAUUUUUCACCAUACAAAUAAUACCGCCAUAUUUUCAAUGCAAAUACAAUAGCAGCAACUUAGAGAUCAUGUACCGGGUAAUUUCUUUCAUGUGGCUUAAGUUGUCUUGAAGCAUAGGCUAUUACUUUACCUUCUUGCAUCAAGACACAGCCUAAACCAUUUAAUGAUGCAUCACUAUAAAUAAUAAAUUCUUUACUCGGUUCAGGUUGUACCAACACAGGUGUUUUCGUCAACAAAUCUUUCAAUCGGUCAAAACUCUGCUGGCAUUUAUCAGUCCACUCAAAUUUAACAUCUUUCUGUAAUAAACGAGUUAUCGAAGAAGCUAUCAUAGAGAACCCCUGUACAAAUCUCCGAUAAUAACUGGCUAAACCCAAGAAACUUCUAACUUCAGAUACAUUCUUCGGUGGACUCCAAUUGACAAUAGCUGAGAUUUUACUCAAAUCUACCUUGAUGCCUUCUGCGGAUACAAUAUGUCCAAGAAAACCCACUUCUCGAAGCCAAAAUUCACAUUUACUGAAUUUAGCAUAUAGCUACUUCUCUCGCAGAAUUUGCAACACAAUUCUCAAAUGUUCUGCAUGCUCAUUUUCAUCUUGGGAAUAGACCAAGAUAUCAUCAAUAAAAACUACCACAAACCUGUCUAAGUACGGUCUAAAUAUCCGAUUCAUCAGGUCCAUAAAUACUGCAGGUGCAUUAGUCAGCCCAAACGGCAUAACAAGAAACUCAUAAUGCCCGUACCUGAUUCUAAAAGUUGUUUUCGAUACAUCUAACUCCUUUACCCGUAACUGAUAGUAGCCCAAUCGGAGAUCAAUCUUUAAAAAUACAGUGGCACCCUUCAACUGGUCAAACAGAUCGUCAAUCCGAGGCAAUGGGUACUUAUUCUUUAUAGUGACUUUAUUAAGUUGUCAGUAAUCAAUACAUAAUCUUAAGGACAUGUCCUUCUUUUUCAUAAAUAAAACUGGAGCACCCUAAAGUGAAUGACUUGGUCAGACAAAACCCCUGUCAACAAGUUCUUGCAACUGUGUCUUUAACUCCUUUAAUUCUGUAAGAGCCAUACGAUACGGAGCUAUAGAGAUUGGAGUAGUUCCCGGAAUCAGAUCUAUAGAAAAUUCCACUUCUCUUUCUGGUGGCAACCCUAGUAAUUCCUCUAGAAACACAUCAAAAAAUUCACAUACAAUUGGCACUGCCUGUAUAUUUAAUUGGCACUGCCUGUAUCUUUAACUCAGAUACCUUAGUGUUUAACACAUAUGCCAAAUAAGCAUCAUACCCUUUUCUGACACACCUCUGAGCUGUCAUAACCGAAAUCACAUUAGAUAAUUCUUCUGUCUGAUCAAAUUUAACCCGAAGUAAUUCUCUAUUCUAACACUUCAGCAUAAUAUAUUUCUGUCUACAAUUUACUACUGCAUCAUGCUGAGUUAGCCAAUCCAUACCCAAUAUCACAUUGAACUCAUCAAAAGGCAAUAACAUCAAGUCAACAGGAAAACAAAUACCUUUUACCAUCAGUGGACAAUUUUUACAAACUUUAUCCACCAUCAUAAACUGGCCCAGUAGGUUCGAGACUUUAACCACAAAUUCAGUAAGUUCAACAGAUAAAUUUUUAACAAAUACUAAUUUUGUGCAUAUGUAUGAAUGUGUAGAGCCAGGAUCAAUUAAUACAGUAAUAUCAGUAUCAAGUAAAGAAAAUGUACCAGUAAUAACAUCGGGUGCUGAGGCAUCUUCUCUAGCACGGAUGGCAUAUGUCCUAACAGGUGCUCGUGCCUCAGACCUGCCUGCAGUCUCUUUCGUAACUCCUCAGCUACCACUAACAUUACCAGAUGGUCGAGGUGGUCUACCCCUCGAAACUGGAUUACUCGGCUUCGAUGUAUGUUUAGCUUCUUUUUCACCCCUUUCUAGACAAUCUCUGAGGAAAUGAUCGGAAGAACCACAUCGAUAACAAGCCCCACUCUUUAAUCGACAUUCACCAAAAUGAGUUUUAUUACAGUACUGACAUCUCGGCUUAGGGGUACCAACACUACCAGCACUGGUCACUGAUGGAGUGGAAGGUCUUGGAUUAGUGCGUUGAAAACCUCGCUCUCUAAUCGAAUACCCACUGGCUGAGGUUGAACGAUCCUGGUAUUUCUUCAAUUUCUUUAAAGUAAAAAACUGGGAUUUUUCCAUAGAUGUUUUACUGAAAACCCGAGCUUCUCUUUCAGCUUGUUUCUUUUCUUUGCUCAAUUUUUUUGCUUUAUAAGCUCACUCUGCAAGGGUAGUAAACUCUCGAAUUUCAAGAAUUCCGAUCAAUAGCUUAAUUUUUUCAUCCAACCCUUCUUCAAAUCUUUUGCAUAUUCCAGCUUCUGAUUGUACCCAUUCCCAAGCAUAUUUACUCAAUCGGACAAAUUCUCUUUCAUACUCAGAUACUGAUCUGUUAUCCUGUUUCAGCUAAAAAAAUUCUUUUCUCUUCCGAUCGAGGAACCUCUGACUGAUAUAUUUCUUUCUGAACUCGGUCUAAAAGAAUUCUCAUUUAAUUUCUUCUUUUGGAACCACCGAAGCUUUAGUGUUUCACCAAUGAUAAGCUGUGUCUUUUAACAAUGAUACUGCACAUUUCAGACACUCUUCUGGCGUGCAAGAUAAUUCCUCCAAAACCCGAGUAGUAUUCUCUAACCAAAACUCAGCCCGUUUGGGAUCAUCAUCAACUGCAGCUCUGAAUUCUUCUGCCACAUAUUUUCUGAUUUUAUCAACCGGAGCUUUCCCUUUUUUGCUAGGUUCAAUACCUGUACCCUGUGAAAUCUCGGGAAUCGGUGGAGGAGGAGGAGGAGGAGGAGGAGCUUGAGCUUGCUGCACUAUAGGGUUAGUUUUUAUAUAUUGAGUAAAUCAUUCAUUCAUCAUUUGAUAGAAGGCAAUUUUAGCCUCUUCACUUUGGUCCCUUAUCUCGGACCUUCUACUACUAGUAGCUUCAACUUCUCUUUGUUCUGAAGCCGGAGCAUGACUCUCGGCUUCCUUGGGUUGAACUUGGUCGGCAGACAUUUACUAUAAGAAAAUCACAUUUCAAAUGGUCAGGAGAUAUCACACUAUCAAUAAGAAUUUAAAUCCCAUGUAUAGCUAAUCCAGUAUUUUCUACAUCGGUCCGAGAACUGACUAAAUCGUAGCUCUGAUACCAACAAAAUGUAACACCCCUUAACCAUAUCCGUCGUUGAAAUAGGGUACGAAGCAUUAUCAGAUUUUAUCGAAUUAAUUUUCUAUUAUUACGAGUUAAAUACUAUUCAUUUAUCGAAACAUGUCAUGACGUCCCUUGAAUGGGCCUCCGAAGCCCAAAACAUACAUCGAGACCAAACCGGGAUUAAAUCGAAACCAUAAGAAAUUUUUCGCAAAAUCCCAAAGUUUUUUUUUUAAAACUCAAUACAACCCCUUUAUAAAUAUCUAAUCUUCCCUGCAAUUUUAAACCAAGACCAAUCCAACACAACCAAUCCAUUUCAACAUACUUUCAAAAUAGAUUUAACAUAUUCAUAAGAUAACCUCAUCACAUACCAAAACCAAAAUUUGUUAGCCAUACCAAUGGCUAACCAUUCAUUCAUUUCACAUUAACAUUUACUUUACUAGCUUAUACAUGCCAUUGAUUUCUAAAAUAAAGUUUCUUUAUAUACCGAGAUCUUGAGGUUGAUAGUGUGAUGCGUCUCCGACCAAAUCCGACCUCCGAGCUCUUAACACUACAAAACAGGGGAAAAGGAAACAGGGUAAGCACUUUGUGCUUAGUAAGCUCAUGUAAUAAGAAUUAUACUUACCUAAUAUUUUCAAUACAAUACAAUACAAUACAAUAAACAUUCAUACAUCCAUUCAAUGCAUUAUUCCCCUAACAUGCACGAACUCAACAUUCAAGUUAGUUCAGUAAUUUCCAUGUAUCAAUAAUAUAUAUAUCACGAUUGAUAAGCUCAUCAAUUCCAUGAUUUCCAUUCCCUUGUUAUUUUUCCAUAUUUAUCCCGUUGAACUACUUGGAAUUUCGAUGGAUUUUCAGGGGUACACCUAAGUGUACAAAUCUGGGUUCGUCAAUUCAUAUUCAUGUGCGCACAUUUUCAUUUCAGAGAGCACACUCCCGUGAACCUCAUCCUUACAGCGGGAUUACCAGUCCAGGCUAAAUCCCCUGUAAUAUAAACUCAUAGAAUAUUGUCGGGAUUACCAGUCCAGGCUAAAUCCCCUGCAACGACAAUUACUCUAAUGAGCUUGGAUUUGAAUUACCAGUCCAAGCUAAAUUUAGACCCUAAUUUGGAAUACCCGUCCGGGCUAAAUUCAUUUUCCACAUAUUCUUUGAGAGGGCUGUAUCAGAAUAGGAUCACCCAUCCGGGCUAGAUCCUUUUUACCGUCAAUUCCUUUUCAGAGAUCCAUCGAAUUUUCCUUUCAUUCAACCGGGAUUUAUUUUCUCUUUUCAUCAAGAAUAUCAAUACUUCUUCAAUUAUCAUACAAUAAACAUCCAAAUCAUAUUCACAUCAAGAAAAAUAUAUUUCAAGCAUUUAAGAAUAUAAUUCAAGUUACACGAACUUACCUCGAUACUUGUUCGUAAAUAAAAAUCUACUAAUUCCAAACUUUUUCUUUUCCUCGAUCUAGCUUUGUAUUUGAAUUUUCUAGAUCUAAAUAAAUAAAUUUAAUCAUUAAUCUAAUACAUUUCAUGUUCAUAUGUAACAUUCUCUAUAAUUCCAUUAUUAUUUAUAGUUCAUUCAAAGCUGUCUCAUUGAGUCAUAGUCGCUAAAUUAUUUAUAUCUUGAGCUACGGAAUUCCAAAUUAAGAUCUGCUAAUUUUUCCCAAAACUAGACUCACAUAUCUUCUUACCAUAAAAUUUUCAGAAUUUUUAGUUCAGCCAAUAAGUACAGUUUAUUCUUUAAAGUUUCCCUUGUUUCACAGUUCAACAGUUUCGCCCCCUCUUCACUAAAAAUUAAUUAUCUCAUUGUACAGAAUUUGGAUGAUGUUUCCAUUUAUUUAUUCUAAAAAUAGACUCAUUAAGGAUUCUAAGCAUAUAAAUUAUAACUCAUAAUAAUUUUUUUACAAUUUUUAAUGAUUUUCCAAAGUCAGAACAGGGGAACCCGAAUUCAUUCUGACCUUGUCUCACAAAACCUAUUAUAUCUCAUUAUUUACAAUUCCAUUGACUACACUAUUUCUUCUAUAAGAAACUAGACUCAAUAAGCUUUAAUUCUAUAUUUUUUUCAUCCUCUAAUUCAAUUUACAAAAUUUAUGGUGAUUUUUCAAAGUUAACCUACGCAGCUGUCCAAACUGUUUUAAUGCAUGAUAUUAAUUACCAUUUUCCCCUAAGCUUUCAAUAAAUGAUAAUUUCAUCCUUACUCAAUUAACCUCUCAAUUGAGCUGAUUUUUCUCAAUUAACACAUUAUUCCAUCACUUUAAAGUACUUUAUAACCUUUGGAAAUCAGAAUUUUAGCACUAGACUUUAAUUCCAAACUUUUUCACAAUUAGGUCCUACAAAUCAAUUUUUAUUGAAAUUACCUAAUAAAAUCAUCUCAUAAACAAAUUAAAGCUUUAAUUUCAUGCUAUAUCAUCAUAUAUUUCCAGCACAUAUUCAUAGCAACUUUCAAUUUAGUAAUAGGACCUAGUUGUAAAAGUCUUAGGAACAUAAAAAUUACAAGAAAAAAAGCAAGGAUUAACUCACUUGGUGAAAAAAUCAUGAAAAACCAGCUUGAAUAAACCCUUAGGACAUUUUUGGCUGAUGAGAAUGCAGAAAAAUAAAGAGAAAUCUAGAUAAUUCCACUUUAGUCCUAACUUUUAAAGUGAAUUUUUGCAAUAUUCCAAUUUUACCCUUAAUUCUCCAAUUCUCCUGAUUUUUCUCAGCUUGUGCCGCCCAAAAUAUCUUCUUUUGGGCUUAUUUCAAUUUAUGUCCCUCCUCAUUUAACAAUUGAGCUAUUUAAUCCUUCUAGUAACUUUUACACCUUUUUCAAUUUAGUCCUUUUCACUUAAUUGACUGCCCAAACAUUAAAAUUUUCUAACAAAAUUUUAAUAUCAUAUUAAUAACAUUUCAUAAAUAUUUAUAAAAAUAUUUUUGACUCAGUUUUACGAGAUUGAGGUCUCGAUACCUUAUUUUUACCCAAUUUCUUCAAUAAUUUCUUUUUCUAACUAACCACUAAAUCGGUAAAAUUUUUCUAUCGAUAUUUUCAUACGAUUUUUCUAUCAUAUCAAUAUUCAUGCAAAAAUAUUAAAAUAAAUUUCUCUUUAAAUCAGAUUUGUGGUUACGAAACCACUGUUCCGAUAACCUUGAAUUUAGGCCAUUACAACUCCGACCAGUCGUCACCGCGCCGGCCGCCGGUCACCAAUGACGGCGCCGCCGUAUUCGGUGGCUGAAAAAAGGUAAAACCUCCAACCCUAUCCUUUCGACCCUCCUAAAUCCAAAUCUGGGUUCAAAAUUCCCAAAAUAUUAACAAAAACGCCCCAAAAGCUCAAGAAACCUUUCAGUUUUCGGCCACCUAUCCUCGAAGGUGACUUCCUCAGCCGUCCACGGCGUUGAAAAACCCAAAUACAGGUUAGUUUGUUACUCCAUUUUUCCUUUUGUUUUACUUUCGUAUGUGUAAAUAUGAUAAAAAUAAAAUAACAGUAGACCAAAAAUGAAACGAAGAUUUAGAAAAUAGCAGUAGAUGUAAACCUUUCGAGAUUUUUCUAUUGAUUUUGAGUUCUCUGAGUAUUCAAUCCCUUUUUUUAUUACAUUUAUUGAUGGGGCCUUUUAUAGCCGAUUUACAUGUUUUUUUUUCUUUCGCUUCUGUUCUUGUUGCUUCUGUGUUUGUCUAUUUUCUGUCCUGUUUGCAGGUCUUGGCAAGGUCAACAGACAUUGAAGGGAUAACCCCUGCCAUUUUGGUGCAAGGCCGUAGACGCCUGUCAGGCUUUGGGCGAUGAGUGCGCUGCAGGGGCACGAAGAGGGAGUGCGGCGCACAUGGAGCACUAGGGUUUCAGUUUUCCCCUGAAAGCAGUUUGGUUGUGGGCUGAAUUGGGUUAGGUUUUUUUAUUUUGGGCCAUACCAGGCUUGGCAUGUAAUUGGGGUUUGGGUUUGUUAUUGAGUUUUGGGCCCGGGCAAAAAUGGCCUAUUACACAAAUAAUAAAAAUUAAAAUCAAAUCAUCAUAUUUAUUAUAUUAGUCUAAAAAGCAACUGAUAAUAUAAUUGCUAAUAAAAGCUAAAAGAAAAAUCAACAUUGUAUGCAAUUUUAUCUAAUUAUUCUAGUGCAUAUUUGUUGCUUUAUUCCCUCUUCAAAAUUUAACAUAUGCUCCUUAUUAUCGUCUGUUGGUUUUUGAUCAAAUUCGUCAUCACCAAAAUUUGAAUUUGUAUCAUUAAGAUUAUCAAGAUUUCCUUCUUUCAUGUACUCUUUGAAGUAUGGAUCAUCUUGAUUCUACUUAUAAUUCAAGUUAUGAAAUAUGCAAUAUGCUAGUGUCAUGGGGUUAGACCUUUCAUCUCGCAAAUUGUGUGGCCUUAGACAAUUUCUUCGCUUCAAAUGUGUCUAAGUCAGCCUAACUUUCGCAAAGUGAGAAUUCUCGCAGAAUUCCUCUCUAAGGCAUUGAAAAUAUAGUGGAAGCAAUCUCAAAGACAAAAGAAAGCUAAAAAAAAACAUAAUAGCCACAAAAAAAGUAAAAGUACACCAAGUUAAAUGUUCUCAAUUAGUAUUUACUAAUAAAAAAAUGAAAUACAAUGGAUGAUUACAAAUUAGGGGAGGCUCUCUAUUUAUAGUUGAGUUCUCCCAAAACGGAAGAUAUAGAUUGAGUUACAUCGACGGAUGAGAUCGAAGCAUAUCUACAAUUAAGAGAUAAUCCCCAAGAUUACAAAAUUAAAUCUUAUCAUAUUACAAAUCUUCUAAGAUUUAUUUCCCUAUUUACCAAGGUAACCCUAAUUUUCCAUAAGUGCUUUGUUAGGCCACCAAGGCUUUAAGUAGAUGGGUUUCGUCACUUGUUCUUCAAAUUGGACCAAUUCAAGUGGGUUAAAUGAGGCCUAUUUUAUAUGUAGACCUCAAUAGGAUGCUCUUUGUGCCUUGGUCACGAGCUUUGAACCGUGGCCUGUGACACUAGUAUGAUCCAAUCUUUUUUUUUUAAAUGUUAUAUAAAUAUGAAAAAUAUUUUUUUUAGAAUAACAAAUGUCUUCUCAACUAAAAUUUGAAGUAGUGGUGGAUCCUAGGACAAAGUUUUGGGGUCAAAAAGAUCUUAGGAGUUUAAUAAGGAUUUUUUUUAAAAAAAUUUGGGAACUAAUUAAAUUUUUUUGAGAUUGAUGAGAAUUUUCAAAAUUUUGAGGGGGUGUGAUUAAAAUUUUCUAACAAUUUCAAGAGAGAAAUGAACAAAAAAAAAAAAUUUCUUCCUUUUCUUCUAUGUUGCAUCCAUUGAAAUGAGCAAAAAGGAAUAAAUCAAUUUUGAUUUUAGGGUUCCAAAUCUUAAAUGAAAGUAAGAGUUUGAAAACACAAAAUAUUAAUUUCCUUACUACAGGUUGAAAUUACGUGGAAUUAUUAUAAUUAGGUACCAAAAUGAAAAAGAAACCAUACCAAUAUUUCGUUAACAAAUUAAUAAAGAGUGGUUAAAAGAUAACCAAAUGAUAAUAUUAAUGAUGAAAGUGAAAGUUUUUUCGUAGUUCGAUGAUCAAAAUAAGAAAUGCUAAUAAUUAAGUUUGGAAGUAAUAAUAUUUAUAUGAUAAUAAUAAAUUUCAAAAGAAAAUUAUUUUUAAAAAAAUUGUAAUUAUAACAAUUUAAAUAUAUAUAAAAAAAGCAUCCAACAAAUAUAUCGAAAUAUUGCAAUAAAAGGAUGAAGAAAUCAUAAUAUAACCAUACAUGAAUUAGAAAUCAUUUUAUUUCAAAUAUAAAUGAAAUUUGAUAAUGAAAUAAAUUAAAUUAAACAAAUUAUAAAGUAAGAUAUGAAUAUAUAUAUAUAUAAGUUGUGAAAAAUUUUAAAAUAAAAUAAAAAAUUGUUCUAGAAAUCAUUGACUCUCACGUUCCACCCUCUUUUAUUUAUUAAUUAAUUAUAUUUUUUACUCUUCCACGGUCCUUUAUUUUUUGAAAGGAAAUCUCAUUUGGCUUGACACAAAAGUCAUACAUAAUAUUUGUUGUAUAUAGACUUAUUUCAAAUGUUUGAAUUUUCCAAAAACACACACACACAAAGUCGAUGUGGAAUUAAAAUUUUGGUGCCAAGGUCCACUACAUUUUCCACAACCACUAUAAUUAGACUAGAAUUAUCUCUCCGCGUACACUUGGGUUUAAAAUUUUUAAUUAAAAUUUAUUAUAAUCUUAACAUAGAAAUUAAAUUUGUGAUUAUUUUUAUAAUAGAAUAUAAAGUCUUAAAUUAUAAUGACAACAUAGUUGAGAAAAAUAUUUUAAUUUUAAAAAUGUAUAAAAACUGUUAAUUUUUUUAUUUAUUUUGGGACUAUUUGACAAAAAAACGUAAAUUUAAGGGCUAAAAAAGGUAAAAUAAAUAAAAAUAUAUGGAGACCUAAAAUGAUUUUUUUUAAAAAUAAAACUUUCAUAUUGUUAGUUUAAUGACUAAUGUUAUAAUUUAACCUUUAUUUUUGAAAGGGAAUCUCACUUAAAACGAUCCCACCACUUAGACUACAGUGGCGAAACUAGGACUGGUAAGGGCCCCUUAAAAUGAAAAUUUUUUCAUAUAGUCCCUUUAAAAUUUUUAAAAUUUUAAAUUAGUAAAGGUAAAAUUGUACUUUGGUCUCAUUUAAAAAUAUAAAAAUUUGAUUAAUAAACCUUUAUAUUAAUAUGUACAAAUAAUUUAUAAAUUAAAAAAUUAUCUUUUUAAAUAUAUAAAGUAAAUUUAUAAAUUAAAAAAUUUAUAAAAGAUGGAAUUACUUAAUAUAUUUAAUUUUCCUUUAAAUGAAACAAAUUAUUUGUUGACUUAUUACAUUUAUUCCGUAUGAUUUAAUUUUAAAUUUUAUUUUUUAAUCUUCACAGAAUUAUUAGAUACUUUAAGCAACUUAGAGAAGCUUGACACGAAUCGUAAUGAGGUGAAGGAAUUUGUGCCCAUAAAGAAUAAAAAUAUAUGCAUCAACUAAAUAAUAUAAAUUAUUUAAAAAUAAAACACUUUUCAUUAUUUGAUAGAUUCAUUGAUUACCAAAUAUACGAUAUUUCAAAAAAAAAACAAUUAAAGAAAUCCAGCACUUGAAAGUGCUGAUAGAGCAAUAAUUUGAAGCAGUUAAGAAACUUGUAGGAAGGGUAUAGAAAGAAGGUUGGAGGCUUGACGCCAAAAGUCACCAUAGUGGUCUGCUUAGAUCGUUUGGGGCGACUGAAUUUUCCACAUUGAAAACGAAGCCACUAUUGCUACGAAGACCCUUGAAUUUUCCACAAAGAAUUUAUCCCAUAAAUAGAAUUUAUCAUUACAUUAUAUCAAAUUAUGAAUAAUUCAGAGAUUUGCACAUGUACCUUUUUAUUUUAUUUUAUUUUUUCUUUUUUAUUAUUAAAUUCUUUUGAAGCAAAUAAAGAUAAAUUUAUUAUUUUAAAAUUAAUUAAUUAAAAUACUCAUAUUUUUAAAAUGUUAUCAUGGAAGGAGACUCUUUCAUUGUCAAAAUCCAAACAAAAGGAGGAAGAUUUCAUAGAUGGACAACUAGAACUAAACCUGUUUAAUUAUAAGUCGGAUCAGGCCUGCUCAAAAAGUGAGAGGGUUUGAGUAAAAUUAUAACCUUAAAAAAUGGGUUUAGACAAAAAAAUAAUGUCUGUUUAAAAACGGAUCAGACUUCAGGUAAGGCAUUUUUCACCCGAGUCCAAUCCGAAUUCACAAAAUGACAAAAAAAUCUACUAUUUUUUGUUAUUUUAAUUCUAUUUUCUUGUUAUUUUCUUCUUAUUUUGUUACCAUUUCACUAUUAUGUUAUUACUAUUUUGUUGUUAUUGUUUGGAUAUUAUAUAACACUUGUUUUAUUGUUAAUUUUGUUAUUCUUUUAGAGGCAUUUGUUUGUUAAGUUGCAUCUAUCUUAGUGUUAUUUAAGUAUACGUAUUUUUUAAAAUUUAUUUUUACUUUGUUGGAAAAUAUUUAAUUUAAUGUUUUUAGUAUUUUUGAUGUAUUAUAUAUAUUUAAAAAUUAUAUAAAAAUAAUAUAAAAAAUUAAUAUGGGCAGGUUGGGCCCGGGCCUAAAUUUUUGUUUGGGCCCAGUCGAACCCAACCCAUGAGCAUCUCUAUGGAGAAGCAAGAAAUGAAACUUUAUUGAUAAGUGUCAAAAGUAACAUAUUUUAGUCUCAUCCUUAAUAUUUUUUUUAGGUGAUUAUGUGACAUUAAUUGUGAAAUAUAUAUUUCUAAUCUUUUAUAUUCAUGUUUUGAUACUUAAUAAGGCGCUUGAAAAUAAUAUGAGUGAUAAAUAGUGGAAAUUAGAACUUUGAAGUAUUCCAGACGCUACGCACAUGCAUCAAAUUUUCACACAAACAAUUUAUGAUUUUUAAGUUUUUUUAGCAUUCUAACAACAUAUAAAUAAGGAAAUAAGAAGGGAGGAAGACAACCACGAAAUUACCUUCAGAACAUUAUUAAAGCCUAUUAAAUUAAAUUUUCUAACUCCUUUUGAAUUUGUAUUAGCAAAUUCAAAUAUAUUUACUCCAAAAUUAAAUUCGUCGUUUUUCUCUUCUAUUUUAUUUUAAUUUCUAACAUCUUAUUAAGUCUUUACAAUCUUGUUAUUAUUUUUCAAUCCAUAAUUUGUUAUUGAUGGGUGUCGAUUCCACCAAUAUAAACCUACGCCUAAUUUGCAAAUUUAAGCAGUAUAGGAAGUAGAGUUGAUCCCUUAGAGACUGGGUUUACUGCAAAUUAUUGCUCUCUUGACCAGAUUUAUAUCGGGGCAGUUGUCGUGCUCAAGAAGUUCGGGGGGAUAAAAUUUGAAACCUGAAAUAAAUAAAUAAAAUGCGUAAAAAGUAAAAGUUGAAAAUAAAAUAAUAAAAAGCAGUUAAAUAAAUCUGAAGAAAAAUGAAUUAAACUAAGCUCAGCUUUAGGCACGGGUUUUUCUCGUCUUUGAACUGAUCCUCGAAAUUAGAUGAACUCCUCUUUUCCAAUAAACUAGUUAUAGCUACCAAGGACGCCUCGGACACCAACUCUUCCUUGUGUAAAUUAGUUAAGAAACGUCCAAUAACUAACCCUUACCGAUCGAACAACCAACGAAAUGUUCAUGAUUUAGAACUCCGGCAGCUUUGCGUUCUAGAAGAUUCUAGCUCGAACCAAUGCCCUCAACCGCGUGGGACAUUUAAAUCUGGUUACUACUUCCCUUAACGGAACCAAACAGCAAUCCCCACUUGGCACGCCAAUGUGUUCACAGAAAACCGAUUAGACAAUCGAUCCUUUCGAAAUUCCAACUGUACGUCUAACCACACUAACUCAAACGACGUCUUUUUUGACUUAGUGUUGAUUUGACUUUGUGAGUUGACGAAGUCAUACUCUUAAUCCGGAGAAAUAAUAAGUACUGGAAUUUAGGAGUCAAAUUGCUCGGGUUCGUAACUCACGGAUCUUAACGAAGUUAACACCGGCCUAAAGCUGAAAUGGAUACUUAAUAAAAAAAUUGGUAAUUAAAAACUUGAUUAAUGACUUGAUUCAAGACUUGAUUCCUAAAUGAACAAUGUAGCCCCCUAUUUAUACUAGUGGCUUUGCUAAAUUAAGAGCCACUAGCCAUAGAGAAUCAAGGAAAUAAAAUAUUCCAUCAUAUAAAAAUCCCUACAUAAUCUCCCACUAAUUAAGUCAACAAAAAUUUCAGCUAAUUAUAUCUUGGAAAAUUUUUGCUUUGGCCCGCCUUCUUUGCUCUUUUCUUCAAUCUAGCCCAAUUGCUUCUCCUUUUUCUCUUUUGACCCCAAAUUGUACACCUGUGUAAAAUUUAAGUUAAACAUGGAAAAAUUAGUGGUGCACUCUCGUAAAUUAACCAAUUUAAUUACAUAAAAUAUGUAAUUUUAGCAUUUAAUCAAAUCCCUCUACUUAUUUAAUGCUAGUCCUCGAGCAUUAUGCAUGUAUCUACAAAAGGAAAAAUUUCUUCUAAAAUAGGACUUGACUCCCAUGGUUUGCACAAUUCAACAAUUUAAUCCUAGCACAUUAACAUCUCAAAUAACCUAGCCUAAGAAGGAAGUAAAUAUAUUUCAGAAUUUAUUAGAGCUUGAUAGACUUACCUUUCAUUUUAUUAUUUUUGUACUUGGGACAUUUUCGAAUUUUUUGACGCGAGACAUGAUGACAACCCAAGCACCAUGUUCCGGUUACUUGAUUCGGAUGUCUCUAAGCGGGAUAUUUCACCCUACUCGUGAUAGCUUGUUAGCGGAGUGAGUGCAAAGAAAUUGGACAGCCACAUGAACCUUUUUACGUGAGAUGUGAUGACAACCCAAGCACCACGUUCCGGUUACUUAGCCCGAUGUACAACCCCAAUUUUUCACUCUUAACAUUCGUAUCAGAGGAGUAUUAUUAUUCAUUUUUUCUUUUUUUUUUCCUUUUUUUUAAGACAAGAAGACAGAAAAUUGACAUGUGAUAUAAGGUAGGCAGUCAAGCAAACUCAUAAUUCGUAAAAAUUUCUUACCCACUAAGUCUAGGUUAUUGAAAAGUUUAUGUGUAAAGAACUAAAUGGCUAAAUAGGUCAAACCAUAAGUGUUCCAUCCCAAUUUAUCAAAAGAAAAAAUUUUACCUUUCACGGAAAACAUGCAAAAACAGCGACAAUGGAUAAGCAAAAUAGAACCAAUAUAUGUUCCUUUCCCCCUACUUGUUUUACAUUGUCCCUAAUGUAAUUUGAAUUGAAUUAAAUGAUAAAAAGUAAAGGUAAGUAGGGAAAGGAAAAAGAAACUCCCCAUGUAUUUCAACGUCAUGGAGGGUUGCCUCGUAGGUGUGUCCACGGUGUUAAAUAGUGGGUAGGUGGAUUGGGCCUUGGCUGAAAUUAAAAGAAUUUUAUGGGCUGACAUGGGAGAUUUAAUUUUGUCUUGGAAUGUCUCCCAAGUCUUCCCUUAGACAGAACUGAUCCUCGACAUGCAUUUUCAUUUUCCGUUUACCAAAAAUUUUAUUUGCAUAAAGGGAAAAAUUUGGGUUGCCUCCCAACAGCGCUUUGUUUAACGUCGUUAGCUCGCCGAUCUGUUAUUCAAAUUCUGGGCUCCCCAAGAACAAUUGUAAGUGUUGCCAGUCCCCAGCAACAGCGCCAAAACUGAUGGGUGUCGAUUCCACCAAUAUAAUCCUACGCGUAAUUUGCAAAUUUAAGCAGUAUAGGGACUAGGGUCGAUCCCUCAGAGACUGAGUUUACUGCAAAUUGUUGCUCUCUUGACCAGAUUUAUGUCAGGGCAGUUGUCGUGCCCAAGAAGUUCGGGGGGAUAAAAUUUGAAACCUGAAAUAAAUAAAUAAAAUGCGUAAAAAGUAAAAGCUGAAAAUAAAAUAAUAAAAAGCUGUAACACCCCUUACCCGAGACUGUUGCUGGAGUCGAGCACGAGGCAUUACCUGACUUACUUACUAAUUCGGAGCAUAAAAUUUGCUUUUAAAAUUAAUUCAUUCACAAUCAAUCCAUAUGUCCCUAAAAGAACUCUCGAGACCCCAAAAUCAUGUAAUAAAAAUGGUUCGGGUCCAAACCGGGAACAUUUAUAAUUUUCCGAAUACUUAAUCAAAUUAAAACAAUUUAUUUCACUAUUCACAAUAAAACUGUCCACCUGCGCAGCAGUCACUUAUUUAAUUAUAACUCGAGUUACGAAACUCAAAAUUUAGAUUCGUAAAUUUUCCCUGAAACUAGAAUCAUAUAUCUUUUUCACUGUCCAGCCAAUUAGUACAGUUUAUUCUUUAAAUUCUCCCCUGUUUCACUGCUCGACAGCUCUGACCCCUCUUCACUAAAAAUUAAUUAUCUUAUUGUACAGAAUUCAGAUAAUAUUAUCGUUUGUUUCUAUUGAAAAUAAAAUCACUAAGGAAUCUAGGCAUAUAAAUUAUAACUCAUAAUUCCUUCUAUACAAUUUUUAAUGAAUUUUUAAAGUCAGAACAGGGGACUUCAGAAACCAUUCUGACCCUGUCUCACUAAAAUUCAAAUAUCUCAUAAUAUAUAACACUUUUUCUACUCUAUUUCUUUCAUGUGAAAAUAGACUCAUUCAGAUUUAAUUUCCUAUCUCACUCAGGUUCUAAUUCAAUUUAUUCUAUUUUUGGUGAUUUUUCAAAAUCACGUCACUGCUGCUGUCUAAAAACUGUUUCAUUGCAAAUUUUUACUCUCUUUUUUGGUGAUUUUUCAAAAUCUGAAGAAAAAUGAAUUAAACUAAGCUCAGCUUUAGGCACGGGUUUUUCUCGUCUUUGAACCGAUCCUCGAAAUUAGAUGAACUCCUCUUUUCCAAUAAGCUAGUUAUAGCUACCAAGGACUCCUCGGACACCAACUCUUCCUUGUGUAAAUUAGUUAUGGAACGUCCAAUAACUAACACUUACCGGUCGAACAACCAACGAAACGUUCGUGAUUUAGAACUCCGGCAGCUUUGCAUUCUAGAAGAGUCUAGCUCGAACCAAUGCCCUCAACCGCGUGGGACAUUUAAAUCCGGUUACUACUUCCCUUGACGGAACCAAACAGCAAUCCCCACUUGGCACACCAAUGUGUUCACAGAAAACCGAUUAGACAAUCGAUCCUUUCAAAAUUCCAACUAUACGUGUAACCACACUAACUCAAACGACGUUUUUUUUUACUUAGUGUUGAUUUGACUUUGUGAGUUGACGAAGUCAUACUCUUAAUCUGGAGAAAUAAUAAGUACUGGAAUUUAGGAGUCAAAUUGCUCGGGUUCGUAACUCACGGAUCUUGACGAAGUUAACACCGGCCUAAAGCUGAAAUGGAUACUUAAUAAAAAAGAUUGGUAAUUAAAAACUUGAUUAAUGACUUGAUUCAAGACUUGAUUCCUAAAUGAACAAUGUAGCCCCCUAUUUAUACUAGUGGCUUUGCUAAAUUAAGAGCCACUAGCCAUAGAGAAUCAAGGAAAUAAAAUAUCCGAUCAUAUAAAAAUCCCUACAUAAUCUCCCACUAAUUAAGUCAACAAAAAUUUUAGCUAAUUAUAUCUUGGAAAAUUCUGCUUUGGCCUGCCUUCUUUGCUCCUUUCUUUCUUCAAUCUAACCCAAUUGCUUCUCCUUUUUCUCUUUUGACCCCAAAUUGUACACCUGUGUAAAAUUUAAGUUAAACAUGGAAAAAUCAGUGGUGCACUCUCGUAAAUUAACCAAUUUAAUUACAUAAAAUAUGUAAUUUUAGCAUUUAAUUAGUUAUUUAUUAGUUUAGAUUUUUUUCUAUGUUGAAUAUAUUUUAGUAAAUAAUAUUUCAUAUUUAACUCUAAAUUUGUUUUUUUAAUAAUAUACACUAGUUAUUCAAUAUAAAUUAAUGUAUCUAAUAAAAUAUAUUUUAAAAUCUAUAUUUUAAAUAUUUUAAGAUUAGAAACCUAAUUUAAAUUUAUUCAAAAGGACAUUUUAAUUAUUAAGUAAUUUAAUUUUAUAAAUAAUUAUAUAUAUCUAUUUGAACAACAAAUACAUAGUAUAUUUAAAAUAUAAUUAAUUAAUUAAAAAUAUUAUUUUCUAUCAUUGUUUUUAUGUAUCUACUUAAAUUUAAAACUAAAAGGAUGUAUGAUAAUGAAUAAGAAAAAUAAUCAAUUAUUUUAUUGAAAAUAAUUCAACUCUAAUUUAAGAUUAAAUAAAGACAGAUGAAGGCUAUUAUAUUAGAAUUAACUUUUUUUUAGUUUUUAUAUAAUUGGAAUUUACUAAUAUGAAGUAAAAAAAAUGCAUUUUAAUAUUGUAACAUUCAUUUACUUUAUAUCAACAAAAUGUUCAACCUUGAAAACAUUAGUUAUGAUUUUUUUUUUGAUAUAUUUACUCAAAUGAUAAAAAUAUUAAUUGAUGUAAAUAAAUAAAAAAUGAUGCAUUUGCAUUUGGUAAGAUUUAAUUAAACAAUAAAAUGUUUUUUUUAUUCUCAUUGAAUAAUUUACUUAUAAAAAUAAUUGUUUCAAAACAUGAAUAUCAGAUCAUAUCUAAUUACCUACAAUAUGAAAUGAGAAAAUUCAUAAAUUUAUUUACUUCAAUUGAAUAAAUUCAAAAAAAAAAUAAACUAAAUAUUCUUAUAUAAAACAUUUACUUUAUAAUUUUUUAAUAAAUUUCAUAUAAUUAUUUGUAAUUAAAUCUAAUAUAAAUAAAAAGACAAACCCGCAGAGCGGGGUUAUAUCCCUAGUAUAGUAAUAAAAUCAAUGCAAUGGGACCCAACUUUUGGAAGAAGAGAGGAUUUCAAGUUGUCUAUAUAGGCUUUGGUUGAUUGAAAUGCAGGAAGGUAUCAAGUGAGUGGUUUGUUGAUUUAGAGAAGAUGGAGGCUAAAUCGUUGUGGGUACUACUCGCUACACUUGUGUUUAUCAUACAAGGGUGGCCACAGACUGAGGGGUGCUUGGAGCUGGAGAGAAUUGCUCUCUUCCAACUCAAAUCUAAUUUCUUCAAUCACCCUUCAUAUUUGAAGGACUGGGUAGAUGUGAAGGGUUCGAAUUGUUGUCAGUGGGAAAGAAUUGAGUGCAACAUCACCAGUAACCGAGUAAUUGGUCUCUAUCUUUAUUCUGUACGUCAAAGUGAUACAUAUGGGUAUCUCAAUAUCUCUUUAUUUCUUCCAUUUGAAGAAUUAAAGAAUCUUUAUUUGAGUGACAAUAAAAUUACAGGUCUUGUGAAUAACCAAGGUUUAUUGCUUUUCUUCUCUCCAAUGACUGAUUCAUCUUUAAAAUUUGAUUUAAUGUUUUCUAAUUAAUUCGUUUAUUUUACAGAUGAGAAAGUGCAAUCGAUGAUGAAUCUGGAAGUGCUUGAUUUGUCUCGUAAUCUCUUGAAGAACAAUGAUGUGGCAUUUCUUAAGGGGUUAGCUAGUUUAAAGUCCUUGAAUAUGGGAGGAAACCAAUUGGAAGGGUCAAUAGGUAUUACAGGUAUGUAAAAUUUCGUAAAAUAAAAAUAACAAGCUAUACGUAAAUUACAAUUUCAUGAAUCUUUUUAACUAUUAAAAAAUUAUAUCCAAAUAUAUUUCCUUCAUAUAGGUAGUAAAAUAAAGGCAUAAUGAUUUUUUUGACCUUCCAACUUUAUAAAAAAAAAUCAUUUUUAGUCCUUAAUUAAAUUUUUUGUCUAUUUUAGUCUUUACACAUGUUUUUUUUUUCAAAUCACGCCAAAAUAGAUGGUUGGUAAUGUGGCAAACAUGUGGAUUUCCAUGUAACUGACAGAUCAUUUAAUUAAAUUUUUUUAAAAUUUAAGUUUUUUUAAAUUUCUAUUUUUUAAUAGUUUUAAUGAUGUUUAAUUUUUAAAAAUACUUUUUAUAUUUUUUUGAAUUUUUCAGUUUAAAAAAAAAUUAAAUGCUGACGUGUUAUCCACAUGACAAUCCAUGUGUAUGUAAUGUCAACAAAGUUUUAAAAUGUUAAUUUUUUUAUUCACUUUAAGAUAAUUUGACAAAAAAAUACAAGUUUAAGGAUUAAAAACAUGAAAAAUUAAAUGGAAGCAUAAAAUAAUUUUUUUUUAUAAAGUUGAAAGGUUAAAUAAGUUAUUAUGCUUAAAAUAGAAUGUAUUUGAUGACUUUUUUUUAUCAAGGAAAGUAGUUGGAUUUCAUGAACCAAAAUUACUUAAUCUUUGUCAUAUGACUUUGUUUGAGUGACAAAAAAGAUAUUUGAUUGAUUUGAAUAGUAUUGAAUAACUUGACAAAGCUAAAGGAGUUGGAUUUGAGUGGCAAUAAAAUUGAGAGCCUGAAAUCUCCUCACGGUAUGUGUUGAUUUACUUUACUUUCUCAUAUUCUCGCAUAUACAUUCCAAUAUCUCAUUUAAAAUUCUAUUAGUAAUAAAUUUGCUUAUCUAAAUGCUUUGUAGAGGGGCUAGUUAAUUUGACUAAUUUAGAAGAACUUAAUAUGGAUUACAACUACUUCAAAAACAACUCAUUGGCAUAGCUUAGUGGGUUUUCCAAUCUAAAGUUAUUGAGUAUAAGCGAAAACCAGCUUAAAGGAUCAAUAAAUAUUAAAUGUGGAAUUACUUAAUAUAUUUAAUCUUCCUUUAAACAAAGCAAACUAUUUGUUGAAUUAUUGUCUUUAUUAUGUGUGAUUUAAUUUUAAAUUUAAUUUGUCUAUUUUUAUAGAAUUAUUAGAUGCUCUGAGCAAUUUAGAGUCACUGAGAAAAAUAUUUUAAUUUUAAAAAAUGUAUAAAAUUUAUAUAUUAUCUCUUGAAUAAUUUAAAUUAUAAUGAUAUUUUUAAUAUAUUAAAAUUAAUAUAUUAUCACUUUUACUAUUAUAUAAAAAAUUAUAUUAACAUAUAAAAAUCAUUUAUAAAUUAAAAAUUUAUCUCUCUAAUAUAUUAAGUAAUUUAUAAAUUAAAAAAUUUAUAAAAAUUUUGAUGUUGAGAGACUUGGUAAGUGUCCAUAUAUUUUACUUUAUCAAAUUGCUACAUUUAUUAUACUAAUAUCUAAAUGCUUUGUAGAUACAAUUUAAAUCUCAUUAAUUAAUUUUUUAUUAAUAUAUUAUAGUUUUUUAAUUUAAAAAUUCAAUCUAAAUAUUAAAUGUUGUUAUAAGUGUAUAACAAUCACUUAUCUAUAACAUCCAAUAGUGGUUAUACAAAAGUUGACUAUAAGUGAAUUUUUGUGACUAACAAAAAAUGUAUUGAAUUUAUUUGGAUAGUAUUGAAUAAUCUGACAAAGCUAAAGCAGUUGGAUUUGAGUGACAAUAAAAUUUGAGAGCCUCCAAUCAUCUCAUGGUAUGUGUUGAUAUAUUUUACUUUAUCAUAUUCUUACAUAUACAUACCAAUAUCUUAUUUAAUAUUCCAUUAGUAAUAAAUUUGUUUAUCUCAAUGCUUUGUAGAUGGUGAGAGGCCACUUAAUGUAACCAAUUUAGAAGAGCUUAAUUUGGAUUCCAACUCCUUCACAAACAGCUUAUUGGCACAGCUUAGUGGGUUUUCCAAUUUAAAGUCACUAGAUAUAGGGUAUAACCAGCUUAAAGGAUCAAUAAAUAUUAAAGGUGGAAUUACUUAAUAUAUUUAAUCUUCCUUUAAAUGAAAUAAACUACUUGUUGAGUUAUUGCAUUUAUUCUAUGUGAUUUAAUUUUAAAUUUUGUUUGUCAAUUUUUACAGAAUUAUUAGAUGCUUUAGGAAACUUAGAGGAGUUAGACAUGAGCGGGAAUGAGGUGAAGGAAAUUGUGCCCAUAAAGAAUAAAGGUAUAUGUAUCAACUAAAGGAAAUCUUACUAAUUGUUUUCCAUUAGAUAUCAAGUGAACUGAUUCCAACCACUAAUUUGACUCUUAGACAAUGGAAGUUUGGGAAAGCUAAAGGUUGCUACAUUAAACCGUGUGUUCACCGAUGGAACUGCUUCUCUAAUACAACUUCUAGAGACAUUCUCAUCUGUUAAUACAUUAUAUUUGAGUGACAAUUACUUCAACGACACCUUUUCUACUCAAGGUAUAAUAUAUAUGUAUGUGAAUAUAUAGUUUUAUAGUUUGGUUCCAUUUAAAAAUAUUAUUUACUUAACGUCAAUCAUCUAAAUAACUCUUAUAAAUUUGUAAAGAUAAAUUGCAUGUGUCGAGCAAAAUUGAGGAAUUAGUACUAGAUCAAUCAUCUCUCAACAACAACAUUCUUCAAAGUAUUGGUGCAUUGGCUUCUCUUAAAAUUGUCUUUGAGUGGUUGUGGGCUGUCUGGGACAUUACCUACCCAAGGUAAAUUAAUAAUUAUGACAUAAUUAUUUAGACAAGCUCUUGAUUAAUUAUUUUUUAUCCUCCUAGAAUAUUUAAAUAAUUUGUACAAAUUUAUUUUACAGGAUGGUGUGAUUUACGGAAAUUUGAGGUGUUGGAUCUUAGUGAAAAUGCUCUUAAAGGAACCCUCCCUUCAUGUUUGGCUAACUUGUCAUCACUUCAUUAUUUGGAUAUUUCCGGUAAUCAAUUCGUCGGGAAAGGUGCCUCCACUGCCUUAGCCAAUCUCAAUUUGCUUAAAUUCAUUUCUCUUUCACGAAACCUUUUCGAAGUUCCUUCCAUUUUCAUAUCUUUUGCCAACCAUUCACACCUCAAAGUACUCUCCAGCAAUCAAAACAAGUUAGUCGAAGAGCCUACCAUUCCAACAUGGGUCCCAAAGUUCCAACUAAAAGCCUUCCGUUUGUCAAAUUGCACAACAAAGGAACUCCACAUUGAACUUUCGAAAUUCCUCUAUUACCAAAAUAACCUGAGUAUUAUUGAUCUUUCAUAUAAUAAUUUUGAAGGAAAGGUUCCUUUUUGGUUGUUAGAGAACAAUACAAGAAUGGAAGCAUUUUUAAUGACGGGUAACUCUUUUAUGAGUCAUCUCAAUCUUCCAUCUCAUCCGAAUCCAAACAUAUCCUUUGUUGAUAUAUCUGACAACAAAAUACAAGGUCCAAUUCCAACAAACAUUUGUUCAAUCUUUCCACAACUAAAUGGGUUAAACCUAUCAGGCAAUUCCCUUCAAGGUAAUAUUCCUCCUUGUCUGGGUAGUUUGACCACUUGGAAUUUAUUAUUAGAUCUGUCACAUAAUCAGCUAUCUGGAGGAAUACCAGAAAUGUUAGCUCAAAGUGACUCGUUGAGGUUUCUUAGGCUAUCAAAUAAUCAUCUAAGUGGAAAGAUAACCCCAACGAUCUUUUGCUCAACUUCAUUACGAUUGCUAUAUUUAGAUGGCAAUAACUUUGAUGGAAAUAUACCUAGCAUUGUUAUCUCAACUUUCCUUUCAUAUUCCCUUGUUGAUAUGGAUUUAAGUAACCACAAUUUGUCCGGAGAGCUCCCAAGAUGGAUAUGGAAAGUGUCAAAUUUAAAUGCAUUGUCAGUAUCCAACAAUCAGCUCAAGGGUCUCAUUCCGAUGGAAUUGUGCUAUUUGGAUUCCCUUAAAAUUUUAGACCUUUCAGAAAAUAAAUUUUCUGGCCUAAUACCAUCUUGCUUCGAUGCACAAUCUAUCAUGCAUCUCCAUUUGAGCAAAAAUAGAUUAAGUGGCACCUUGACAAAUGCAUUCUUUAAUAGCUCUUCCUUGGUGACUUUAGAUCUUAGUGAAAAUCAGCUGAGUGGAGAAAUUCCAUACCAGAUUGGAACUCUUUCUGCUUUGAGUGUUCUACUUCUAAAAGCCAAUUAUUUUAUUGGAGAAAUUCCCAUUGAGAUAUGUAAAUUGUAUUCUUUAAGUAUCAUUGAUCUUUCUCAAAACAAGCUUUUUGGUCUGAUACCUUCUUGUUUGAGUCGUUUAACUCUUGAUCCAAAUGAUGAAAAAUCUUCAACAAAGACCUAUGUGGAGGGCUCUGGAGGAAUCUUUGAGCCGGGUAAUUACUUUGGAGUGACUGAAUUUGAAUUUUUCACUUUAAGAGGAUACUGAUGAAGUUGGUUCAGCAUGCAGCAAACUCAACAGCAUGCAGGCCAUGAAGACCAAGUCGUGCAGGAGCUGCUGGAACGAGCUGAACUAUUCCUAUUUUGUUCAUCUAGUAAUCUUAAGUUAAUGUAUUGUACUUUAGUUCAUUUAGAACUAUGUUAGGUUUAUGAUUGAUGUAAUUUUGAUGACAAUUGAGCUGUUAAGUCAGCUUUGUUUAAGUGUGUAAGCUUAGUUUUUCAAGUUUCAAUGUAUUAGUGGUAGUAUGUGAUGAUUAGGUAUCAUUAUGCAGAUUUUGACAAGCAAAUUGCUUGGUUUAUGUAUUGGCAUUAUGCCAUUGUUCAAUAUAUGGAUGAAAUCAGCUUUGUUCAUCAAUAUUCUCUCAAAUUUCCUCAGCUUAUUUUCUUCUUUCUUCAACUCGAAAUUGUUUGUUUGCUCAGCAAGAUUCGAGGCUUGCUCGACAAGAUACUUGCUGAGUCUGUUUGAUUCUGCUGUUGCACCAACAAUUGGUAUCUAGAGCUUAUUUCUUAAGGGACCUGUUAUACAAAUCCAUGGCUUCAUCAAGCUUUUCACCAGCUGCACCUCAAGUCUUCAAUGGGGAAGGCUAUCACAUAUGGGUGGUCAAAAUGAAGACCUACCUGCAGGCUUUCGAUCUGUGGGAGGUGGUCAACUCUGAUGUUGAACCAGAGCCACUUAGAGCUAAUCCAACGGUGGCUCAGAUCAGGCAGCAUGCUGAUGAAAGGACCAAGAGGCACAAGGCUAUGUCUUGCAUCCAAAACUCAGUGUCUGAUGUGAUUUUCACAAGGAUUAUGGCCUGUGAAUCACCAAAACAGGCCUGGGACAAGUUGCAGGAAGAGUUUCAAGGGACUGAGAGGACAAGGCAACAACAGUUGUUAAACUUGAGGAGAGAUUUCGAGAAUUUGAAGAUGAAGGAAGAAGAAACUGUCAAGCAAUAUUCUGACAGGAUUAUGGCUGUGGUUAACAGCAUCAGGCUCCUUGGAGAGCAGUUCAAUGAAGCUAGGAUAGUGGAGAAGGUUAUAGCAACUCUGCCUGAGAGGUAUGAGGCAAAAAUCUCAUCUCUCGAGGACUCAAGGGACCUGUCCACCAUCUCCCUGACAGAGUUGAUCAAUGCUCUAUAUGCUCAAGAGCAGAGGAGAGCAAGCAGACUGGAGGAGCACCAAGAAGGUGCCUUUCAGGCAAGAACAAAUACUACCUACAAAGGCAAGAAGGCCUGGAGAGACAAGCCAAAGGAUAAUGCUGCAAGAAGAGAAGGUCAGACUUGCAAGCACUGCAGAAAGGCUAGUCAUUCAGAAGAAAAAUGCUGGUUUAAUCCAGAUGCUGUGUGUCAGCAUUGUAAGAAAAAGGGUCAUGUUGAGAGAGUCUGUAAGAGCAAGGCCAAAUCAAGGCGCAAUCAGUCUCAACAGAUGAAAGCUGAGGCUCGAGUAGCUAAAGAGGACAGUGACCAAGAGGAGCAAGUCUUUACUGUGUCAUGCUCAGCUGCUCAGGAAAGGUCCUCAUCUGGUUGGCUCCUAGACAGUGGAUGCACCAACCACAUGACACCUGAUGCUGCAAUCUUUAAGUCUUUAGACAGAAGCUGCAGAACUAAAGUCAAGAUAGGAAAUGGUCAUUUUAUUCAAGCUGAAGGCAAGGGUGAUGUUCUGAUAUGCACCCUUACAGGUACCAAAGUGAUUUCAAAUAUGCUGUUGGUGCCUGAAAUUGACAGAAACCUGCUCAGCAUAGCUCAGUUGCUGGAAAAAGGUUACUCAGUUGUGUUUAAAGACCACCAAUGCCAAAUCAGUGAUCCAAGUGGAUCCAAACUGAUGGCAGUCCCUAUGGCUGAUAAGAGCUUUGUGGUUGACUGGACAAAAAAGUCAGACAUUGCCUACACAGCCACUUCAGAUGAAUCCAAGCUGUGGCAUCAAAGACUGGGACAUGCCAACUUCAGAUCGAUGGCCCGAAUGAUCAGAGAAGACCUGGCUGAAAACUUCAUCAACUCAGUAGACCAUGAUGAUGUAUGUGAAGUAUGUCAGCUAGGAAAGCAGGCCAGACUCCCAUUUCCCUCGAAUCAAGCCUGAAGAGCCUCUGAAAAACUCCAACUGGUGCAUACUGAUGUGUGUGGACCUAUGAAGACUGAGUCAUUGAGUGGAAACAGGUAUUUCAUACUGUUCAUUGAUGAUUUCUCGAGAUAUUGCUGGAUUUACUUCUUAAAACAGAAAUCAGAGGUGGCCACUGUGUUUUGGAAGUUCAAAACUGCUGCUGAGACUAAAACAGGCUGCAGGGUGAAGACCAUAAGGUCUGAUAAUGGGACUGAGUACACCUCAGCUCAGUUCCAAGCCUUCUGUGAUAAGGCAGGCAUCAAACAUCAACUUACCAACACAUAUACACCUCAGCAGAAUGGGGUAAGUGAAAGGAAGAAUAGGAGUUUGAUGGAUAUGGCCAGGUGCUUGAUGAUUCAGAAGAAUCUGCCUAAAGCACUAUGGGCAGAAGCAGUUAACACUGCAACAUACAUUCAAAAUAGACUUCCAACCAGGGCUUUGGAUCAAAAGACCCCAUUCGAGGCCUGGUUUAGCUUCAAGCCAUCACUGGCUCAUCUGAAGGUCUUUGGAUGCAUCUGUUAUGCACAUGUACCUGCUGUUAAAAGGGACAAAUUGUCUGAAAGGGCUCGACCUGGUGUUUUGGUGGGCUAUAGCACUGUUAAGAAGGGCUAUAGGAUUUUAGAUCCUUCAACAAACAAAGUGUCAGUAAGCAGGGAUGUGGUAUUUGAUGAGAGGUCAUGUUGGAACUGGGAAAGACAUGAACCUGAAGAAGUUUUUGAAGAACUUGCAACAGACCAAGCUGAGCCAGACCAAGAUGUCCCUGAAAUGGAUAUUGAUGAUGAACCAGUCAGAGGAACAAGGCCAUUGGCUGAAAUUUAUGAAAGGGCUCAUGUAGCCAUAGCUGAACCAAGCAACUUUGAAGAGGCUGAGGCUCAGAAAGGGUGGAAGCAGGCAAUGGCUGAGGAGAUCAGCAUGAUUGAGAAGAACCACACCUGGAAAUUGGUUGAAAGGCCAGUCAAAAGGAAAGUGAUUGGGGUGAAAUGGGUGUACAAAGCCAAGCAGAAUGCUGAUGGUACCUUGAACAAGCUGAAAGCAAGGCUAGUUGUCAAGGGGUUCAGUCAGAGGUAUGGCUUGGACUACCUGGAGACCUUUGCACCAGUGGCCAGGCUCGACACCAUCAGACUGCUGAUUGCCUUAGCAGCACAGCUUGAAUGGAAGAUCCAUCAACUUGAUGUGAAAUCAGCUUUUCUGAAUGGUUUCUUAGAUGAAGACAUCUAUGUUGAACAACCACAAGGGUUUGAAAUAGCUGGCAGAGAGCAUAUGGUCUACAAACUGAAGAAGGCCCUAUAUGGAUUAAAGCAGGCUCCAAGGGCCUGGUAUAGCAGAAUUGAUGGCUACUUGACUGAUCUAGGAUUCGAUCGAAGCAAGAGUGAGCCAACACUGUAUGUCAAGAAACAAGGGACACAAAUACAACUCAUUGUGUCCCUGUAUGUUGAUGAUCUUCUGGUGACAGGAGGAGAUCGAGUAGUGCUGGCUGAUUUUAAGACCAAGAUGCAGGAAGUGUUUGAAAUGUCUGAUCUUGGGGAGAUGUCAUACUUUCUUGGAAUGGAGGUGUCUCAAGUACAGAAUGAGAUAUUUCUAAGCCAGAGAAGCUUUGCCACAAAGAUUCUGACCAAGUUCUCCAUGCAAAACAGCAAGGCAACUAAAACACCUGUUGCUGUUGGAGAAAAACUAUCGAGCCAAGGUGAUUUUAAGAAAGUUUCUGAAACAACCUACAGGAGUCUAGUUGGUUGCUUGCUAUACUUGACUGCCACUAGACCAGACAUUAUGUAUGCUGUAGGAUUGCUCUCAAGGUUCUUGCAUUGCUGCAAUGAGAAGCAUUUCCAAGCUGCAAAGAGAGUGCUGAGAUAUGUCAAAGGCACUUUAAACUAUGGUUUGAAGUACAGCAAAGAAGGAAAUCUGAAGCUGGUUGGCUACACUGAUAGUGACUGGGCUGGCUCAAUAGAUGACAUGAAAAGCACCUCAGGGUAUGCUUUUAACCUUGGUUCAGCCAUGUUUUGUUGGAGCUCAAAGAAGCAAAGUCUAGUAGCUCAAUCUACUGCUGAAGCAGAGUAUGUGGCAACAGCAAGUGCUGUCAACCAAGCCAUAUGGCUAAGAAAAAUAUUGGCUGACUUGAAUGUGCAUCAAGAGGAAGCUACUGAGAUCUUCUGUGACAACCAAUCUGCAGUAGCAAUUGCUAAAAAUCCAGUGUUCCAUGGAAGAACAAAACAUUUCAGCAUCAAGUUGCAUGUUGUUCGAGAAAUGGAGCAAGCUCAGGAAGUAAAGCUGAUCUACUGUAAUUCAGAAGAUCAACUUGCUGACAUUUUAACCAAAGCUCUUAGUGUCACAAGGUUUGAAUAUCUAAGAAAGAAGCUAGGUGUUUGCUCCAUGCAAACCAAGGAGGAGUGAUGAAGUUGGUUCAGCAUGCAGCAAACUCAACAGCAUGCAGGCCAUGAAGACCAAGUCGUGCAAGAGCUGCUGGAACGAGCUGAACUAUUCCUAUUUUGCUCAUCUAGUAAUCUUAAGUUAAUGUAUUGUACUUUAGUUCAUUUAGAACUAUGUUAGGUUUAUGAUUGAUGUAAUUUUGAUGACAAUUGAGCUGUUAAGUCAGCUUUGUUUAAGUGUGUAAGCUUAGUUUUUCAAGUUUCAAUGUAUUAGUGGUAGUAGGUGAUGAUUAGGUAUCAUUAUGCAGAUUUUGACAAGCAAAUUGCUUGGUUUAUGUAUUGGCAUUAUGCCAUUGUUCAAUAUAUGAAUGAAAUCAGCUUUGUUCAUCAAUAUUCUCUCAAAUUUCCUCAGCUUAUUUUCUUCUUUCUUCAACUCGAAAUUGUUUGUUUGCUCAGCAAGAUUCGAGGCUUGCUCGACAAGAUACUUGCUGAGUCUGUUUGAUUCUGCUGUUGCACCAACAGAUACGAGUCAUUAGAUGUAGAUUUCGAAAUUGAGAAUCAAAUGGAAGAAAAGGUGGAUUAUACAACAAAAAGAGCAUCUUACACAUACAAGGGAAACAUUCUUAAAUACAUAUCGGGAAUUGAUUUAUCAUGUAAUAGAUUAACAGGUGAAAUUCCCAGAGAGAUUGGAAAUUUGAGUGAAAUCCGAUCACUAAACUUGUCGCACAACAAUUUGACUGGACAUAUACCGUCAACGUUCUCAAAGCUCAAGCAAAUUGAGAGUUUGGACCUGUCUCACAACAACUUAAUUGGAAGAAUCCCUGUUCAAUUGACGAAGUUGUACGCCUUAGCAAUCUUCAAUGUGUCAUACAACAACUUGUCAGGGAGUAUUCCGUCUCCAAAAGCUCAAUUUGGAACCUUCGACGAAAGCAGUUACGUGGCGAAUCCUUUCCUCUGCGGGUCUCCCCUGCAUAAAAAUUGUAGCGACCUUGAUUCACCCCCGACAGCAGCACCAAAGAGCUCAAACGAGGAAGAAGAAAGUGGUUUGAUGGACAAGUAUGUUUUCUGGGUGACCUUUUUUGUUUCUUACGUGAUUGUGUUACUGGUUAUUGUUCUCAUCCUGUAUAUAAAUCCUCAUUGGCGACAAGCAUGGUUUUCUUUUGUUGAACACUGCAUCAAGACCUGCCAAUAUUUUAUUGAGGACAAUCUUUUGUGAUUUUCCA